rnacentral:lncRNA from 1 species
AAUAAAUACACACAAGUAGAAAAGUACAAUAUUGGAAAAAUAUUAUCAUAAGAAUUAAUUUUCAAGGAAAACAGGUUGCUUAGCAAUGUUAUCAAAAUAUCAAAAGAUUCAUGUAAAAUGAGAAUCAAAUGAAAAGUAAUUUUAUCGAAAGGAAAUUAAACAAAGUAUCAAACCAUACAUGGUGUCUUCUUCUAUCAAUUAAUGUAAUAAAUCAUCUUAACAGUGAUAUCAUCCCAUAGAUGACAGCCCACUCAUGUUACCCAGAAAGCUAGAGAUACCAAUGGCACUCUCUCUAAUAAUAGCAGCACAGACACUAUCAUUCCCAUAGAAUCCUAAAGGCAGCAGCCUACUUGUGUUUCCAGAAACUUUACCACAAUUGGGUCAGAAAUGAUCUAAAAUAUUAAUUUAUUUAUUAAAUUUUCUGGUAUUGUUUCAUUUUCAUUGUUAGUUUGUCCACCAUUGGCUUUAUUCUUUCUAUACAAAAUUUCAGUUUGAUAUAUCAAUUCCAACAAAUUUCUUAUUGGUCUAUAUAAUCACUUAUGCAUAUUACGGUCACUGUAAGAAGAAUAACUCACCUAUAUUUCAGAAGGGAGUUUUGUUGCAACAUUUGAAUAUUUGUUUUUGGCUUUCUCAAGGAAUAGAUCUUCUCAAUGAUGAAAUCAAAUACCUAAAAAAAGAAAAAAGAAUAAACUAAUGCAAAUAUAUAUUUUUAGUUUUGCUUACACAUGCGCACGCAUGCACACACCCCUAACAUUCCUAAUAAGAUGAUCUCAUGUAUUUACAGUAUAUGCAUGGAGGUGUAGGCUGUUAUUUGUGAACAAGUAAUUUUGUUAAAAAGUAUUUUGCAAAAACCUUUGCUACUGCCGUUUGUCGAAGUCUGUCCAUCUCUUGCUGAACAUCCUGAAAAACUUCUGAUGCAUUUAACAUAUAAUCAAUUCCAACAAAUUUCAGCUUUUUGCUUAAGACCUCCAGGUGUCUCAGAUAUUCCUCAUUCACCUGUAAAAGACAAGUGAAUUGAUAACUUAACCAAACAUGUCACUCUACAUGCACAAAUGCUUAGAUCUGUGUGCAGGUAUGGAUAUGUCGUUUGAAACAUUUUGGCAGACAUGUUAUAACCCCCAUUUUGGCAGAGAUGCUAACCCAUAGUACCAAUGCUAAGGUACCUACAUCUAGAUAAUAAUAGUCCAGACAUCCUACAAGGUGCACCAGUAGAAGCACAAUGCUCUAUUGAGAUAUGCCAUGGUGCACAACUGCAGACCUCAGACAGCAUCAUCAUAAAUUGGCUCUAAAGGUGGUUGUAAUGGGUAUGAUUCAUACUGAUGGGCAGUGCAAGAUUCGCCAUUGCUUAGUGACACAUACAUGCAUGGUUUUAUUUAUUCCCCAGCUACCCAUACUGAUUGGUUAUCGGCACAGUCGGCAGAUGUUGUACAGAGCAUCUUUAAUGAGUCAGCAGGCCUAAGGAACUGGUACACAAAAUGGUAAGCACAUGCCCACUAGCACAACAUUCCUCGCAUUUAUGCAUAUGUGUGCAAAACUUACUGAAUUUUGGUAGUGUUAGUUUGACAUCCAACGACUUUUAAUUGUUGCUUGCACAGGCAAGAACAAAUUCGACCCUAGCCUUGCCAGGCUAUGAGAAGAAGGCAGGAUAAUGUCCUUGAAAUAUCAAUCCUGGCCUAUUGAGAAAUGGAUGCCAACAGCUCAACCUACAAACAUUGCUGCUGAGCACAAAUGCAGGAAAGAAGUUUUUGCUUGAUUCUGACAAUUAACAGAUCUUCUUCAUUAUACAAAUCAAUCAACUGAAAAAAGUCCUACGUAUUAGUCCCUAUAUCCCAUAUAAAAUGAGGAGUGAUAGCCAGUUUUGGUAAAAUUUAUGCUUCAUAACCUCAUAUGCAUUAUCUGACUAAAACAAUCUUGUUAUUGUUUUGUCAAUUAUUAAUAUAUGCUUGCGCACUUUCAUAUUGGAAGAAAAUUGUCCGACGAUUAAACUUUUUCUGUAGCACAUCUGUCUGGAAAUGUCUAUUAAAAAAGAUAAACCCCACCUUGAGACAUCUGUCUGGGACUAAGUUAAUGAAAAAAAAAAAGAAGAAAAAAAGAAAAAGAGAAGGAAAGUAAUAAUGUCCAAGAAUGGGCUCAAUAUGCUUCAAGUUCUCAUAUCGAAUAACAGAUAAGGACUAAGGUUACCUCUCCAUCAAUAAUAGCUGUCACCAGACUGGGGGGAGCUAUAAUUUCUUCGAUGAAUUUUGCCAAUUUCAAUUCCACCAGCUGUGAAAGAACAUUCCUGUGAGCAUAUUAACAUGCAAGAGAGAGGAAAAACGCAGCAUAAAUAAUUUGGCGGUUGGUACUCGAGGUCCCAAGUUCGAAUCCUAGUUGAUUCACAUUUCCAGCUAAGUUUAUUUCUAAAUGAAAUAAGCGAAGCGGGAAGCGGGUAGCAUGCUACCUAUCUCUCAAAAAAAAAAAAAAAAAAAUUGUACACCUCAAUAUGCGGAUCAUAAAUAAAUGCCCACUCACUGGCAAAUGUUUGAACUACGCAGUCCUUCUGUAUGAAUUUUUUCAUAAAAUGUAUCCAAACAACUUCAACUAUACACCAUUUGAAAUGGCACUCUCAACUUUAUUUACUUAUUUAUUUUUGUUGGCACCCCCUUAACUCGAAUAAAGUAAGGAUUUUAUCAAAUUCACCAAUAAUUCCAUCAAAUUUAAUUGUUUUGAUCAUCACUUUCAAGUAAAUGAAACUGGAACAAUUAAUGUCUAAUAGAGCCUUUAAAUUUAACAGUAUUUUCAACUUAACUAACAUGAUCAAAUAAAAUAAUUAGAAGUUAAGGAGGGUGUCAAACGAAAAAGUGAAGUUGAGGGGCCUAUUUCGAAAUGCCAUGUAUUUGAGGCAGUCUCCAUACAUUUUCACCAAAUUGUUUUCCACUUUAGUUUGAAUUAUUUCAACAAAUCUACUAAAGUAAAUAAUGACAUGUCCCAAAUUCACGCCAAAAUAUUAGUGUUUUUAAAUGAGAUGUAUUCAUUAAAUAACUUAACGGAUAUUUGGCUAACAAGUUAAAGGAACACCUCCUGUGUUCAUUGGCAGCUUGUCUAGAAUCGAGUCAAACAGAAACAGGACAAGUUAUCGCACUAAUGGCACACUGCUAGCAACAACACACCUAAGUCUGCUACACUUGUAUGUUUCAAGAAAUCAUUAUUUUUGUAGUAAUCUUAUAGAUAUUCAUUUAGGAUUUUCAGGUUCUGUUUCAAGAGAUGAUAUCCUGAAUGUUUCUCAUAUUCAUGUCAACUUGCACAAUUACAAAUCUACAUAUAAAAUAGGAUUUCCCUACCUUACGGUUCUUUAGCUUCAUACCCAUCUCCAUAGAUUUCUCCUGAAGACUCUUUAUUUCUGCACUAAUGGAACCAAUCUCCACCUGUCAUAAGAUUAGUUUAUUAGUUAGUAGAAGAUACCUGCUCUGCAUGACAUUGAAUUUCAUUUAUUAAUUCCAUUCAAUAUUAAAGAAACUUUCCAAAUAUCAGAAAAAGGGUUAGAAAGCAAACACCUGGAACCCACCCAGAAGAGAACCUAUUUGUGACAAAAUUAUUUCACAAUCAUGAAACUGACCAUGCAGUAGGACCAAGUUAUCACUCUCUUCAAUAUAGGUCUGCACAUGGGUGAAAGGAAAGUAUUAUACACUAGGAGUGCACAUAACUUUUAUAAAGCCUAAUUAUGAUGAGAGACAACAAAAUUAAUACAAAUAUGGCAUAGAAGUUAUCCUGCAAAUCUAAGAGAAAUUUUGCAAUAUAUUAAAAAUCAUAGAAAGACAAGUAGAAGCAGCAUAGAAGGGGGAGUAAAAGAUUAUGCCAUGAAGCACAUCGAAUUUCCAACAAUUGUUGUGUGAUUAGCACAAUGCUUUUGUUUUGAAGCCUAAUUAUGAUGAGAGACAACAAAAUUUAAUACAAAUAUGGCAUAGAAGUUAUUCUGCAAAUCUACGAGAAAUUUUGCAAUAUAUUAAAAAUCAUAGAAAGACAAGUAGAAGCAGCAUAGAAGGGGGAGUAAAAGAUUAUGCCAUGAAGCACGUUGAAUUUCCAACAAUUGUUGUGUGAUUAGCACAAUGCUUUUGUUUUGAUAUCUGCUUUAAGUUUCUUAUUCUUUAGUUCAUUUACAUGCAUUCUCCUUGAAAGUUACUAAUAUAUGUCAAAUAUAAAGACAAAGAAAUGCCAUUACUUCAAGGUAUCCCUGUUCAUCUCUGCGUAAGUUGCUCUCAACUCCCCUUGUAUACUCCUGCAAGUUUGUACCAUUGGCAAAUAUAUUUGCUGGUACCUUCAAAACAAGCAACAAAUUUCUUAGUACAAAUUUACAUGGUAGUGGUUGUCUAAGGCUCUAAGCAGAAAUGAAAAGUCAUGCUUCUACCAUGCACUAUACAUAUUGUCCAUUUGGGAUUGAUUCCACUCACUAAAUCAGUGUAGGAGUGUUUAUUUUGAAAAUCCUAUUGUUAAAUACAAUUUAAAUUAUCUUGACAUUUGUUAAUCUAACAUCACAGUCUACAGGAAAGGAAAUAAGGGAAAUCAUCAUCAUUUUGAAGAUCCCAUUGUUAAAUAUGAUCUAGAUUAUCAUUUUUUCUAUUAGUCUAACAUCAGAGUCCCUUGAAAAGGACACAACAGCAACAGUAACAACAAGUAUAUGACUGCUCAGUUGUUGAGGAGUUUAAUUAACUAAAAAAUGUGUGAAAAUGACAUCAUGUUAGUCUCAGUCCAAACUGUACCAUAUUGUAAUAGCUCAAGACCUCAGGUACAUUAAGAACAGAUAUUCAUACAAUGCCAUCAAAUUAUCAGCGUCAUCCAAGCCUUUUCCCUCUGCGGUGGGGUUGCCUAGAGAAAAGCUCUUAGGUAAGAAAGUUACAAACUAUUGGCAAAUUUACACUCUGACAACCAGACACCAAUCUUCUAAAAUUGGCAUAUCUUUAUAAAUCCAUACGCAUGAGACAGUAGGAGGCACUUUACUCACAUCAUCAUUACUGCAUCCUUUAAGUUCUUCAUGUAGCCCAUCCAAUGGUACAUCAUCACUGCUGGAGAAAAGUUGAAAAUUUCAGAUAUAUAAAAAACAUUAGCAAUAACUGUACACCCUCCAAGACAUAAAAAAAAGUUAAUCAUAUGAAGCAAAAUUAUAUUUUCUUAAAAAAUGGUAAUACACUUCAUUAUUAAACUUUUUAUAUCCCCGAAAUAUUUAAUCUCCCUUUACUUUCAAAGUAAAUAGAUCCAGAUCCUCCAAUACAGUUGGAUAUGCCAAUUACAAGUUAUAAUGAUAUCUCAAAAGCUUGGAAAUGUAUUCAUAGCUAAAGCUCAUUAUAAAUGAACAUAGACAAAUUAAAUGCACAAGCUACAGAAUAUAAAAGUUCAAUUUGGAAAAGUCAUAAACAAACCCAUGUUAAACAAACAAAAAAAAAAGUGCUCUUAAGCUUUUGUUUCCUCAAAUAAUAUGUAAAAAAGUCUAUUAUUUUGGCAUUACUAAAGCCAAACCUUUCCACUUUCAUAUUCUUUCUGAUGUCAAAUGCAAUCUUAGUUACACACAGUGCCAUUUUUGACUGCCUUAAAUUACCAAUAAGGAAAAUUAGAGCAAGAUCUGAAUUCCAGAGAGAAAAGAUGUCAGACCUACUAGAAUCCUCAUCUAAGGAAAAAUAAUCAGUAAAUAAUUGUUGGUCAGAUCCCUGCUUAAAAUCCUGCAUCUCACUGUUAUAGUCACCCUGAAUCCAUGCCUACAUAAAAUUCAGACAGAGAUAAAGAAAUAGUGCAAGUAAUUGGAACUAGAAUUUUAGCUCUAACAAUAUAAUUAUGAUCAGAAACAGUGAGAUUGCUAACAUAUUAACUACUCAAAAAGAAGUGGCAUAGAUUGUCAUUGUUAAAAACUCUUAUUAUGUUUUUCUUGUGUUAAUGUACAAUUCUUCACCUGUUCUCUUUGUUUGUUGCUUUUUCAGCUCCUGGCUUCUUUGACAGAGAAUAGGAAAUGAAGUUCAAGAGAGCAGGCAGAGCAUUCUGAGCUAUCGAUCAUAAAGGGUUUAAUGCAUCAGAUAUACCCAGAAGCACUCCUCUCUUUUCUCCUUAUAUCUCCCUUUCUCAUACAAAUAAAGUCUUUUUAACCCCUAAUGCCGCUACAGCAUUUAGAAAUAGGCACUAGAGUUUUCAUUGCUAACUACUUUUGCAAAGAGAAAUAUAAUUAUAACAAGAAUGACCAGAUACUUCGGGAGGGAAACAAAAUCAUCAAGAAAUUGUAUAGACAACUUUCUGAAAGGUUUUUAACACCCUGUACAAAUACAGCAUUUACAAAUAGGCAGUAGAGGCACUCCCUAUCAUGGUUAACUACUUUUGCAGUAAGAAGUAUAAUUAGAACCAGAUAAGUCAGACACUUCAUGAGGAGGGUUCUUACCAUUCUUGAUCAUCCUACUUUUCUUAUUUACCAAGGCCACAUGUAAAUUUACCUUCUGACAGAUCCAUAUCAUACUGAAAAAGAAAAAGGAAUCAUUAAUAUCAUCAUAUAAACCUACUUUUGCAUACGAAUAAGCACGAUUAGACGAAGGAUGGAUAAGGUGGUCGAGGAAAGAAACAGAGCCAUCAAGAAACUGUAGAGGGAAAAGGGAGAAAGGAGGAGAAUGCUUACCGUUAUUGAUCAUCUUACACGUCUUAUUCAAACUAUAAAUAUCAAAAAUCCUAGUUUUCUUGUUGAUCAAGGUGACACCAACAUUUAACAUUCGAAGAGACCUAAUUUCACAUCAAGCAAGGAAAGUAAAAUAUUAAUAUCAUAUAAACCCACUUUCGCAAAAGAAUAAGCAAUACUAGAUCAAGGAUGGAGGAUUCUUACCGUUCUUGAUCAUCUUACACGUCUUUUUCAAACUAGGAAUCAGCAAAAAUCCUAGUUUUCUCGUUGAUCAAGGUGACGCCAACAUUUAACAUUCAAUGAGACCUAAUAUCACAUCAAGCAAGGAAAGUAAAAUAUUAAUAUCAUAUAAACCCACUUUCGCAAAAGAAUAAGCAAUACUAGAUCAAGGAUGGAGGAUUCUUACUGUUCUUGAUCAUCUUACACGUCUUUUUCAAACUAGGAAUCAGCAAAAAUCCUAGUUUUCUUGUUGAUCGAGGUGACGCCAACAUUUAACAUUCAAUGAGACCUCAUAUCACAUUGAACAAGAAAAGGACGAGAUUAGUCUCAUAUAAACCUACUUUCGAAGAACGAAGAAGCACGAUUCGGUCAAAGGUGAAUCGAAUAGCUGAGCAGGAAAUUGCAGAGGGAAACGGAAGAGAGGGGAGAGGAAUCGUACCAUUAGGGAUUAGAGCGAGCUAGGGUUUGGAGAUUGGAAUGGCGCCUCUAGUGGCGAAAUCGCGGAUCUAUGCGAAGAAGAGAGAGAGAGAGAGAGAGAGAGAGAGAGCCGAUCCUUUCACUCUGCUCCGUUCGACGAGAAAUUUGCGGGACACGGGAUGCUUCGAUGCGUAUUUAUUGGGCAAGAAUCGGACCGUUGGAUUGUGAACGUUUCGAAAAGCUGCGGUGACGUUACCGCCAUGGAGACGGGUUUAAUUGGAUCAGCACUUUAAAUGAAGAAAAAAAAAAUAAUUGUUUACAAAUUACAAUAUGAAAAUUUUUAAAACCUUUAUUUAGCUCCAAACAACUAAUAGUCCAUUUGCUUGCGAUGAAUGCGCAGUUAAAAUCACAAUUCCUAUAAAGUUGCUAAUACAUAUGUUUGUUACGUCACUAGAUACGCCACUAGAUUUACUAAAUUUGUCGAAUUCGUACUCACAAACAUAUAGACUUUUUUUUUUGAGAGAUAGGUAGCACGCUACUCUCUUCGUUUAUUUCAUUAGAAAUAAACUUAGCUGAAAAUGUGAAUCAAUUAUGAUUCAAAUUUGAGACAUCGGAUAUCAACUACCAAGCCCUUUCUUUUGCUUUAGGGACAAUUGCUCUAGAGAUGGUCGGUCACAAACAUAUAGACUUUAGUUCUUCAUCGUAGUUGAGUGGGGCACAGAGUCAAUCAAUUAGGAUUCAAAUUUGAGACCUCGGAUAUCAACUACCAAGCCCUUUCUUUUGCUUUAGGGACAAUUGCUCUCGAGAUGGUCGGUCACAAACAUAUAGACUUUAGUUCUUCAUUGUAGUUGAGUGGGGCACAGAGUCAAUCAAUUAGGAUUCAAAUUUGAGACAUCGGAUAUCAACUACCAAGCCCUUUCUUUUGCAUUAGGAACAAUUGCUCUAGAAAUGGUCGGUCACAAACAUAUAGACUUUAGUUCUUCAUUGUAGUUGAGUGGGGCACAGAGUCAACUUUGUGCAACUCACGAAUCUGAAUCGCUCUCAUCUUUACACUUCCAAACAGUUUCUUCUAAGUACUACUACCAAAAAAUGUUUGGACUUCUUACUUCGACACUAUGAAAUGACAUAUUCACAUAUAUGAUCUCGUCAUGUCUCGGGGCUUGAAUUGAAACAUUUUUGUUGGUGUGCAUAAGACGUUCUCUCUCAAACACACAAAAUGAACACAAUAAUAAAAACUCAUACAAACAAUAAGAGUUUCAUACACCGACCGUCCCUAGAGUAAGUGGCAAAGGGCUUAGUGGUUGGUAUCCGAGACCCAAGUUCGAAUCCUAGUUGAUUCACAUUUCCAGCUAAGUUUAUUUCUAAAUGAAAUAAACGAAAUGAGUAGCGUGCUACCUAUCUCUAAAAAAAAAAAAAGAGUUUCAUACGAGUUGGAGUAUCAAAAUAUAGAUCUAGUAUUCUAUUACUUUUUUUUUUUUUGAAAUAAAGGUAGCAUGCUAUCCGUUUUGUUUAUUUUUUUUGAAAAUAAACUUUAAUAGAAAUGUGAAUUCAAACUUGAUAUCUCAAGUAUCAACCACCAAACCCUUUUAACUCAUGUUUUGAGAGACGAUGAAAACAUCCAAUUUUGGUCAGAUAGUUGGGUACGUAGGAGACGCCCCCCCUCAGAUCUUUGUUCCUACAUAUCUUCAAUGGGAUUCGAAACAAGAAUAUACGAAUUUUCAAUUGCUGCGGAAGAAGGGGUUGGAGAUGGCGUGUCAUUCUCCGAGGCUUUGAAAUUUCUACAACUUACAAUAGAUAAAAGCCCCACCAAUUAAUGGAAUUACUUGGGAAUGAGUGCCUGUCGAGCGAUUGGAAUGAGGUGCACCGGAGGUGGACUGCUAAUCACCUCUUCUCUGUCAAGUAAUCUUACAACUUUAUCACUGACGGUGGGAGCAAAGAUCAUCUUAGUUUCCGAAUUUGGAAGUUUAAAAUUAAUGCCACUUAAAAUCAAAGUCUUUGCUUCGUUGGUGCUAAGAAAAAGAGUCCUCUCUGCAGACAUUCUUCAUAAACGCGGUAGGAUAGAUGAACAACUAUGCAUGUUCAGUGCAAUGAACUUGAAACGUGUGUUCAUCUUUUCUCUGGAUGCAUAUUCGUUAGAUAUUUGAUCUUUUGCUUAAAUAACGGGCUCCCAAACUUCCAAGCUUCGUUGGACAGCAGAGGAAUGUGGGCAGCUUCUAGAUUUCCGCGAUAAACAGAUGCGUCUCAAAAGAGUUACACUUCUGUCUGCUCUCUAGUGGUCGAUCUAGAUUGAAUGGAAUAACAUAAUCUUCUGAGACAAGGUUAGCAAUUCGGCUUUCCUGCUUCAGAUAUCAGUCAAUCUUUGAGCUCGUGGGAGGUGAUUUGUUGAGUUGCUAUUUCUUCUUUUUUUUUUUUUGGUAUUUGUAUUUGUAUUUUAUUUUAUUUUACUUUUAUUUUUAUUUUUUAGAGGCUCUGGCUGCCUUCAUCACCGAUGCUAAAUUUUUUUUCUCUUAGUGAAUGAAACAUAUAGCUUACUACUUUUUUUUCAAAAAAAAAAAAGACGGUAUUCUAUUACAAUUAUAAAACUCAAAUGAGCUAUUAUAAGUUUAGUUCCAUGAUAAAUUUUUUUAAAUAUCAAGGUUAAUUCCACAAAAGGUUCCACUGAUCUAGCUACCUAAUCUUCAUAAAUUUUAAUUUUACUAUCUAAUCCUUUAAGUAUUUGACUUGAGCUUAUUAAUGACCCCUUUUAACUUUAAAAUUUGAAUGUUUUGUUUAUCUUUACAGAUUUAAUUAGUAUAUUUUGUGCAGUUUAGGUAACUAUAAAUAAAGUAGGACUUGUUGUUCCUAAGCCGUUUUCGAUGAUUAAACUUUCGAAUCGACGAUCAGCUCUGUUAGAUUUGAUCUAGCAUAUCUGUAGUAUGUAGAAAAUAAAUUUUGCGAUUUUUUGAUAUUAUUUACUUAAUGAUUGAAAGGGUUCAAAAUCAAUAAUUUUUAAUAGUUGGUGUGUGUCUUUUGCAAGUUUAAUGGUGUAUAAGUAUUUAAAUCAGAUGAAAUUUUGAUAGAAAGUUCUUUAUACUAUCUACAAUGAAAUUAAUAUCUCUAAUUGAAAAUUUUAGUACUAUAUCAUAACGUUGUGAGAUUUUUAUUUUCAACCGUUAAUUUUAAGUCAUUUUGAUUACUAGAUAAAUGAUAUCAAAAAACCACAAUUUAUUUUCUACAUACUUCAAAUACGCUAGGUCAAGUUUAACGGAAUCGAUCGUCGAUUCAGAAAUUCUAUUAUCGAAAACGGCUUAGGAGCACGAAGGCCUACUCACUAUAAAUAUAUAAAAGUAAGUAGUUAGUUUAAAUCUUGUAUCAAAAAAGUCACCAAAUGACAUAAACCAAAUAAAUUAAAAAAUUAGAUACUAGAAUAAAAUUUUAAUAAAUUAAAUAAUCGAAUCAAAAUAAUAUAUACUUUUUUUUUGAAAAAAAAAAAAUAGCACACUAUCUGCUUCAUUCAUUAAAAAUAUGAACUAGACUACAUGGAUGAGGCAAGCUGGGCCUCGAGAGAUAUAUACUUUAAUGUUCACACAAGUAAGUUCUAUACAUUUAGACAUAUUACUUGAUGUAACAAAGUGUAUAGCACAUGAAAAAGAGAGCACAAAUUUUUUUUACUAUUCCAAAUGUAGGAAUAUCUGCGCAUAGAAAUAGUUCCGCCGCUCAUCAGCAAGAGAGUAAAAUCCUCGCCGUCCGCUCAUCAGCAAGAGAGGUGAAAAAUAUUUUUCCAUUCGCCUCGGCGUAUAAAAAUAUUUUUAUAAAUUUGAAGAAAAAUUAAAAUUUUUACUUUCCCUUGUAUUUCAGUAAAAAAUGAAAAAAAUCAAACUGCGUAAAAUUUUUUCAUUUAUUUUUUUUCACGGAUCCAAAUAAAUAUAUAUAUAUAUUUUUUCAACCAAACAAUAUUUGAUAAAAAGCUUUUUUUUUUUUUACGAAUCAAACACUACAAAACCUUAAAAAAAAAAAAAAUCGACGUAUAUACAAGCAAGAUCGUACGCAAAAAAGAAAAAGAAAAAGAAAAUUCUGCAUGCACGCAGGUAGAGAUGUCAACGGGUAGGAUUCGGGACGAAUUUUUAAAAAUCCGAACCCGAAUGCGACUCCAAACCCGAGACCCGAAUCCGACCGAUUUUAAAAAUCAAUAUCCAAAUCCGAACCCGACCAAAAAUCCGAAAUCCGAACCCGAACCCGAACCCGAAAAUUUAAAUCCCAAACAAUUAUUUCUUUUUUCAAUAUUUUAAAAUAUAUUAUAUUAAAUCUAAAUUUUUAAAAUACAAAUUCAAAUAUAACAUCAAAUUUUUUAUAUAUAUAUUAUAUAUAAUACAAAAUAAAUUCAGAUUCGGGUCGGGUUCGGGCCGGGAUCGGCUUCGGGUCAGGUACAAUCAAAAUCCAUAUUCAAAUCCAUAUCCAUCGGUUUCUAUUUUUUAUAUCCAUAUCCGAAUCCAUAUCUAUAUCUAUCGGAUAUAUCCAUUCCAUUCGAGUUCGGAUUUUGAUAAAAUUUCGGGUAUCCAUACACAUUGAACAUCCCUACAUGCAGGAUCGGUCGUACGCCAAAAAAAAAAAAAAAAAAAGAAAAAGAAAAAGAAAAAGAAAGUAAAAUACGAAAACCUCCUCUUUCCAUAAAGUGCUUUUAAUUGCUUGAUUAGUGUGGGCUAGUACAACAGCUUUUUCCGUCCCGAAAAUACAAAGAAAAAAGCUUCAUCUUCUUCAAUCCGAUCAAGUCACUCAGCCGAAAGAAAAUUUUUCAAUUUUUUUUUUUUUUUUUUCAUUUCCCCGGAUUCUCACUCUCUCUAAACCAUGUUAUCCUGCUUCCUUGAUCUUUGUCGGAUCUUCUUCGACUGCUGCGGAGAUGAUGAGGAACAAGAACGAAGAAGCAGCUACGGCGCCGGUUACUAUUCGCCGCUGCAAAGAGAGAGUUCGCCGAAGAGAUCGCCUGCGCCCGAAGCAUAUACACAAUAUACUGCUACUUAUAGUUGGAAAGCAUCAUCGCCGCCGCGGUUGAAACCUUCUUCAUCCUCUCUUGUUUCUUCAAAGCCUUAUUCUUCUUCGUCAGAUUCUUUUCCUUCUCCGUCUCCGGCGAAACCUCAAUCCAAACCUUCUUCAUCGUCUCUUGUUUCGUCGAAGGCUUCUUCUUCAUCAUCAUCAUCAUCAUCAUCUUCCUCCUUCUUAACUCCUUCCUUUACAGCUUCAUUUGCUUCUUCGUCUCCGGCGAAACCUCAAUCUCCUCACGCCGCAUCGGCCGGUGCAAAAACUUCGCAGCUGGCAAAACCUUCUUCAUCCUCUGUUGUUUCGUCGAAGGCUUCUUUUCCAUCAUCAUCUCCCCCCUCCUUAACUCGUUCUUCAACGGUUUCUUCUGUUCCUCCAUCUCCGGCGAAAGCUCAACCUCCUCAUGCUGCAUCUGCUGGUGCAAAAGCUUCGCAGAUAUCGAAACCUUAUUCUUCGCCCUCUCUUGCAGAAACUUCUUCUGCAUCAUCUAUCUUUUUAACUCCUUCCUUAACAGCUUAUUUUGCUUCUCUGUCUCUGGCAAAAACGCAAUCUCCUCACGCCACAUCGGCCAGUGCAAAAACUUCGCCGCUGUUAAAACCUCCUUCGUCCUCUGUUGUUUCGUCGAAGGCUUCUUCUUCGUCGUCAGCUUCCUCUUCCGUAACUCCUUUACCAGCUUCUUCUGCUCCUCCAUCUCCGGCAAAAGCUCGGCCUCCUCAUGCCACAUCUGCUGGUGCAAAAGCUUCGCGGCUAUCGGAACCUAAUUCUUCGCCUUCUCUUGUUUCGUCUAAGGCUUCUUCUUCAUCAUCUUCCUCCUUAACUCCUUCUUCAACAGCUUCUUUUGCUCCUCCUCCUCCAGUAAAAGCUCAAUCUCCUCAUGCCUCAUCAACUGGUCCAAAAGCUUCGCUGCAGUGGAAACCUGUUCCAUCGAAGGCUUCUUCUUCGUCAUUUUCCUUCUUAGCUCCUUCUUCAACAGCUUCCUUUGCUUCGCCAUCUCCGGCAAAAGCUCAGCCUCCUCAUGCCACAUCAGCUGGUGCAAAAGCUUCGCAGCUAUCGGAACCUUCCUUGCCCUCUCUUGUUUCGUCUAAGGCUCUUCCUUCCCCAGUAAAAGCUCAAUCUCCUCAUGCCGCAUCGGCUGGUCCAAUAGCUUCGCUGCAGUGGAAACCUGUUUCAUCGAAGGCUUCUUCUUCGUCAUUUUCCUUCUUAGCUCCUUCUUCAACAGCUUCCUUUGCUUCGCCAUCUCCGGCAAAAGCUCAGCCUCCUCAUGCCACAUCAGCUGGUGCAAAAGCUUCGCAGCUAUCGGAACCUUCUUUGCCCUCUCUCGUUUUGUCUAAAGCUGCUUCUUCAUCAUCUUCCUCCUUAACUCCCUCUUCAACAGCUUCUUCUGCUUCUCCAUCUCCAGCAAAAGCUCAGUCUCCUCACGCCGCAUCAGGCAGUGGAUCUCCUGCAAGAGCUUGGCCGCUAGCAGAACCUUCUUCGCCCUCUUCUGUUUCGUCGAAGGCUUCUUCUUCGUCAUCUUCCUCCUUACCUCCUUUAACGGCUUCUUUUGCUUCGCCCCAAUUUGAGCAGCGGAAUAAGAUCAGUCAGCUCCCCCGGUACGAGAUACCGAAGCAUCUGCGGGAGCAGAUCAAGAAUGAUGUCGUGCCCCAAGUGCUCAAAAGGCCCUUAUCCCCAUCAACUUAUGCUGAUUACUUUGCCGCUCUGCUUUAUGCAGAGGACUACUAUUCUGAGGUACUCUUCUCACAUUUUGUUAUUCUAACUACUUCCAGAAUAACAACAUGAGUUGGCUAGGCGAGCAUAAGUUCGUAUUUUGACAUUUAGCAAAGUAAUUGCAAUAUGAACUAUGGCAAAGCAACUCUCUUUGUUGUUGUUGUUGUUGUUGUUGGAGAAAAGAAUCUAUCACUCUGGUCCCUUGGAGGGCCUGUAUGGAAUAGAGCUUCGAUUUGUCCAGCAACCAAUUUUGGUUCCCUUUCGAUCAUCACAGGUCUCGAAACUCGAGGCAAGUAAUUUAUCAUUUUCUCUGGUGUUAUAGUACGCGAAAUACUAGAAUUCAUUGUGUAGCAGAACAUUUUAAAAGCGACAAAACGAACAAAGAGACGCUAUUGUGUUGUAUGUUUACGUCUUGAGCUGAUUCCGAACAUGUCCCAGAGUUUUGCACAGUAUCAGUGUUUCAGAAGCUAACAGAAAUUUUAGCUGCCUUUCAACUCCAUCUUCAUAACCAUAAUCUCGCAACCCUUUCAUGGCCUUCCUCGUUAUCUGUAGCUGCAAGUGAUUAUUCAUAACUAGUAUAAGUCGGAGAAACUGAUCAACAAAGACAAAUAAUUGUAACUUCAAUAGUAUAAUAUCAACAUUGGUUCUUUAUAACAGCAUUGCAGUAUGCAUGUGUACUGAACUGUUCUCCUAACCAAAUGCUGUAAUCUAUGUCCUGUCACUAUGCUUUUCAUAGGAAUUUCAGUUUCAGUUUGCUCUCUCUUUAUGCUCUUAAGCAGUCUCGUGUUUCAUUAGUUCCAAAUUAAUAUUCCCUUCCGAAUUUAACUACGUAGUUUGCUUUUCAACAGAAAUGGAGCGACUUUAUUUUGCAUGAUGUCAUGCUGGAAUUGCGUAAAAAGGACAGCUUCAAGAUUCAGAACUCAGCUGGAGGCAACAAGAACAACAAAAGUAAUGCUCAGAAGGAUAAGCCUUUUGUAGCUUUCGAGAUUGAUUCAGUUCCUGAGAAGCGGCCGUACCUCAUAUCAAGGGAUCAUGUCCUCGUGCGACCCGCUGGGAAGCAAAUUGAGCCCUUUCAGGUGUGUGUCAAUGGAUCUUCUUCUUCUUAUGCUUAUUCAUCUUAUUAUUCUUCUUCUUUUGCUUGGCCCCCUGUGCUCAUACUGUGGGUGUUCCCAAUUUAGUAAUUUGGUUUAUUGUACCUGCAUCAAUCAUCAACAGAUUAGGAGAUGAAGUUUCAAUUUUCAUUUAAUCAUUUGCUCAAUUUUCAUUUAGUCAACUUUUAGGAGCCUUUGAAGAGUAGACCAGAUAAUUCUUGUUUCAACCAUCACCUAGAUAACUAUAUACAUGUUUCAAUUUCCUUAAGAAGGUUAUGUAGUUGCUAGCUUUUGCAAGAAACGCGCUGCUACGUGAGAUGGUCGAAUGUCGUGUGUCCUCAAAUUUCUAUUUCCUCCCGAUUUUUUUUAAGAAUCGGGAGCUUAUUCUCCGACGAUCCCCUCACCAUCUUUCUUUCUUGUGUCAUGGUUUGGACCCACCUGAAACGCUUUUGCAGAGUCUUAUUUAGAGUUUGAUGCAGUUUAUGAUAAAAUGCCGAUACACAGCGAAUUUGACAGAUGAACUUUUGCACCAUUACCAGGGAAUCUUCUUCCGGGUCGAAAAGAGCAAAUGGGUGUUAGCCGAAUUCGGAGACAAUUUCCACAAGCAACACUCGCCCUCGAAGAAGUACGACGUUAGCUUCUCCUUCAACCGGGUUUGCUUGAAGCGAUGUCACCACGCGGUUUCGGCUGCAAUGGAUCCUUUCCUCUGCAGCAUCCUUUUCCCCGACCCACCCCAUAAAACAUUCCUUGGACCCAUCCAUGAUUUCAACUUCACCCAGAAUGACCGAGAAAGUGCCGUGAUUGCGAUAAUAAGCCAUAUUAUAAAUCUACGAAGUCCUGAACCUUAUCUUCUCGAGGGGCCUCUUUCAGAAACGCCAUCAGGCAAUCUCUCUGAAAUGGGGAAUGUGAUUCACUCAGCUAUUCUGCAGCUCUACAGAACCUGCACCAGCAGUAAAAUCCUUGUAUGUGCUCCGAGAAACCGGACAUUGGAUGCGCUAACAAAAAGCCUGCUGGAGGACAUCCCAGAAUCGAGAAUUUUCCGUGCCAAUGCAGCCUUUCGAGAGUACAAUCUCGUCCCGGAUGACAUUAUGCCGGUGUGCUCAUUUGAGGAGGAGUGCUUCACUUGUCCACCUCUAGCUGAGCUUGAGAACUUCAGGGUUGUUACCUCUACCUUCAUCAGUACAUUUAGGCUGAAAGCUGCUGGAAUUGGUGCUGAUCAUUUCAGUCAUAUCUUUCUCGUCGACGCCUCUUCUUCUACGGAGCCUGAGACUGUUGUGGCUCUCGCGAAUCUCGUGGGCAAGACUACUGCUGUCAUGGUGACAGGGUCACUACUCAAUAUGCCGAAGUGCGUGAGAUCGGAUAUGGCGAGGAGAAAUGGAUUGAAGAAGUCGUUCUUUCAGAGGCUUCGUGAGAUGGAGCCCUACUGUCUGGAUGAUCCUAUGUGUAUCACCCAUGUUUAUGGUGAUGAUAAACGAAAUGAUGGAACUAUGAUACUUCCAUCAAUGGAUACUAAUGGAUUCGAGUACUAAGUGCACGGCGAUCGUGAUUCUUCUGGUACUAGGUAUAGUGGAGUGGCCUGUACAGAUAUAUCGCAGAAAACAGUUGCUGCAGUUACUGUAUAUGUUUGUGGUUCAUGCUGAAUAAUAAAUAAACUGGUGCGUAUCUAAUAAUAACUUACUCCCUAUGAUGAUUAUUUCAUGUGACUGAAAACUAGUAGUUUCAUUUUUGCCUCUUGGAAGAUCUUAGCAUUCAUAAUUUGGUAGAAUAGAGACAUUCAACUCGCACUCAUCUAGCCGUCUAUUAAAUCUUAUGUUCUUUUUUAAUAAAUCAAAAAGAUAUGUCAAAUAAAAUAUUCAUACAUUCAAACAGGGAUCGAAGUCUCAAUAUAUAGUAAAUAUUCUAGGAUAGAUUGCACAAGUGAUUUUUGAGCUUUUUAAGAGAUUGCCCCAAAAUUUUCCCGAGGUAUCAGGUUGUUGCAGAACCUUCCAAUUGUUAUACAAUUGGACCAAUAAUCUUUGCAUUCCUGCUCCUAGCAGAUUUUUGGGCAUCUUAGUCUAGUUUUUAUAGGAAAUGAAAAAGUUAGGGAUCAGAUUAUGAAUGUUCAAGAUCCCUUGGUCAAUUUAUGCCUCUCUUAAAUUUAAUGCUUAUAUAUUUGACACAUUUCAUUGAUUUCAACAACCUCAGAAUGAGUAAUCGUCACCUGCACUAGUAUAAAAUGAUGAACCUCUUCAAGCAAAAACAACAUGUACAUGACACUCAAUGCAACACGAAACUAUGAUUCAAAGAAUAACCAUUUUGAGCGUAACUGAAGCUACUGAUCGGGCUUUAAAUUGCAUGCGUGUCAACGGAACCAUCUCAGUACAUUUAUCACAUCAAAAGACAAAAGCAGAUCUCACUAUAUUUAUCGCAUCAAAAGACACAAGCAGCUGAACUUCCUAAUUGGCCAAGUAGUACAGCGCAAAUGCAUAAGCAUUUGGCAUAUUUAAAGUUAUGAAUAAGCUGACAACGGUACUUUUUGCGCUCAUGAACUCCUGGAGGCUUGCCUGAGUUUUGCUUGUAAUACUAGUCCGGCUUCAUCUGCUAUGCUUUUCUUUUUCGAAGCCAUCUGCAUUCAACAUCGUAGAAGUUACACAGUAGCAUAUUAGAGAAAAAUGUUCAUAAUAAUCUGAAGUUGUUCUUGCCUAUAAUGUCGAAAAUAAGUUAGCCAAUAAACACCACUAGGUGACACUAUUUCACCGAACCUUCUUUAAAGUAGAACUUCACACCUGAGCUUCCAUGGGUAAUACAGAAAUAGCAACUAAUGAAAACUGCACUGACGACAUAUAUGAUAACCAACAAAUGAUAAGUACACCCCCUAAAAGCAAAAAUACAGGUGUUUUCUUUUCUCCCUACCAAAGAACAGUUUCCAUUGGCGGUUUAGUUGUUUGCUUUAUAUUGUCCUCGCCUUCCCUUAAGUGAGCUUACACAUGACAAAAAAUGAGUUCAAGUGAUAUUCCCUCUUGAUUGGCAUUCUACAGGUAUAUUAUUGCCAGUUCAGAGAUGUAUAAUCAUGUGUACAGAGUAAGAACGGUUAAAAAUGAAAUAACAAGCAAAUUCUACAUAAAAUGCACUUAAACCAAAGAUAAAAUUAUGUUCCACGUUGCAAGAAGACAAAUCCUUUGACAGCCAAUAGAAAUUACUGCAGGAAAUGAAAAAUUGAAUAGGCAAAGAUAUAUUAGGCAUGAGAUGUUUUUUUUGGGAUUUCCAAUUGAUGUUGUCAAUCUGUAUGAAAAUACUCAUUACUGCACAUACAGCAUUCUAUGCCUAUUCAAAGAUGAAUAACUAAAUACUUGAUACAUCAUAAGGGUCUUCUUGUUGACAAAAAGAUAUGCAUGUCUCUCUAAACUAUUAAGUAUGGAUUAUGCAAUAAAACAAUCCAAUGAAAAGCUGGUGAUUUUUUCAGUGAGCAAAUAUGAGCCAUAAAAAGUAUGCCUCAAAAAGCACAAUAUACAAUAUAUCAUCACUUACCUCAACAAGCUCAUCAAAAUUAGACUUCAAUAAAUUGAUUUUCCGCUCAAAAUAAUCUUUGCCUUCGGCCAUGCUUUUCAUACAUAUCUUUUUAUACAGCAUUCUGCAUUGAUAAGAUAGGUAAUUAACCUUACAGAUCAUGCAAUACAGGUAUUCCAAAUCAAAGACAUAAACAUUUCAGGUAUUAAAACAAAAAUGACAUUGACGUCCUUUACAAUGGUAUGGAGGGAUCAAUUCAUGAAAGGACAAACAGUUAUCUCAUAAGACUGGAGAACAGGGUAUUGUAAAUUAUGCAUUUAUCCAAAUCAACCAAGCAUUUGCAAAACUAAAAUUCAAGCAGUGAUAGCCCAGAGAACAUCUAACCAUAUAAUUAACUAACAAAUUUCACAAGAAAAUUAACAAUUCGAUAAGCCCCAACCAAUCAUAGUCGAUAGUUCACAACAAACACAAACACUUUUGCAGGACUUAUUCAUGACAACAUAACAAAAGAAUGGAUUAGAAACCGCAAAAACCAAAUAACAUUUUCCUAAAGAGAGCUUCAUCUGUUUAACUUCAGCUAACUUAUUUCUCAUUUCAAUCUUUCCUAGAAAGCUUGAUUUAGUUAAAAAGAAACUCGCUAAUUAUCUGAUGUUAGUAUGCUACUAUGCCAACCAUUCUUUUAUUGAGGUCUUUUGCACCAAAUCAAAAUUUUUGCGCCAAAUUUAGUCGCCUGCACCAAAUGAUACACAAAAAAACAGAUCUUUUGCAUCAAAUCAAGCCCACAGUCAAACAAAAGUUGGUGCCUUUUCUUACAGCAAAUUAAAACACCAUGAUUAGGCUUUUUGCACCAAAUCAAAAUCUGUGCGCCAAAUUUAGUUGCUUGCACCAAAUGAUACUUAUAUAAAGCAGAUUUUUUUCCACAUCAAAUCAAGCAACAAAACUUAGCAGAGCCUUUCGGGUUUCCACAACCGCAAGAUGAAAACUUUGGGGGGUACUACUGGCACCAGGAUCUUCUUCCCUCAAAACCAACAACACAUUAGGGUUCCAUCUAGGGUUUCGACCGAAGGGGGAAUCAUUAAUAUCAUUACUAUCGGUGCAUUUACCUUCUGACAGAUCAAAGGCAUACUGAAAAAGAAAAAGGAAUCAUUAAUAUCAUAUAAACCUACUUUUGCAACAAAUAAGCAUGAUUAGAUGAAGGAUGAAUCAGGUGGUCGAGGAAGGAAACGGAGCCAUCAAGAACCUGUAGAGGGAAAAGGGAGAAAGGAGGAGGAUGCUUACCAUUGUUGAUCAUCUUACACGUCUUAUUCAAACUAUAAAUUAGCAAAAAUCCUAGUUUUCUUGUUGAUCAAGGUGACGCCAACAUUUAACAUUCGAAGAGGCCUAAUUUCACAUCAAGCAAGAAAAGAUUAACUAAUAUCAUAUAAACCCACUUUCACAAACGAAUAAGCAAUAUUAGAUCAAGUAUGGAGGAUUCUUACCGUUCUCCAUCAUUUUACACGUCUUAUUGAAACUAGGAAUCAGCAAAAAUCCUAGUUUUCUUGUCGAUCAAGGUCACGCGAACAUUCAACAUUCGAUGAGACCUCAUAUCACAUUGAACAAGAAAAUGGCAAGAUUAAUAUCAUAUAAGCCAACUUCCGCAGAACGAAGAGGCGCAAUUGGGUCAAAGAUGAAUCGAAUAGCUGAGCGACAAAUUGAAGAGGGAAACGGGACGGGGUUUGGAGAGGAAACGUACCAUUAGGGAUUAGAGCAAGCUAGGGUUUGGAGAUUGGAAUGGCGCCUCUAAUGGCGAAAUCGCGAUCUAUUCGAAGAAGAGAGAGAGAGAGAGAGAGAGAGAGAGAGAGAGAGAGAGCAAGCACCGACCCUUCUCUCUGCUCCGUUCAACGAGAAAUUUGCGGGAAAUGGGAUGCAUUGAUGCGUAUUUAUAGGGCCAGGAUCGGACCGUUGGGUUGUUAACGUUUCGAAAAGCUGCGGUGAGGUUUCCGCCACUGCACUUGCUUCCUUCGGGAUUGCAGGUUGAAUGCGUUACAUGCAGUGAGAAAGUACGUUGAAAAAAUAUUCUAUUUAUUUUUGUAAUAUUAUGUUCUGUAUAUCGCGAUGAGUCGAUUAUAUAUAUUUUUGAUUCUAUUGGAGAAUGCAGAAAUAUAUUUCUAUAUAUUUUUUUUUCAACUCUAUUUUAUCUAAUAGUGUUAGAUAAAUCUCAAUACCAAAUUAAGUUUAAAUAAAGUUUAACGGUAUGAAAAAUUUUAAAAACUUUAUUUAGAGCCAAACAACCAAUAGUCCAUUUGCUUGCGAUGAAUGAGCAGUUAAAAUCACAAUUCCAAAAUAAAGUUGCUAAUGCAUAUGUUUGUCAGGCUACUAGAUACACCACUAUAUUUAUUAAAAUUGUCCAACUUGUACUCACAAAUAUAUAGACUUUAGUUCUUAACUUCAAAAAAUUUUAAUUUUACUGUCUAAUUUUUUUAAAGUAUUUAAUUUGAGCUCGUCAACAGCUCCUUAAUUUUAAAAUUUAAAAUACAUUAUUUAUCUUUACAAACUUAAUAAGUAUAUUUUGUCUGGUUUAUGUAACUAUAAAUUUAUAGAAGUAGUAAUUAGUCUUAAAUAUUGUAUUGAAAAAGUCACCAAAUGACAUAAAUCAACCAAAUAAAAAAAAAUUGGAUACUUUCAUUAAAAUUUUAAUAGUCUCUCGUACUCUAUCCUUCAAAUAAGUUAGGCUAAAUUAUAUAAAACCUUAUGUCAAAAUCUGAUUUUUCAUUUUCUUCUUGUCAUUUAAAAACCUACACUUUGCCCCCUUGUAAAAAAAAAAAUGUUCACUUCGUCCUCUGCCAUUAGUAAUCCGUUAGGAUUCUGUUUAUAAACUAUUAUUAUAUAUUUUUUUAUGUCAAAAAUGUCCUCAGCCUUCUUUUUUGUAAACAUGAUGAGGGUCAAAAUAGUGAGGGACAAAAUGAUCAUUUUAUCAUCACAAUUCAUACCGUACUCUUCUGUGAAUAUUUUUAUUUUAUAAGAAGGAAAAGUGUAGAUUUUUAAAUAACUAGAGAAAAAAUAAAAAAUCGAGUUUUGACAGAAAAAUUUUCUGUAAUUUAGAAAAUAAGUAAUAUAUAUUUUUACUAAUUGAGUGGAUGCGUUAACCAUGCAUGUACAUGAAAAGGAGAGCCCGGCGUAGGAUGCGUUAAAACUACAAAAGCCUUCUCUUUUGGUAAAGGACUAGUGCAGGUACUUUUCCCCCGGAAAACCAAAGGAAAGCUUCGUCUUACUGCGAUCUGGUGAUGAACUCACUCAGCUGAAAGUUAUUAAAAGAAAAAAAAGGUCCAUUUUCUCCAAUUCGAAACCAUGAUAUCCGGCUUCCUUGAUUUCUGUCGGCGCUUGUUGGGAGGGCAAGAUGAAGAGAAUCAAGAGGGGGGCCGCCAUGGAUUCGAACGACGAAGCAGCUCCGGCGGUAACUCUUCGCCGCUGCAAAGAGAGAGUUCGCAGAGGAGAUCACCGGUGCCGGACGCUUCCUUUGCUUCUCCGUCUCCGGCGAGAGCUCAGCCUCCUCAUGCCGCAUCGGCCGGUGCAAAAGCUUCGCCGCAAUUAGAACCUCCUUCAUUUCAUCCUCUCUUGUUUCUUCGAAGCCUUAUUCUCCUUCCUCAUCUUCUUCAUCCUGCUUAACUCCUCCUUUAUGUACAGCUCCUUUUGCUUCUCCGUCUCCGGCAAAAGCUCAGCCUCCUCGUGCCGCAUCUUCUGCUCCUCCAUCAACAGCUUCUUUUUGUUCGCCGUCGAAGGUUUCUGUGGAUAAUUUGCCGCUGUUCGCUAGCGAGAAGUCGUCGGAACCGCCCCAGUUUGAUCAGCGGAAUAAGAUCGGUCAGCUCCCGCGGUACGAGAUCCCGGAGCAUCUGCAGGAGCAGAUCAAGAACGAUGCCGUGCCCCAGGUGCUCAAAAGGCCCUUAUCGCCAUCCACUUAUGCUGAUUACUUUGCCGCUCUGCUUUACGCAGAGGACUACUACUGUGAGGUACUCUUAUCAUAUUUCAUUGUCCUAACUACUUCCGAAUAUCAUGUGAUCUUUAGCGAAUGCAACUCUGCUUGCUGUUGUUGGAUAUUCCUUUCGAGGGCGUAUUUUGAAAGCUUUUUUGUUAAGACUCGCGAUUUGUCGAACAACUUGGAUUUUGCAACUAGGAGCGUCACGGUUCAGACUGAAGAUUCUGCUCGUAGGGCCACCGAAAUCUCAUCUAGGUUUCCUACUGUCGUGUGUCCUCGAUUGGCGCUGCCGAUGAUACUUCAAUUGUCGACUUUAGUAUUGAGCGAAAGGUUUACACCUAUAGGUUCUGUAUUGCAGGUCGAUCCUGCUACACACUAGUAUUCCCGGAAGUUCUAGACAUUGGUGUUGAUCUUUCGCUUCUUGAGUAGGGAGAAGCUUAAUUCAGAGCGACCAUACAACUCCUCCUUCAUAACGAUUAUCUUGCGACCCUUGGUGGAUUCAUCCCCUUAUCGUUAGUUGCAGCUGCAAUCAAAUAUUCAUACCGAGUGUGAGUUAGAUCGACAGAGAUUUAGAUACUUCUAAUAUCUUUAAUAGUAUCUCGACAUUGACUCCUCAUAACAGCAUUACAAUAGGUAAUCUAUAUCCUAUCACUUUGCUCUUUAUAGGAGUUCCAGUUUCAGUUUUCUUUCUCUCUUUACGCUCUUAAGCAGCCUCCUAUUCCAUCAGUUCCAAUUUAAUGUUCCUUUCCGUUUUUUGGUUAUGUAAUUUGCAUUUCAACAGAAAUGGAGCGAUUUUUUGUUGCUUGAUGUCACGCUGGAAUUGCGCGGAAGGGACAGCUUCAAGAUUCAGAACUCAGCUGGAGGCAAGAAGAACAAUAAAAGUAAUGCUCAGAAGGAUAAGCCCUUUGUAGCUUUUGAGAUCGGUUCAGUUCCUGAGAAGCGGCCGUACCUCCUAUCAAGGGAUCAUGUGCUUCUACGACCUGCCGGGAAGAAAACUGAACCUUUCCAGGUGCAUCUCUCAGGAUCUUCUUCUUCUUAUUCUUCUUAUUCUUAGAUUGGACUCAAAUCUUUACACUUACAGUGGCUUAGUUCGUGUCGUGGAUCUGUUUAGUGAACUUUUGUAUCAUUGCCAGGGAAUCCUGUUCCGGGUCGAAAAGAGCAAAUGGGUGUUAGCCGAAUUCUCAGACGAUUUCCACAAGCAACACUCACCCUCGAAGAAGUACGACGUUAGCUUCUCCUUCAACAGGGUUUGCUUGAAGCGGUCUCACCAGGCGGUUUCAGCUGCAAUGGAUCCUUUCCUCUGUAGCAUCCUUUUCCCCGACCCACCGCGUAACCCAUUUCUCGGACCCAUCCGUAGUUCCGAUUUCACCCAGAACGACCGAAAAAGUAACAUGCUUGCGAUAAUAGGCCGGAUUCUACGUCUGAAAGGUCCUCAGCCUUAUCUUCUACUCGAAGGGCCUCUUUCACAAGGCAUGGAGAAGCUGAUCCAAAUAGCUAUUCUCCAACUCUAUGAAACCUGUUCCAAUAAUAGAAUCCUUGUAUGUGCUCCGAGAAACUGGACAUUGGAUGCACUAACAAAAAGCCUGCUAAAGGAUAUCCCAGAAUCGAGAAUGUUCCGUGCUAAUGCGGCAUUUCGAGACUAUGAUCUCGUCCCGGAUGACGUUAUGCCGGCGUGCUUGUUUGAGGGGGAGUGCUUCACUUGUCCACCACUGGCUGAGCUUAAGAGUUUCAGGGUUGUUACCUCGACCUUCAUCAGUUCAUAUAGGUUGUAUGCUGCUGGAAUUGGUGCAGAUCAUUUCACUCAUAUCUUUCUCGUCGACGCGUCUUAUGCUACGGAGCCUGAAACUAUUGUGGCUUUUGCAAAUCUUGUGGGCAAGACUACGGCGAUUGUGGCGACAGGGUCGGCACAGGAGAGUCCGGCGUGGGUGAGAUCGGAUAUUGGUAGGAGAAAUGGAUUGAAGAAGUCGUUCUUUCGGCGGCUUCUUGAGAUGGAGCCCUACUCUCUGCGUGAUCCUAUGUACAUUGCCCAUAUCCAGUGAAUUUCUUGUGAAAGAAUUGAUGCGAUUAUGAUACUUACACCGACGGAUUUGUGUACAAGUGUGCGGCGAGUCGUGAUGCUUCUGAUAGCUGGUAUAGUAGAGUGGCCUCCAUAGAAAUGUUGUGUAAACAGUUGCUACAGUUCCAGUAAAUGUGUGUGGUUUGUGCUGAAUAAUAAACUCGUGCAUAUCUAAUAAUAACUUGCUCCAUAUGAUGAUUUCUCAUGUGAUUGAAAGCUAGUAGUUUUAUUUUUGCCUCUUGAAAGGUCUUAGCAUUUAUGAAGUCGCACUCAUCUAAUUAUCUAUGAAAUCUUAUGUACUUUUCGAUAAGUAAAAAAAAAAUGUGAAUAAAAUAUUCAUGCAUCUAAACACACUCGAAAUCUCAAUAUUAAGUACUUUCUGAUAGAUUGCGCAAGUGAUUUUUUGACCUUUCAAGAGAUUUCCCCAAACUUUCGCCAAGGUACCAGGUUGUUCCAGAACCUUCCAAUUGUUAUACAAUUGGACAAAUAAUUAAUCUGUGCAUUCCUUCACCUAGCAGUUUUUCUGGACAUCUUAUUCUAGGUCUUUGGAAAUGAAAAAGUUAGGGAUCAGAUUAUAGAGGUGCAGGAUCCCUGGAUCAAUGUACCCAUAGAUGUAAUGCCUGUCCUAAAUUUAAUGCUCAUAUUUGACACAUUUCAUUGAUUUCAACAACCGCAGAAUGAGUAAUCACCCGCACUUGUAUAAAAUGAUGAACAUCUUCAAGCAAAAACAAUAAAAACAUGACACUCAAUGCAACAGACUACUAUGCUUCAAAUUUCAAAGAAAAACCAUAUUGAGCAUAACUAAAAUUAAUGAUCAGGCUUUAAACUGCCAAUGGAACCAUCACUCACUACAUUCAUCACAUCGAAAGACGCAAGCAAAUCGACAUCCUAAUUGGCCAAGUAGUACAAUGCAAAUGCGUAAGCAUUUGGCAUAUUUAGAGUUGAGAAUAAGCCGAGAAAAGGACUUUUUGCUCUCAUGAACUUGCGGAGGCUUGCCUGAGUUUUGCUUGUAAUACCAGUCCAGCUUCAUCUGCUAUGCUUUUCUUUUUCGAAGCCAUCUGCAUUCAACGUUGAAGAAGUUACAAGGUAGCAUAGUAGAGAAAAAUGUUUCACAAUAAUCUGAAGAAAAUGUUCUUGCAUAGGAUGAAGAAAAUAAGUUAAGAGUCAAUAAACACCACAAGGCGACAAGUAUUUCACCGAACCUUCUUUAAAUAGAACCUUAUGCAUGAUUUUCUAUGAGUAUUACAGAAUAGCAAGUCAAGAAAACUGCACUAACAACAUAUAAAAUAACCUACAAAUGCUAAAGCACACUCUUGGAAGCGAAAAUUCAUGUGAAAAUUUUUUCUUACAAGAAGUUCAAUUUUAUUUUGAUUGCGCAAAAAAAUAGUAAUGUUUGGGUCAUAACUUAGUGCAUUUGAGUAAUGAGCUGAGAUUCCAUUGCCGGUUUAAUUGUUUGCUUUUAUAUUGUCCUCACCUUUCCUUAACCGGGCUUACACAUGAUGAAAAUGUGUACAACUGACUUUCCCUCUUGAUUGGCUUUACCCAAAUAUAUUAUCACUAGUACAGAGAUGUACAAUCAUGUGUAGAGAGUAAGAAUGGUAAAAAAUGAGACAAGAAGCAAAUUGUACAUAUAAUGGGCUUAAAUCAAUGACAUAAUUACAGUCUACAUAGCAAGAAGACAAAUCCUUUGACAGCCAAUAAAAACUGCUGCACAAACCAUAACACUGGAUAAGAGAAAAUAUAUUAGGCAUGAGACGCCUUUUUUGGGUUACCUGUUGACAUAGUUCAUCUGCAUGAACUGAAGCAAAUGGUGGGAAAAGAACUGAAAAUACCCAUUACUAAGCAUACAGCAUUCUAUGCCUAUUCAAAGACAAAUAACUAAAUACUUGAUACAUCAAGGGUCUUCUUGUUGUAUAAAAAGAUAUGCAAGUCUCUCUAAACUAUCGAGUUAAGUAUAGCUUUUGGAAUAAAACAAUCCAAUGAAAAGCUGGCGGUUUUUUCAGCGAGCAAAAACGAGUCAUAAAAAGUAUUGCUCACAACGCACAAGAUGGAAUCACAUACCUCAACGAGCUCAUCAAAAUUAGACUUCAAUAAAUUGAUUUUCCGCUCACAAUAGUCUUUGCCUUCGGCCAUGGUUUUCUGCAUUAACAAGAUAGGUAAUUAACCUUACAGUCAUGCAAGAAAGGUUUUCCAAGUCAAAGACAUAAACAUUUUAAGGUAUCAAGACAAAAAUGACCUUGACAUCCUUUACAAUGGUAUAGAGGGAUCAAUUCAUGAAAGGAUAACAGUUGUCUGAUAAGGGUGGAGAACAGGGUAUCGUAAAUUAUGCAUUUAUCCAAAUCAACCGAGCAUUUGCAAAACUAAAAUUCAAGCAGCAAUAGCCCAGAGAACAUCUAACCAUAUAAUUAACUAACAAAUUUCACAGGAAAAAUUAACAAUUGGAUAAGCCCCAAAGAAUCAUAGUCGAUAGUUCACAACAAACACAAACACUUUUACAGGAUUGAUUCAUGACAACACAACAAAAGAAUAGAUUAGAAACCGCAAAACCCAAAGAACAUUUUCCUAAAGAGAACUUCAUCCGUUUAACUUUCGCUAAAUUAUUUCGCUAAAGAGAACUUCAUCCGUUUAACUUUCGCUAAAUUAUUUCUCAUUUCAAUCUUACCCAGAAAGCAUGAUUUAGUUAAAGAAAAACCUUACUAACUAUCUAAUGUUACUAUGUCAACUAAUCUUUUAUUGAGGUCUUCUGCACCAAAUCAAAAUUUCUGCGCCAAAUUUAGUCGCCUGCACCAAAUGAAACUUACAGAAAACAGAUCUUUUGCAUCAAACAAAAGUCAGUGCCUUUACUUACAUCAAAUUAAAACACCAUGAUUAGGCUUUUUUGUACCAAAUCAAAAAUUUAGUUGCUUGCACCAAAUGAUACUUGUAUAAAGCAGAUUUUUUUCCACAUCAAAUCAAGCAACAAAAGUUACAAAACCUAGCAGCGCUUUUCAGGUUUCCACGAUCACAAGAUGAAAACUUUGGGGGUAUUACUGACAGAGGGGAGGGGGAACCUCGAUGAAGUAUCCGGUGCCGACGUCGACGAGGACCUUAUCGGCGUCAUCUAGGGUUCCGGGGACGUAGAGCGAGGCCGUUAGCGGCACCAGGAGCUUCUUCCCUGCGAAACCAACAACACGUUAGGGUUCCAUCUAGGGUUUCGAUCGAGAGGGGAGAGAGACGGAUGGGUCACCAUGGGGGCGGAGGGAGAGGUCGUGGAGGGCGGCGGCGGCGGACUCGAGGCGGGAGGCGGCGGUGCGGAUCUUGGCGAGGCCGUCCUGGAGGAGGUUGACCUCGAGGUCGGUUUGCUCCUUCAGCGACCGCAGCUGCUCCACGCCCAUCCUCUCCAUCUCCGGCGCCCUAAUCACCCCCGCCGAUCCCCCUACCCGCCCCGUCGCCAUGGACGAUCUACAGCUCGAGGAAGAAGAAGAAGAAGAAGAAGAAGAAGAAGGGAUCAGAGACUAGCAAAAACUCGAGUUUUGAUAGAGCCCACAGAGUAGAGUGUGUAUAUAUAUAUAUACUUUUUAUUAUAAAAGUUUGUUAUGAAAUAUCAAGUAGCAGCCCCUAUAGCUCAGUGGUAGAGCGUCAGUCUUGUAAACUGAAGGUCUGUAGUUCGAUCCUGCAUGGGGGCAUUUUUCUUUUUUUUAUUUUUUUAUUUUUUUAUUUUAAGAUGGUAUUAUAGUCAACUUAUUGAUAUAACCAAGUUAAUCCAUGUUUAGCAACCUGUUGGCGGAUGAUCUGGCUGGAAAAAAAAUAACAUAAUUUUUAAGAACCAAUCAUUUGACUUUUUUUUUACUACUAGAUGACUUCGAGACGUGAGCUGACUUUUGCAGCUCUUAGUGACUUAGUUUUGAGUGAGGAGUAGUAAUUUUUCUAUGAUUUUUCUUUUUUAUUGUGGUUGCCUUCAAUAUUUUUCAAGACUGCGUUCUAGCGAGAUACUGUUUUUCUCAAAAAAGAAAAAACAAUCUAGUUAAGAUCUGAGCUUCAUAUCAGAAAACAAACUGAAAUCCUACUGCUACUCACUUACUGCAACUAGAAACAUUGCACAGGUUACUGACAUUUCAUUGUUAACUUCUUCAAAUUCGAACAUCAUAUUCUUCAAAAAUGCUAAACUGAAGCAACUCUAUCAUUCUUCAAAACAAGUUUUCUACUAUGUUUAGGCAACACAAAUAACCUUUGCCAGCAUCUGACAUUGUUGCUGCAGUUGCCUACACAAACAUCUUCCAAUAGAAACAUCUAGGACAAAAUGUUUACCUUCAUGUCAGAUUACUCCAAUCAGCAAACAAACAGUGAGACUAUCAGAAAAGAAAAGCGAAGUUUUCUAUCAUGAAGAUUAAUGUGUAGCCAAAAACAGCAGUUUCUGUGGCACAUACAACUUAUGACUGCGAGAAGCAUCAUCUCGAAAGAUAAAAAUAGUUCAGGUCACAAGCCAGAACCCAUGUUCUUAGGCAUUUGAUGGCGCCGACUCCUGCGGAGUUCUCGCAACGAUGGAAAUGGCAUGGAGUCCAGAUUUCAGCUCAUCGCCCAAAAGAUCGUACACCAUCCGGUGGCGUUUCAAGAGGCUUUGCCCGUCGAAUUUCGCUGAAACAACCUUGAUGUUGAAAUGGGUCUCGUUUGCGUCCACCCCCUUAACACCUGCGUGCCCGGAAUGCUGAUACGAAACAUCCUCUACUUCCAGCACACUGGCUUCCAAUGCGGCCUGCAGCUUUUGCCUGAUUCUACUAGCCCUCGAUAGCGCGACAGCGGUUCCCCGUGAGCCCAUUUUGGUUAUCAGGUAUCUUAGACCCUACAUGUUAAAACAAAAUGGUCAGAAACUCUCCGUUAUCGGAAAAUUGUUAACACCAUGAACUUUCGAUUUUCAUAUGAAAUACUCCACUGCGAAAAUUCUUCCAUAUUAUUUCUCCACAACCGAUUCGUCUUAAAUCGAAUAUACAAAUCAUAAAUUUGAACAAGGCAGCAACAAAGUAGAAAUAAUAUACUUAUAUGCAAUACAGGAGAGUUUCUGUUCGUGCGGCGGAUCUAUUGCGCCGCUGAUUAGGCUUUAAAUGGGCAUCAUCAAAUUUAUGUAGCUGAGUUCUAUUUUUCUGAGAACUUUCCUAUGCAUGAUGCCAAUAGCAAAUUUUAUGUUAAUUUUAUGAUUAAUUUCGGUUCUCUUUCUCAAUUAAAAAGCGAAAACCCUAAUAUUUUGGCACCAAAUAAAUUGACCCCUUGGUAUGGUUUGAUGAUAGGGCACAAAAUAGAUUGGAGAUGGGAAUAAAUCCCUAAUAAGGGAUUUAAAUUUAGCGUUAGAAUCUGAAUAAAGGAGAGAUGAGGGACUUACACGAAAGAAGCAAAGCAAUAGCCCUUGUGUUGAGAAGAGACCUUGGGUUGGGGGGGACGAGAAGAGCCUGGGCAUAUGUUGGAUAUUAAUUUUUUUUAAAAAAAAAGAUAAUACAAAAUAUAAUAGAAAUUAUAAAAAUAAAAUGAGUGAAUUUUUUUUUUUUUUUUUUUAAAGAAUUGCGGUGAGCGUGGAUCGAACACGCGACCUUCAGAUCUUCAGUCUGACGCUCUCCCAACUGAGCUAUCCCCGCAACUUUGUUUUUAAUUUUCGAAAAAUGUUUUAAUUUUAUUUAAUCUGUUUUGUCAAACAAAUAAUAAAAAUUGAAAAAUUUCAGUUUCGCAGCACAAACGAACAGCGGAAAAAAAGUAAUUUUUCUCUGAACUUUAGUUCACUUCAACCUGGACUUCACAUUCGGCGAAUCAAACAAGCAAAUCUCUUGAACUUAGAUUUUUAGUCAAAUAAAGACAUAGGAUUGGACUUUGCAGGGAUUGUUACCCUAAUAAUUAUGGUGUACUGUAAAGACACAAUAUGCUCAACUGCCUCGGAAAGGAUGGUCUCUUAAACUAUUUGAUAAAAUUUAGAAGAUUUAAUCGCUUAAUUUAAAAGUUCAGAAGUUUAUUUGCAAAAAUGCUGAAGUUCAAGGUUUCCUUGUACAAUUUUUCUUUUUCCUGAUGAAGCCAUCUCUCUCUCUCUCUCUCUCUCUCUCUCUCUCUCUCUCUCUCUCUCACAUUAUUGAAUAUGGUAUUAUCAGAAUCAAUGAAAUGUUAAUAAGAUCAACCAUUUUGUCUUUUUUUAAUCUUUCUUUGUAUCUUGUCUCCAAUCCCAUACAUCCUCAUAUAAAUUACAGAUAACAAUUUUAUUUGUACAUUAAAAAGUUACAAAAAAAAAAAACUGCCUGAAAAAUGUGUCCAGUUGAACUCAACCACCAGUUUCUUAUUUCUACCCAUUUUUUUGUAACAACUUUGAUCUUAUGAAAGCAAAAUAACUCUUACUGGAAAGAUUCUCAUGAGAGCUGGAACAGCACUAAUGUCUAAUGCACUAUAUUACAGAACCAUUUUUCGAAGUUAAUCCAGUACAUCAUACAUAAGCUUCUGGUCUUUGGAUGAAAAAACUUAGAUGCACAAGACAUAAGCAAAAGACAUAACCUGAGAGAGAUAUCUAGAACCUACAAUUUGAUACCAAAACCAAAAAAAGACGGCUUCAGGAGUUACUAGGGAUGACAUUGAAGAAAUGGUAGACCUCCUCUUCGUCGAGGACCCCGACCUCAGUUGAGCAAACUGAACAGCAUACCGGCCGGAAUACCUCUUCCUCGGGCUUACCAGAGUCACUACGGGCUUUCGACUUCUUUCCUUUUCGUUUCGCAGGACGCAGUAUCUGGUCGGUCCUAACCUUGCAGUUGCGAACAAACAUGGCCCUGUACUGCGUCACGUAUUUCUCGUGCCUGUAAUGGGAAGAACAGGGAACACGACGAGGGAAUUAACAUUCUCGAUGUGAACAAAACAUUCAGAAUUAGCAGUGCUUUACGUGAUCGUACCGUCGACACUUACUCAGAAGUUACAAAUUUAUCACAAUGUUGAUAAAGCCUUCGGGCCAUCGAUAAUAUUUGCAGCAAGAUCGUGCUGACGUCGGUCAGAGAAAAAUGAAUAGCUAUCGACGGUCGGUCAUUAUUUUGACUUAGACUACUGUUAUGUGGAGAUUUUAGAUUAUACAAUUUCAACUAAUAUUCUAUAUUUAGUCACACUAGUAUAUGUCAAAUAUACAACAUCUAGUUUAUAUUUUGUUAUGCCUCACUGAUACAUAAUCAGAAUACUACUAACCGUACUAGCGUAUUCAAUACUCUAACAGACAUUCGUAGUGACGGGAAAUCAUACCUCUGACAAUCCAAGCAUAGGGUGGUGAAACACGCAGGGCAGCUAAGAAUAGCAUCGGAGCUCCGGCCUUUUCGUUGUUUAUGAGCCCAUUUUUCGUCGAUAUCAUCAAUAUUUGGAUCAUAGAACUCGGGUUUGACGGAGUAGUCUAUCUCAUCAUCACUAGAAACUAAGAACCAUAAAAGCAAAUGUCAAAAAAUGGCCAAAAUAAUAUCCAAUCAUUGUGAAAGCGAUGCAAUUUCAGGAUUCCAGUGAAGCGAGUUUCUUGGCCAUUUCAUAGAACUUCAAAUAGCAACUACAUAAGUGCAGUCUUCAUCAACUAACAACAUAAGUGCAGUCUUCAUUAAACUUAAAAUUACCAAUUAGACUCAAAUGAGGCAUAAUUUCUUGGGCUUUUAUUCUUUACAACUCAAGAAUUACCUGGUUGAAUUUUCUUUUUGGUUAUGACUUCAGAAAACUGGACCAAGGAACUUGGAGAAUUCAGGUUGCAUAUACAAAUUUGUUAUCUCGGGUGUUUUCGCGCGAGUGUUUGAAGUCAAAAAUUGAAAGAUUGAAUAGUAAAAUUAAAAUUUUGAAAGACCGAGCAGUGGAUGAUACGUAGUUCAGGCAAGUUCUAUACGGUUUUACCCAAAUUUAAACAAACUAAUUACCAAAAUAAAUAAUUGCUACAAGACUGACUUCAAAANCUAAAAAAAAAAAAAAAAAAAAAAAAAAAAAAAAAAAAAAAACUUAUUAGCCAUAUUUUCAAAUUUUAUUUUUUUCGAGUAAAUUACCCUUACAACUUCUCAUUCAACACUCCCUUCAACAUUGGUUGCUUCUACAAAAAUCACAACCCAUCUCAAUUCAAUAUUUUCUGGCUCUUAUCUUACACCUACUUAACACUUGCAAAAAUUUUAGGCAUGAUGUGUAAAAGAAAAACGUAGAAAAUAAUAAUAAUUAUAAGAUAAAAGAAAAGAAAAUAAGCCAAAAAAAAAAAAAAAGUACCGAAUUCGGCGUGAUUAUCUGGUGCUUCUUCGGUUUCCAUUGGCUGCUUCUCUCGCGAGCCCUCCUCCAUUUUUCACCUUCGUUUUCGCUUCCCACUCUCUUUGCAUUUUAGGGUUCGAUUAGAGGAUUCAAGAAUGAAAAAAGAGAAUAGUGGACUGGGCCGGGUCUCAGUUUGGUAUCCAAACCCGGUAUCUUUUAGCCCGAUAUGUUUCAUGGCCAUAUCGGGCCUGGAUUUGGGAACGAUUUGGUGCCGGCGCUGGCAAUUCAGCUCGUUGUCCGCGAGUCAGCUCGCUGUUAAACUAUUUAGAGAUCCGGUGGUACCACGUGAACAAAAUUACGAAAAUUAAUAUAGAGUUUUAUAGAUCAACUAUAGGACCUAUUGCACCACUUGUUCUUGAGCUUUUUAUUUGUAUAUAUAUUCAAUAUUCUGAACGUUAAAGCCGAUUCGCUUUUGUUCUUGUUGUGCUUUAUUGCAUACAUUUGUGGGACGGCCGUUUAAAAGCUUAAGCUUUUGGACAAUGUUGCAAUUUUGGUUUUGAUAGCGAGGCUCGAGACAUUGAUGCUAUGUUAGGGAGGAAAUUAAAUGAGAAAAUGAACGCAACAGGCUUCAAACUCGAGAUUUAUUGUUCUGAUAGCAUGUUAAAAAUUACUUCUGCGAAAAUAGAAUGAUGGAACUAAAAAUGUGAAUGCAUCAGGUGGAGGUCAUAACUUUUUACUCGAAAACUGGAACUAAAUUGAAGUGUCUAUGAAAGUUUAUGGUGUUGAGUAUUCAUUUUGAAAGUUAAAGAACCAAAGUAAAACCUGACUAAAAGCCUAAGGUCUAUCAGAGCAUCAACACACUCUUUCACUGUGCAUGCAGGGUGAUACAAUGUGGUCCUAAACUGAGAGGAAGGAUGGGGGGAACAGCAUAGAUAUACACAAAGCAUUUCGUUUAGUUCACCGCGCGCGCGCGCCGACGCCGCUGCUGGGGAGGUGCUCGUCGAGCACGUAGUUCUUCCAGAACCAGUGGUUGCGCCAGACGAGGUUCAUCUCCUCGAUGGGCACGUUCUUCGUCUCCGGCAGGAAGAGCACGACGAAGAGCGUCAUGACGAUGACGAAGGCCGCGAAGAGGAAGAAGAGCCCGUACUUGAGGUGGCAGAGCGCCAUGAGGAAGAACUGCGCGACGAGGAAGGUCCAGAAGAAGUUGACGGACACGACGAUCGACUGCCCCGCCGACCGGAUCUCCAGCGGGAAGAUCUCGCUCGGCACGAGCCACCCGAGCGGGCCCCACGACCAAGCGAACGCCGACACGUAGAGGCAGAUGAGUAUGAGCACCCCGUUCGCGAGGUUCUUCGACAGCUGUCCUUCUCCGCUGCUCCCGAACCCUACUCCCAGUAUAGCCCCAAUAGUCACCUGCAAUUGAAAAUGCACAAAACAUGGCAUCAGAACAGAAGAUCCUUAAACAUACAUUGUUAUCUAACUACCAACUCAUAAGGCUUUUUACGACCUGACUGAGGAUCAUCUGCACGCCGCCCUCGAGGAAGAGCCCCUUGCGGCCGACGCGGUCGACGGUGACGAUGGAAACGAGCGUGGCGAAGACAUUGACGGCGCCUGUGAUGACCGCGGACAUGAGGGAGGCGUUCGCCCCAAAGCCGAGGGUCUUGAAGAGGACGGGGGCGUAGAACAUGAUGACGUUGAUGCCGGUGAGCUGCUGCGACGCCGGGAUGACGAAGGCCAUGACCAGCUGCGGCCGGUAGUGGCGCUGGAAGAUGUUCCGCCACGGGUUCUGCACCCGCGCCGACUCCUCGCUCGCCUCGAUCAUGUCCUGCAGCUCCGCGUCGACGUCGUCAGUCCCGCGGAUCUUCUGCAGCGUCGCCUUCGCUUUCUCGUGGUGCCCGCGCUCGAUCAGAGAGUUCGGGGUGUCCGGCAAGCCGAGCGCUCCGAGCGUCAUGAUGCCCGCGGGGACCGCCGCGAGCGCCAGCGAUAUGCGCCACCCGUAUCUAAGUUGUUCACAAUUCGAAUAUAUAUAAAAUCUUAAGCUUUUAGAGGUAAACGGUUGUUUCGUAGCAAUUUAGCAGGUGCAUAGCAGUACCGGCCGUGGAUCUUGUUGGUGCCGUAGUUGACGAGGUUGGCGACGAGGAUGCCGAUGGUGGUGGCUAGCUGGAAGCAGAUGUUGAGGGCGCCGCGGAGCUUUGGGGGGGCCAUCUCGGAGAGGUAGAGGGGGACGGCCUGGUUGGCGAAGCCGACUCCGAAGCCGAGGAGGAUGCGGCCGAUGAUGAGCAUGGCGAGGUUGACGGCGGCACCGUUGAGGGCGGCGCCGAUGAGGAAGUUGGCGCCGCCGAUUAGCAUGGAGAUGCGGCGGCCGGACUUGCGGGUGACGGCGGAGGCGACGUAGGUGGCGAGGAGGCCGGCAAUGUACAGCGACGACGUGAACGCCGUCAGCAGCUGGCUAUCGAACUGGCACCACUCGCUCUUCCCGCCGACCGCACUCUUCUCGUCGUGGUACACCGACGGGAAGAAUUCCUCCAAGAAUACGUCCAUCGACGUCACACCACCUAACAUAGAACGGUGUUUUAAUACUUUAUAUUCAACGCUUUCUCUGAAUUUCACAAAAUCAUAUGUACGUACCUGAAAUUCCAAUGUCGUAACCGAAAAUGAGGCCGCCGGUGGCAGCGACCAGGCAGGUGAUGACCACGAAGGCCGUGACCUUGCCGCUGUAGUCCUUCACCUCCCCAUGCUCCACGAAUCCGCCUCCCGCCAUGUUUGAACCCGAACCUGAUCCCGAACACGAACUCGAACACGAAAAUCUUCUAGUUCAAGUCUCUAUGAAUACAAUCAAAUUGUACUAUAGUGAGCGAGUAAAUGAACCGUUCCUUUCUCGUUUCUCUUAAUUUGUUUUAAAGGGAGAAGGGGAUAAUGCGGGAGAUGUUCCCGGUCAUUGCCUCCUCUUUUAGGCUCUCUAAACUCCAUUCCACGUACAUAUGCUUAAUUUAGCAGUGGAUAAGAAGACGCUGCACAUGUGGAGUCGCAACGUGCAUGGGUUUCUCUCUCUCUCUCUCUCUCUCUCUCUCUCUCUCUCUCUCUCUCUCUCUACUAGUAGUUGCCCGGAAAGAGAGGAGGGAGGAGAAAGUUUCUCCCUUUCGAAAUAAACUUAAUCUUAAUAUUAGGGAAAACUUCAAAACCCCCCCCCNAAUAGAUACUGUUUCAUUAUUGUGAUUAGAACGUCACAAUAAUGAAAAUUUUAGGGAAAACUUCAAAACCCCCCCCCCGUGGUUUCGUGCUUUCUCACUUUAGUACCCUGUGGUUUAAAACGUAUCAAUUUGCUCCCAUAUGGUUUCGUUUUUCUCUUUUUGUUAUCAAUUUUAUUAUUAUUUUUUUCUUAAAUCAGUGACAAAGUUAAAAUUAAAGGAUACUAAAGUGAAUAUUCGAUAAAUAUAGAUGGUUAUCUGAAGUUUUUUGUAUAUAAUUUAACGAAAGGUUAACGAAAAAGCUUCCGAAAAGAUAAAAAUGAAACCACAGGGGGCAAAUUGAUACGUUUUAAACCAUAGGGUAGUAAAGUGAGAAUGUAUAAAACCACAGGGGGGGUUUUUGAAGUUUUCCCUAUUAAGAAGUUAUAUCACCGACCGUCCCAACUAAUCUUAAUCACCGACCGUCCUUAGAGUAAGUGACAAAGAACUUGAUGGUUGGUACCCGAGACCCAAAUUCGAAUCCUAAUUGAUUUACAUUUCUAGCUAAAUUUAUUUUUAAAUAAAAUAAAGAAGCAGGUUGUGUGUUAUCUAUCUCUCUUAAAAAAAAAAAAAAAAAAGAAGUUAUAUCCAAUAAACAUAACCUUUUUAUACAAUUAAAAUUAAAAAGGCUCGACCAGACCCCAGUCACCCCCUCUCCUCGUAUAGGCUAUCCUGAACCUUUGGGAAUUGUUACUCCCAGCUAAUCGGAGGCUCCGAAGUAGUCAGUUAGUUUUUUUUUUUUUCCUUUUUUCUUUUUUUACCCCCUCUCGAGGCCGAUGUUGUCUCGUACAUGUAGCCUAAUUUAUCAUUUCAAUAAAUUAAAUGGAUAGCGUGCUAUCUUUUUCUCAAAAAAAAUUUAGAAGUUGAAUAUACUUGUUGUUUGUUCUAAAUAUUUGGCCACAAACCGGCUGUCCCUAGAGCAAGUGGCAAAGGGCUUGAUGAUUGGUAUUCGAGGUUCUAAGUUCGAAUCCUAGUUAAUUCACAUUUUCAGCUAAGUUUAUUUUAUUUUAUUUUUUUUGAGAGAUAGGUAGCACGCUACCCGCUUCGUUUAUUUCAUUUAGAAAUAAACUUAGCUAGAAAUGUGAAUCAACUAGGAUUCGAACUUGGGUCUCGGGUACCAACCACCAAGCCCUUUGUCAUAUGCUCUAGGGAUGGUCGGUAGCUAAGUUUAUUUUUAAAUGAAAUAAACAAAAUGGAUAGCGUGCUAUCUAUCUCUCAAAAAAAAAAAAAAAAAAAAAAAAAAAUUCGGCCACACUAUUUAUUUACCAAAUAUUAUAUUCUUCUUAGAUAUUCUGAAUAUCGAUGUUUCUGCAUAUAAAAUUAGCCUGACUUGUUAUCUAAUGUUAGUUUUUCUGAUGAAGAACUAAUUCGAAUGACUAAGUGACUUUAGAAUUAACCUUAUGUAUAUUAAGGGCAUAAAUUAGUAACCUAAUGUUUAUUUAUUAAAGUAGAUAAAAUGUACUCGUUUACAUCAUUACUCCAAUAAACUAAAGAUUAGAUGAAACGGACCAAUUUGAUAAAUAUUAGAAGUUCAAUGAAUAUUAAAAUAGAGGCCAAUUUUUGGCAAAAGCUCAAGCUACUAGUGCGGAAGACAAUUUAAAUAAUGGAUUAGAGAGAUUUGCUCCCAGGCAUGCUCACAUCAUCUGUUCUGUUCCUUCUUUUUUGUGAGAAAGAAAUAGUAUGCUCUGUUUCGUUUAUUUUUUCAAAAAAUAAAUUUAAUUAAAAAUAUAAAGCAACAAAGCUUCGAACUUGAAACCUCGGGUACCAAUCAUUAAACCCUUUACUACUUGCGCUAGGAACAACCAGUAUCAUCUGUUUACUUCUCAACUGUAAACUUAUCAGUCACCAUAAUCACUAGAGCCCAUGCCAUUAUUUUCUUACAUUUGAUAGAGGAAAGGAAAUGCAGCAGAGCUGAUACCAGCAAAACAUAACUGUUCCAUUUGAACUCUGAAGAGUACAGUACAAUCCUUUGUAAUUGACAGUGACUAAGUGCCAAACAAAUGUUACAAGAUUACACUUAAGUACAAAUGUUAUUUUGUAAGAUUACGAGGCUGAUGAACAACUAUGAUUUCUGUGAACUUUCAGAUUUCGCGGCAGAUGCAAAUGACACCGGGUUCAGCGGAUGAUCUUCCACAGUGAGGCUCAGCACCUCCGGCCUUGCAUAGUGCCCGACCACAUCGAAAUCGAACUUGGCUCGCACAAUUUCUCCAAGGUCUGCAAAUCAUGUUGAAAAGAUAGAACCGCUUAUAUGUUAAGCAUUCAAAAGACCAAAAUUGCUCAAAAUGGUCCAAAGGAUUUCAAAUUAUGCAUGAAGUUUCAUAAGAAACAGAGGCCCUAAUACAUUCUAUUAUAUAAUUCUCAUCACAUGCUUUUUCAUGAUUGUUUCACAUGAACCAAUCCAUAAAUCUUUGACUAUACAACUUCCCCUUAAGAAAACUCAAUUUGUAGUUUUGAUAGAUCGAAUUGCUUCUAUAUUUCAGCGAGUUCUCCUUCACUCUUCUCCAAAUUAUGUAUUUCUUUCUAACUACCAUGAAGAAGGUAAUUGCCGUAAUAGAUAUAUAUCAUACAAAAAAAAACUGCUUUGAUAUCAUAAUAUCCUCAAAUAAACUUGCAUUUUUUCCCUAUUGACUCAUUAACAAAGUAAUAGAUAGUGUCUAACUGAAUACUAAUGAAGCAGAGUGAUAAAAUCUUGUAGUUUACAGGAAGAAGGCAAAAUUAUGAUUAUUGCGAAGGAGUUUCUAGCAGUUUAGCCAACAUAGCUUUCACAGUAAAUUAUACUCUCUCAGAGUCUUGAAAGAAAUAAUUUUAAAAAAAAUUCAUACCCAAGUCAGCUGAGAUGAGAGCUUCUCCCUCAUAAUUGGGGCCAGCCAAGACUGCGCCAGACGGCGAAAUGAUGACACUUCCGCCAGCACAAACAACAGUAUCUGAAGAGGGCUCGUCCUCUAGACCCGCAAAGACAUAUUCGGGCGGGGGAGGAUAGUCUUUUCUCCUGCAGAACUGGUUCGCGGACAGGACGAAGCAUCCGCCCUCGAGAGCGAUAUGCGCCAUGGAGGCCUGCCACACUUCCCUGGCAUCGGCAGUAGGAGCACAGUAUAUCUCAAUACCUGUAGAAACAUGAAAGGAAGUUCUCAUAUAACAAAUUUGCGUACUUUACAACUACGAGAAGUUACUCGUAUCACGUAUGCUUGUGACCUUAAAUGAACAGAACCAGGAUACCAUGGAAUGUAAUAAUGAGAUAGAGCCACUUUGAGGCCAAGUAUAAGAUGAGACAUGGUAAGAGCCAUUUCAAAGAAGUUCCACAAGUUAUGAAGGAAGCGUGGGACUGGUAUUGUUUGAGAGUACCGGCGUUAACCGUGAAUUAGCAGGUUGUCUAAUAUCACUGGCGCAAACCGUUAAUUCCACAAACUCGAGCGGUUAAAAAUAUCCAACUAAUUCACUUAAAGCAUUCAAACAUAGUGUCCACAAGUCUCAAUUGUGACUCGGUCCUAUCCGGCCUCCUGCUACUUCGAAUAUGAUUCAGUCCAACUUGACCGCCCGCCACGAUACAAAAUGCCGGUCCCUUUACGCCAACAGGUUGUAGGUUCAAAUCCUACUAGAAUUGAGCUAAGGGCUUGUUUUAACUAUGUUUCUAUUUCUGAUUCUAUUGCAUACUACUUCAUCGUACCGCAUUCUAUUCAAAAACAUUUGAGAAUCCCCUGAAGUUUCGACAGCAUACGUCGAAAAGCUUACCUUUGCCAUACAAUGCAGUCCUUAAAAGUGGCAUCCUAUUCUCCCAGCAAAUAAGGGCACCUAUUUUUCCAAGCGGAGUUUCAUACACCGGAAUCGUCGAUCCGUCUCCAAACCCCCAAAUCACGCGCUCCAGAGCUGUAGGCAUGAGCUUCCGGUGCUUGCCUAGAUACUGACCCUGAGAAUCAAAAAACAGAACGGUGCAGUAAAGAGUAUACCCCGCCCUCUCAAUCACGCCCAUUACCAGAAAAACCUUAUACUUUCCGGCCAUCGCGGCCAACCGAUCAACUUCCGGACCUGCUCAUGCAGAGCACGACAGCCAUCAGAUAAACACAAGCAAAUUGUAAAAGAAACUGAACGAAAUUUUGAUGAUACCAGGCACGUCGACGGCCGCGGCAUGGUACUUCCGGAACUCCUCCCUUCCCUUCGCCGAGCGGCUGCCGAUGGCGACGCCGAACGUAGAACCUCGCGGGUAGCCGCCGAUAAACGCUUCCGGGAACACGACCAGCUGCGAUCCGAGCUCAGCGGCCUCCGCAACCAGCCGCUCCGUCUUGUCUACCGAACAGAAUCAGAAUUCUCAGCAAUCAAAAUGGCGGAAUGCUUUAACUACACUUCUAUUUGAAUCGGGACGAAUCGCGAUGGGAACGUACCGAGAGUGGCGGGGGUGUCGUAGAAGACGGUGGAGGCUUGAACGACGGUGGCCCGGACGGUGACGGAGGUGGGAUCGCAGCUGUUCAUCUCGACCUCGGCGAUGAGAGGCGGCGCGGGGGCCGGGGCGGGGGCGGAGUUGGCGGGAACCAGAGCCAUGGGGGAGGAAGGUUCUGGAAGGUUCUGGAAGGUUGUUUGUAGAAGGUUCGGGGCUACUGGCCGCGCUUCUUGCGGAGGUAGUCGCGGACGAAGGCGUCGCGGGCGAGGGUGCGGGCGCGCUGCGGGGCGACGUGGGCGUAGGAGAGGUGGGCGCCGACGGCGAAGAGGGCGGCGCCCGCGCCGAAGUAGCAGAGAGUCGCCAACGCCUGCUUCCCUGUGGACGGCGAGCACCACCCCAUCCACCCCCCACUCUCAAUCCCUUCUACCCCCACCGCCCACUCUCCAGAACCUUCCUUUCAACCAGGAUGUCAAACGGAUUUUCAAUAAUCCGAACCCGAACCGACUCCAAACCCGAAUUCGAAUCUGACAAAAAUUUUAAAAAUUCAUAUCCAAAUUCAAUCCGUCUAAAAAUUCGAAGCUUGAAUCUAAACCUGAAAAUCAAAUCGAAAUAAUGAUUUCUCUUUUCAAAAUUUCAAAAUAUAUUAUAUUAAAUCUAAAAUUUUAAAAUAUAAAUUCAAAUAUAUAAAAUAAAUUCGAGUUCAGAUCAAGUACGGAAUCGGGUCGGAUACAAUUAAAAUUCAUACUCGUACCAAAAUCCAUCCGAUUUUAGUUUUUGAUAUCUAUAUUCGAAACUAUACCCAUUUAGCAUUGGAUAAAUCCAUUCUCUUCAGAUUUGAAUUUGAAUAAACUUUGAAUAUCCGUAUCCAUUGUCAUCCCUACUUUCAAGUUUCAACCCCUCCUCAUCCCCCUUUUUUUUUUUAUUUAUUUUCAUUUUUCAACCCCUGCUCACCCUCCUCUUUUUUCUUUAAUAAAUAAAUAAAUAAAUAAUAGGAAUAAUUAUCUAUGUACUUCUCAUACGUUUGAAAAUAUCCAAUUUAUCUUUAUUUUUUUUUCUAAAAUACCUCUCAUAUGUUCCACCGUUAUUGCAAAACACCCCGUAGUUAUCUCCAGUUAAGUUAACUUGAGUUAAACGUGAGUUAAACAUCUACCACAGUUAAAAAAAAAAAUUAAAAUACCAAUUUUGCCCUUAACUUAAAAACAAAUAAGAAAUGUUGGGGACAGUAGAGAGGUAUAUUGGAAAAAAAUCAAAAGUCAAAAUACUUUUUGUGCCCCUGACUUUAAGGGCAAAUAAGAAAGUCAGUGAUGGUGAAAGGGUAUAUUUGAAAGGGCAAAAUAAUAAUUUUAUAGAGAUAACAGAGUUAAUUAACAGAUUUUAACUCUAGAGGUAUAUUAAAAAUAUGUUGAAAUGUAGAAAGAGAAUUUUCAAUAUUAGCCUUCUAAGAAGGAUAAAUCAGAAAGUCAGAAACUUUUCAGGAAUAUAUAAGCAAUCGCCCCUAAAUAUAUAAGCAAUCGCCCCUAAAUAAUAAUAAUAUAUGAUAAGUGUGUCAAACAGGCCAGGCUGCCCAGCACAACUAUGGGCCAUGAUGGGCCGAGCCCAGCCCCCCUCCCCAGAAAAAGUCUGGAAUAUACCUGUCACAUAUCUCACGUUGCACGGCCCAAUCAAUCGCAAUCCUCUUAUGGAAUUUAUCUAAUUAUAAAAAAAUAUUUUAAUUAUACUUCUUUUUUUUUUUUUUCAAAAAAGGUAUUUAAUAGGCUGAAUAUAAUUAACGUGGUGUGACUGCUACACAGAAAACUUUCUCUUCUCUUCUCCUCUCCUGCUUAGUUCAGUACCGAAAAUAUAUAGGCUAUAUUUGGGUGUAUAAUUAGAAAAUAUUGUGAUGAAUAUAUUCAUUUCUCUGUCAUUUUUAAAUAGAAUGAGAACAAAAUGUGCUCUAAAUUGAAACCAACUUUGAUAAAGUUAUUUGGAUGCGUCGACAAAUGAAUAUUUCUUUUCUUGUCAUUGUUGACUAGCUUGCGAUUUCACUUGGCUUAACGCUAAUAAAUAUUUACUAAAAAUUUAAAAUAUUGAAAAAAUAAUUACUAUAUUUUUAUUCUAUUUUUUUCUCAAAUAAAUUUGAUAAAUAAACCGUAAGAAAAAUAAUAAUAGAAUGAAAUAAGGCCUUUCUUUUUUUUUUUCCCUAAUAGAAUAUGGCAUCUAAGGAGAAUAUCCUACUCUACUCAUUAAUUAAACACAUAAUUAAUAAUGAUCUUAAUUCAUAGUUGUCCGAUUCUCCUAGUGCUUUUUUAAACUAACAUAUUUGAAAUAAAUCAUACUAUUCGUACUGAAAUUAGAGCAAUGGACACGUACUCUUAUUUAUGAAAUAUUUUGAAUUGAGAAGAUUCAAAAAUUUUAUAUAGUUCUCGCUUUAAUACUGUUCGUAAAUCGUAGUAUUUUUCCCUGAUUUAUAAUUGUGUUUUAAAAGUACAUAUUUUUAUACAUAGAAAUGCUCAAAUAAUUAUAAAUAUUUUCAAUCUUUCUUUUUACAAAUUUAUAAAAUUUUCAUUGCUAAAAAUUGAAAGUUUUUUAGAAAAUUUUUUAGCCUUACAAUAAAAUAUAAAAGGGCGAGGCUUCUAAUGACAACAUUAAGAAAAAACCUAAUAUUCUUACUUGUCGGUAUAAAUAUUACAAUUCCUCCAUCAUAAAAUUUAUGAAAAUUUAACUAAAUAUUUAGUUAAAAAAUAUAAUAAGACAAAUAAAGAGUAAGUACUCUUGGAUCUACUGUGUCACACUUAGCAAUAAUAAGCCAAUCAUAUCUCUAUUUUUAGAAAAAAAUACAAUAACAAUAUUUUUUUUAUAAUCAUAAUGUGAUAGGUUAAUCUAAAAGAAUCCAUUUAAUUGAUGGGAACGCCACGUUGUUAACUUAAAUAGGCCAGCAUCCUGCCAUGUAGCUGGAGACCAUGUUGGGUCGAGUCAUAUUCAAAAUGGCGUGAGGCUGGGUGGGCCGAGUCAUGUUCGAAGUGACGUGAAGUUGGUUAAGUCGACUCAUAGUUAAGACCCGUAGGCACUGUAUCUGUACGCUUUAAGUGAAUUGGUUGCGUAUUUCUAAUAGCUUGAGCUUUUGGAAUUAAUGGUUAGCGCCAACAAUCCGACAAGUGAUAUUUAAGUCAGAGGUUACGAAUUCGAUUUUCGCAUGCUGCGAAUAUGCGUACAGUGCUAUAUUUGUGUAUGUCAUAAAAAGUUAAAUAGUUCUAAAAUGCAAAUACAAUUUUAAACUAAAAAGUUAUAGUUAAAUGAUUUAUUUCAAAUUGAAGAAUAGCUUGGGGUGUAAACAUCCUUUCUUACGUCCGAUGUGUAAUGUGCAUGAUACAAUAGAUGUGUCCAAAACUUGUAUUCGUUCAAUGCAAGAUAAAAUUGCCAACAAGCUAGUGUGAGCAUUAUUGGGAGUAAAUCGAAUUGUCGAAUCAAAUUGGUUUUAAUUCUAAUCAUGUCGAUUUGAUUUAUUAGUUUUAUAAGCAUUGGAAAUUAAAAAAAAUUAAAUAAAUUUAAGUAAUUGAAUAGCCAAUAAGAUAGAUGUUAGUUUUAUAAAUUUGCCAACAUAUAAAUAGUUCAUAGAAAAUUAUUAGCAAAAGUAUUAUUUUUUAAAAAACAAUCGGGUUCAAAAAGUUCAAAAUUACUGCUAAUUCUUUUUUUUUCCAGUUCCAUAAAUUUGUGGUAGUAUAUGCCAUUAUUGUCGUUGAAACAUUAUGAUAUUAGAGAAGAAAAUAUUAAAAGCGCUUAGAAUUUUUUUAGAUUUUUAAAUGCAAAAAAAUGAAUAAUUUUAAUCACCGGAAGCGAGCGAAUAUUAAUUAAAUCUUCUGCUAUAUAUGAUAGAAGUAUAAGAAAAUAAUAUAUUGAAUUAAUUAUUUGAUUACUGUUACUGUACUAUUAGGAGUAUAGCAAUCCUAUGCUUAAAAGUUUCUAACUAUUUAUUAAUUUUGAUGGAUGAUUAGAAUGAAGAGAAAAAAAAAAUAAAAAGAAAUUUAAAAAGAAGAAAAAUUGAGACACCUAAUUUCUCCCUAAUUUUUCUUCUCUUUUUCAUUUUAACCACCGAUCAAAAUUAUUGGACUGUUAAAACUUAGUAACACAAGCACUGCUAUAUUCCUAAUAGUACAGUAACCCUACUCAUACCUCUAGAACAACUAAUAUUAUGCACUCAGUAUUUUUAUACAUCAAAAUGCUCAAAAUAAAAAUAAAUAUUUUCAAUCUUUCUUUUUCCAAAUUUAUAAAAUUCCCAUUGCUAAAAAUUGAAAGUUUUUUUGAAAAUUUUUAAGCCUUAUAAUAAAAUAAUAAAAGGCCAAGGCUUCUAAUGACAACAUCAAGAAAAAACCUUAAUAUUCUUACUUAUCGGUAUAAAUAUUAUAAUUCCUCCAUCUUAAAUUUAGAAAAAAACUUCAAAUACUCUCAUAUGGUUUCACACUUUCUCACUUUAGUACCAUGUGGUUUCAAAUGUAUCAAGUUAGUACCCUGUGGUUUCGCACUAUUUCACUUUAGUAUUCUGUGGUUUAAUAUUUCGUUAAAUUAUAUACCUCGAAAUGGAUAAUAAAAAGAGAAAAUUGAAACUACAUAAUACUAACUUGAUGAAAAACUAAAACCAUAUGAUACUAACUUGAUACACUUGAAACCACAGGGUACUAAAGUGAGAAAGUGCGAAACUACGGCGUACUAACUUGAUACACUUGAAACCACAAGAUACUAAAGUGAGAAAGUGCGAAACAUAAGGGGGUAUUUGAAGUUUCCCCUAAAAUUUAUGAAAAUCUAAAUAAAUAUUUAGUUAAAAAAUAUAAUAAGAGAAAUAAAGAGUAAGUACUCUUGGAUCAACUGUGUCACACUUAGCAAUAAUAAACCAAUCACAUCUCCCUUUUUAGAAAAAAUACAAUAAAAAUAUAUUUUUUUAAUAAUCAUAAUGUGAUAGGCUAAUCUAAAAGGAUCCAUUUGAUUGGUUGGAAAACGCCACGUUGUUGGCUUAAAUAGGACAGCAUCCUGCCAUGUAGUGGGAGGCUAUGUUGGGCCGAGUCAUAUUCGAAAAGCGUGAGAUUGAGUAGGCCGAGUUAUAGUCGAGACCCGUAUGCGCUGUAUCUAUACGCUUUAAAUGUUGAUUACAUAUUUCUAAUACCUCGAACUUUUGGAAUUAAUAGUUAGCGCCAAUGAUCCGACAAGUGGUAUCGAAGUCAGAGGUUACGAAUUUGAUUCUCGCAUGCUGCGAAUAUGUACAGAUAUGUGCAGGUGUUGCAGGGGAGAUGGCGAGAUGUUCAAAACCCGUGGAUGCUAUAUUUGUACCAGUAUUUUUAACAGCUUGAAAAAAUUGCAAAAAAAAAUUUAUAAAAUAUUCUUCUGUACGUCAUAAAAAAUUAAUUUUAAUUAAAUACUAUUUUCUUAACUUUAAUAUUGUAAAGUUAAAUUAUUCUGAUAUCUUUAUUUAAAAAUUUAAUUAAACUUAAUAGUUUUUAAAAUGCAAAUAAAAUGUUUAACUAAAAAGUUAAAAUUGUAUGAUUUAUUUCAAAUUAAAAAAUAGCUUGGGAUGUUUUUACUUAAAAUUGAUCAUUGGAGAAAGAAAGGACUAUUAUACGCAUCUGGUUUUAUAGUACGUCAUACAACGCAACUUAUAUUAGAUGACUAAUAUUAUAAUAUCAAAACUUAAUUAAAUAUAUCUAAUCUAUAAAAUCUUAUAGUUUAAACCAUAUUUAAUAAAUUAAUUUUAAAAUCUUUAAAGAGUUUUACGUAUGCGGCUUUUGUAUACAUAUACACCCGGUAUAGAGGACACUUUAUACGGUGAACUCAUAAUUCCGGCGAGAGAAAUUUUUUUUUUUUUCUUACGUCCUAUAUGUACUAAUAUUUUGUUUACCGCACAAAAUAUAAAAUAAUUGAUAAAAAAUUUAAUAAUUAAUACUGUAAAAUAAAAUAUAAUAUAAACUACAUAAUAUAAAAUACUUAAAUAAUUUAUUGUACUAUAUAAAUUUAUUUUUGAUGCAUAUUUUAGAGUCGUUUUAUGAUACAAUAGAUGCGUCCAAAAUGUUUAUAGGAUAGGUGGCAACCCUUAUGGCUUUGGUGCUAAUGUACAAGAUGGCUCUCGUACGAGAGCUUUCUCUUGAUGUGAUGGAAGUGUUAUUUAAUACAUACUAAGUAUAAUAGACAAAAAUUUGGUGGGCAUGCGGAUGAGCGCCGCGUGUGUAUGGACGCCCAUCACCACCGUCCCUUUCUCCUUUCUCUCUCUCUCUCUUUCUAAAAAACGGAGCCCACCAAUUAUUUUUUUUUUCGAGGUUAGCGAUGGUAGCCCGUACACACGCGGCGCCCAUCCGCAUGCAUUUGUUUGGGCCCAAAUAAUUUGUUUGGGCACGGAUGCGCACCAAAUUUUUGUCCGAAUAUAAUGAUGUGAAAGGAUGAUAAUUGCAUUUCUUCACUGCAAGAUAAAAUUGCCAGCAUGCUGGUGUGAGCAUUAUUGGGAGUAAAUCGAAUUGUCAAAUCAAAAUGACUUAAUUCUAAUCAUGUCGAUUUGAUUUAUUAGUUUGGAAAUUUAAAAAAAGUUAGAUAAAUUGAAGAAAUUGAAUGCCGAUAAGAUAAAUAUUAGUUGUAUAAAUUUAUCAACAUAUAAAUAGUUCAUAGAAAAUUAUUAGCAAAAGUAUUUUUUUAAAAAAAAAAUUUGGGUUCAAAAAGUUCAAAAUUGCUGCGAAUUCUUUUCUUUUUCAGUUCCAUAAACUUGUGGUAGUAUAUGCCAUUAUUGUUAUCGAAACAUUAUGAUAUUAGAGAAGAAAAAUAUUCAAAGUGCUUAGAAUUUUUUUAGACCUUUAAAAGCAAAACAACGAAUAAUUUUAAGCGAGCUAAUAUUAAUUAAAUCUCCUGCAAUAUAUAUGAUAAAAGUAUAAGAAAAUGAUAUAUUGAAUUAACUAUUUGAGCAGUGUUACUGUACUAUUAGGAGUAUAGCAACCCUUAUGCUCUAAAGUGUCUAAUUAUUUAUUAAUUUUGAUAGGUGAUUAGAGCAAAAGAGAAAAAACAAAUUAGAAAUAAAUUUAAAAAGAAGAAAAAUUGAGACACCCAAUUUUUUUUCUAAUUUUUCUUCUCUUUUUCAUUUUAACCACCCAUCAAAAUUAUUGAACGGUUAAAAAAAAUAGUAACACAAGGAUUGCUAUAUUCCUAAUAGCACAGUAACCCUACUUAUACUCCUAGAACAAUUAAUAUUAUGCACUCAGUUUUUUCUAGUAUCAGAAAAAAAAAAACUUAUUUACGUUUGUAAUAAGUAGGAAUGUAAAAGUAUAAUAAUUGGUGUGGUUAUUAAGUGGAGUUGUGGUUCUUAAUUCAGGUAAAUUGUAGAAGAUCGAUUUCAUAGUACACAUGAUGUUGAUCUUUCGCAAUUAUUUUGAAUAACUAUUUUGGGGCCCCACGAAGCGACAUUGAACAUUCUAGUACAUGAUUUGGUGUUGGCAAAAUUAAAAUAAAUGACCCCACUCACAAUGGACAUGGCUAGGGACUCCUCCAAAGAGUACAGGAAAAAAAUUUAGGAGUAAAAACUAUAGAUUAUAUGAGAUUUUUAUUUUUUAGUUUUCUAUCAGUUUGGUUAUGAAAAAAAAAUUGUAUUUCUGAAAAACUUCUUUUCAAAUUUCAUGAAAAAGUAAACCUUUUAUUUUUCUAAAAACAUUCGAAAAACAAAAGCACGAAUUUUCUACAAAUUUUAAAAAAAAAUUUAAAAAUAAUUUUUUUAACGAAACGGACGAAAAACUAAUUUUUUUUUUCAUGCAAUUAAUGUAAGCAUCUAGCAAUUAAUGUAACCUGAGCAUGCUUGUGUUUUAUAGGAAAGAUUGUUACCAUAAAGAACAGUUCAAGUACUAAUUAUUAACACUACUGUUUAUUCAUAUAAUAGAGCACAUUAACACUAGUACUGUUUUUUCCGACAGGUGGGAUAUUGUAUUAUUCAAAGGAUCGAUCGAAAAGAUUGAUACUGUUUAUGUGUAUAGUGGAGAUCAUGUUAAUGAUAAAAGAGCUUAGAAAUAGUUCCAGUACGAAGUUAUUCAAAAGAUAGAUCUAAAGAAAAUGACUUAAAAAUAAUAUGCGAAGCAAGAAUAAUUCUAGAUCUAAGUGGAGAUGUUUAUUUCCAACAAACAACACCAUUAAAGUUAAUAUAAGUUGUUGGAAUUUUUUACGAUAUGAAUUUCAUGCUUUUUGACUACAUUAAAAUUUGACAAAUAAAAGAUAAAUUUGAUACCACUUGAUUAUCAGACAAAUAAUGUCAAAAAAUUACAAAGUUCGAGUCAUAAUUGAAACUUCAAAUAGUGUACAAUAUUAUGCUAAACUGUGUAAAUUGUCAAUUCAAAUUAGUAACCCAUGGCUAAAAACAAUUAUAGUAAAUAAUUAUAUUUAAUUCUCUAACUUUCUAACCACUCAUUAAGUUUGAUGGGUGGUUAGAAUGAGAGAGGGAUGAGAUAUUGAGGAGAAAUUGGGUGUCUCAGUUUCUCCUCCUUAAAUUUCUCUCUCAAUAUCUCAUCGCUUUCUCAUUCUAACCACCCAUCAAGUUAUACAAAGUAGGGCUACUGUGCUAUUAGGAGCACAGCAGUCCUUGUGUUUCUAACUUUCUAACCACCCAUCAAGUUUGAUGAGUGGUUAGAAUGAGAGAGCGAUGAAAUAUUGAGAGAGAAAUUUAAGCCCUCAAUAUCUCAUCCCUCUUUCAUUCUAACCACCCAUCAAACUUGAUGGAUGGUUAGAAAGUUAGGAGCACAAAGACUACUGUGCUCCUAAUAGUACAGUAGCCCUGCUUUUUAAUAUAUUGUCCAUAAAUAAUCUAUAAUAAAUCUUACAUUUAAGGACAUUUUAAAGAAUAACUAGUAAUACUUUAAAGUAUCGGUAAGAAUAAUUUCAACGCUUGUAAAAGCGUUGAGCAAAGAAUCGAUAAAUAAAUAUGCCAGAAUAAAUAUAGCAACGCUUUAAUAUAAUGUCAAAAAAAUUUUAUCAGUAUUUGAUAAAAAUAUAUUUAUUUGCGACAUUUAAUUAUAGUAUCGCUAUAUGCCAAAUAUUGAAAAUGUUAGAAUAAAACGUCGUCUAAAAAACAUGGUCUAAAACAUAUUUUAUUAUAGUGACGAGAGCGGCGGGCAGGGAUUGAGAGACUCAAAGCAAUUUCCUUCAUGUGUGUGUGUAUAUAACUCAACAUUUUUAGUCUCUCAUUUGAGAAAAUUGUUAAAUGAAAUAAAGAAGUUUUUCUAUCAUCACUGUUCCUAACAAUUGAUACAUAUUGGUGUCCUCUUUAAUUACUAGCAAAGAGGUUUAGAUUUCAAAGUGCACUUCAAGCGAGAUCCAAUGUGUAACUUCUCGAUAAUUUCAUAUCGUAUAGAAAAUAAAUUACAAUUGAUAAUAUAAGAGCCAAAAAUCUUAAUACUAAUAACUAAAAUUAAAUAAUUUAAAUCAGUGAUUUGAGUCUCAUGAGUUGUUAAUUAGUAUUAGUGAACCGAAUUAUUAUUAAACGAUGCGUCUCUCUAUGAGCAUGUUGGGAGGGGAAAAAAAAAAAAAAAAACCCUCUCUUGUUAUAUGAGCAGAGAAAUGGCGCUUUUGUUAGUGUCGUUCUAUUUUAAUUAUUGAACUAGCAUCAACUUACACUUUUAUUUGUUUAUCAUUAUUUUGCAACACUUUAUGCUUUUAAUUCAAACAUCUAAUUUUUAUAAAAAAAUUAUAACUCAACGUAUGAUAUGAUUAAAAUAGGAGAUGAAAAAAAAUAACCAGUAAAUACUUCUUCUUUUUUUUUUUGAGAAAUAAAUAGCACGCUAUCCGCUUUAUUUAUUUUAUUUAAAAAUAAACAUAGCUAUAAAUGUGAAUCAACUAGAAUUCGAACUUAAGACCUCGGAUACCAAUCAUCAAGUUUUUUGCCACUGGUUCUAGGGACAGUUGGUAAUCAAUAAAUGCAUUUUUGAUGUACAGAUGCGGUGGAUGCAUGUAACUUAGCAAGUAAUUGUGUAAAAGGACAAAAGUAGAAGUUUUGGAAAGUUUUAAGGACCACUAGUCCGAGAUUCUUCGUCAUCCUAGCACACUGUGGUUGUUGUACGCAUACUAUUUCCUGCAAAUAUCUCCGAUGACACUAAUCAUUAAUUUUAAAAAUUUAAAAUAUUAAAAAUAUACGUAACAAAUUUACUUAAAAAGUACAUACAAUAUUUAUGAGCUUUAAUUGUGACUUGACUUACUCAGUCUCAUUCCACUUCUAAAAGGGCUUGGUUUAAUCUAGCCUCACGUCAUUUUAAAUGUAUUUGGCCCCUUAAAGCCAAGAGAAUUUACGAUACGAGGAGUAUAAUAAGUAAAUUUAGAGUUAAAGUACUUUCUAAGAGAAAAAUAUUUAUUAUUGACAACUGAUUAUAAACAAGAUAUUUUCGUCUAUAAACAUAAACCAAUGGUUUAUAUAUAUUUUUCAUCUUUAAAACGAGGAGGUUUGCUCACUUAUUUUAUUAUUAUUAUUAUUAUUAUUAUUAUUAUUUUACGUGGAGAGAGGGGACCAUUAAUCAUAUAUUUUCAUGUCGGAUCUUUCGAGAUAAGGUUGGUGCUAAAUACAACAUAAAUAUAUGCGACUAACGGCUAGAAGAAAUCCACGUACGUUUUCAUAUAUUUGUGUGUGACAGGUACAUUUUCAUACAUUUUUUUGUGUGGGCCAACUUUUUCCUUAUCACGGGAGAGGUUGGUGGGUAAGCAGCGGCUCGAAUUCGGGACGAAUUUUUAAGAAUUCAAAUUUGAAUCCCACUAUAAGUUCAAAAUUUAAGUCUAAUUUUCAAUUUAGAUUGAAUGGAUUUUAAAAAUUCAUAUUCAAAUCCGAACCCAAUAAAAAAUCCUAAAAUUCGAACCUAAAAAUUUGAAUCCGAAAUAAUUAUUUCUUUUUACUAUACUUUAAAAUAUAUUACAUUAAAUCGAACUUUUUAAAAUACAACUUCAAAUAUAAUAUUAAAUAUUUAUAUAUAUUAUAUGGCUGGGGUUACUAUACUCAUAUGAGUAUAGAGCCUUUUGUAUUCAUAACUUUUCGGUCGUUCGGAUGAAAAAAUGCACGAUUAGGAUGAGAGUGGUUACGUCUAGGUUGAUAGUGGGCCCUCUAAGAUUGAGUGGAUGGUUGGUUGAAUAGUAUAAUUUAAUGGGUGAAAAUGAUUAAAGGGUAAAUCGAACAGCAAAAAAUUUAUGAGUACAAGAGGUUUUAUACUCAUAAGAGUAUAGUAGCCGGACUCAUAUUAUAUAAUGUAAAAUUAAUUCAAGUUCGUGACCGGUUCAAAUUCGGAUUGGAAAUAGACAAAAUUCAUAUCCAAAUCCAAAUCCACCGGGUUUUUAUUUUUUAUUUCUGUUUCGAAACUAUAUUUAUUUAGCAUGAAAUAAAUGAUCCGCUCUUUUCGAUUGCAGAUUCGAAUAUAAUUUCAGAUAUCCGUACCCAUUGACAUCCCUAUUGAGAGAUAAAACUUGUUGAUGUGAAAUAAUAAAAACCAAAAAAAAAAAAACAAGAAGUUGGUAAUUAACAGCCUAUAAAUAGGGCAAGAGAAAAGAAAAGGGAAGAAGCAUCAGCAGCAGCAGAGGGAAAGAGCCAGCAAUAAUGGAUAAGAGAUCAGGAAUUGCUCUUCUUGUACUUCUUGUUGCAGUGUCCUGCCUUGCCAGUCCGUCUUCGGCUCGCGCCUUCACCAGUCUUGAUUUUCUCGCUCGAGGUAAUCGCCCAGCAACGCUGGAUGUAUGUAUCUACUAUAUGUAACGAAAAGUAUUGCUGAUAAGUCAACUUUUUUUAUUAAAAAAAAAGAUAUUAUCUUGCAUAUUUACUUAACAACAUAUUAGGAGAAAUAAACUUCAAAUUUAGUUAGUUUAUCACACUAGUAAUGAAAGUUCAGCUAUGGUCCUCUUACGAGAACAUGUCAGGGACCGAAAAGUCUAUGCUACGCAUGCAAUAUUCAUGUGCCUCUCAUAAGAGAGACGUGAAUAGUAUAUAUUCUAUCUUGUUCUCACUAAAUUAUCAAUAUUCAAUGACUAAAAAGUCUAUAUAUACUAUGCUUGUAAUAUUUAUACCUCUCAGAAGAGAAUAGUGGCUGGACUACUAGUAAUGACAUAAUCUAAUGUCUGCGGACUAAUCAAUCAUGAACAUGUUGCUGCUCUUUCUGCAUGAAGUGAUCAACGGAGAGAGAGUUACACUAACAGCCUGCAGCGAAUGCGUGUGUCCGCUGCAAACAAGUUCAUCUGAUGAUGAGUACAAAUGCUACUGUGCGGAUACUUACUCCGACUGCCCGGGCUUUUGCAAGAAAUGCAAGGCCGAGUUCGGAAAGUACAUAUGCCUCGACUUGAUCUCGCCCAACGAUUGCGUAAAACCGGUCUCCUCCUUGGAGGCGAAGCAAAAUAUGAUCAAGGAAGAGAGAGUUACACUAACAGCUUGUAGCGAAUGCGUGUGUCCACUACGAACAAGUUCAUCUGAUGAAGAGUACAAAUGCUACUGCACGGAUACUUACUCCGACUGCCCGGGCUUUUGCAAGAAAUGCAAGGCCGAGUUCGGAAAGUACAUAUGCCUCGACUUGAUCUCGCCCAACGAUUGCGUAAAACCGGUCUCCUCCUUGGAGGCGAAGCAAAAUAUGAUCAAGGAAGAGAGAGUUACACUAACAGCUUGUAGCGAAUGCGUGUGUCCGCUGCGAACAAGUUCAUCUGAUGAAGAGUACAAAUGCUACUGCACGGAUACUUACUCCGACUGCCCGGGCUUUUGCAAGACAUGCAAGGCCGAGUUCGGAAAGUACAUAUGCCUCGACUUGAUCUCGCCCAACGAUUGCGUAAAACCGGUCUCCUCCUGGGAGGCGAGGCAAAAGAUCAAGUUGCUGCAGGGUCGUGAAUGAGUGAAUAAGUGAGCAAGAGAUCGAAGUGCGUGUGAUGCAUAGUUAUAUAAGUAGCAAGUUAUGGGAUAUCGUAACUUGCUAAUGUAUUUGCAGCUUAAAUAAAUGGAUCUUGUGUGAUCCAUGCAUGAAUCUAUGUGCCUAUCUAUCUAUAAACUAUGCUUCCUUAUGUUCAUAAUGUGAAGUAGAAGAUGUACUAGAAUGGAUGUUUCGUAGUAUAAAAUUUGUGAUCGGUAUCCGUAUAAAUUAAUAUGUUCCUCUAAUAAAAAUGUACUCUACUUUAAUAGUUUAGUAGCUGGUACAUAUAAAACAUGGAAAAAUAGUAGGAUUAUUUCCAUCAAUAAUUUGGUUACAAACUCUAUUAAUUUUUCUUAACAAUACCACUUUGCAUCCUUAUGGGAGCAAACUUUUGUAACGCUGUUUAAAAAUCAUGCAAAUAGAUAUAACAUAAUAUAUAAAUUUAAUUAAAUGAUUUAUUCUGUACAAAACUCGGUGUAUAUCAUUAAUUGCAUCCAAAAGUCACUUAUUCAUGCAAUGGAAAUAACUAUAUAGCAAAAAAAAAAAAAGAAAAAAAAAGAGGUUUAUUCUAACAACCAAGUGUCGAAAGAAAAUUUCCUGUAUAUUGGGGUGUUUGGCCUAAUUUUUAAAAAACGCUUUUGGGUUGAAAAUUAGUUUUCGGCUCAAUAGAGUGUUUGACGAUCUAACUUUUAAAAUCUGAUUCUGUUUUAUAGAAUCAAAAAACUGAUUUUGAAAGCCCCAGAAUUAAAAACAGAAAAAACUAUUUUUUGAAAUCAGAUUAUGAUUUUUUACUCAAACAUCAAAUUUUUAUUUUACUCAAAAGCACCAUCUUCAUGGUACUUUUGAGAGUAUUCUAUCUCAACUCUCUCUCUCUCUCUCUCUCUCUCUCUCUCUCUAUAUAUAUAUAUAUAUAUAUAUAUAUAUAUAUAUAUAUAUAUAUAUAUNNNNNUAUAUAUAUAUAUAUAUAUAUAUAUAUAUAUAUAUAUAUAUAUAUAUAUAUAUAUAUAUAUAUCGGCUCCGUUAAAUAUGAUCUAAACCAUUUAAACUACCUAGAAAUCAAAUUUCACGCACUUUCGAUAUUGUUCUUUUAUCCAUCAAGUGAACAGAAAAAUGAAUGGCUGAAAAUGAAUACUCUUUAAAAAAUGAUGAUAGAAGUCUUGUAAUCAAGAUCAAGAGUAUAGAUCUUGUUUUAAAUAGGUUAAAGAAUUUUCUAAUAAAAAUUCAAUUAAUUUGGAUAUCUUUACGCCGUUAAACGAGAAAACGCUUCAUAUCGACCAUUAAAAUUACAAAAUUUGAACCCUUUGAUCAUUAGGCAAAUGAUGUCGAAAAGAUUUAAAAUUUGAUUUCUAAAUACUUCAAGCAGUAUAGAUUAUGUUCAACGAAGCCGAUCGUCAAUUUGGAAGUUCUAUCACCGAAAACAAAUCGGUAGUAAAACGGCUCGUUUACUACCGGUAGUAUUUUAGCUCAACUCAUAUAUAUAUAUAUAUAUAUAUAUAUAUAUAUAUAUAUAUACUACUAUACUAUCAAUAGUACCAAGCUCUUGGUACUAUUGAGUUUUCGGCCGUUGGAUGAAAAGAUGUGCGGUUAUGAUGAUAGUGGUCCCCGGUCAAAUUGAUAGUGGUCCCCUACGGUUGAGUGGGUGGUUGGCUUAAUAGUAUAAUCUAACGGGCGGAACUGAUCAAAGGGUAAAUCUAAUGGUAGAAAACUCAAUAGUACCAAGGGCUUGGUACUAUCGAUAGUAUAGUAGCUGGACUCUCUCUCUCUCUCUCUCUCUCUCUCUCUCUCUCUCUAUAUAUAUAUAUAUAAUAUUAUAUAGAGUGAGGUACUAUGCUAUCGGAAACAGAGGAGCUUUCCGUGCUUCCAGCUCGUUUCUUCGAUGUUGCGACUUUCGAAUCGUCGAUCGCUCGUUAAAUUUGAUCUAGAGUAUUGGAGUACCUAGAAAAUAAAUUUUAUUAUUUUUCGAAUCUAUUGCCUAGUGAUCGAAUGGGCUCAAAAUCAACAAUUUCAAUGACCGUAGUGAGCCGUUGCAAGUUUAACAGUGUAAAAAUAUCCAAAUCACGUGAAAUUUUGAUAGAAAAUUCUUUGUACUAUAUAAAAUAAGAUCAAUAUCUUUGAUUUAAAUUUUAAUUGUCAUUUAUUACAUUUUGUAAGAUUUUUAUUUUCGCCAUUGAUUUUGAGCCCCUUCGUUCACUAGGCAAAUGAUAUCGUAAAAUCAUAAAAUUUAUUUUCUAAGUACUUCAAAUACUCUAUAUCAAGUUUAACGGAGCCGAUCGACAAUUCGAAAGCUGCAACAUCGAAAUGAGCUAGAGCACAGAAGGCUUCGUGCUUCGAUAGCAUAGUAGCCUCACUCUAUAUAUAUAUAUUAUAUAUUAUUAUAUAUAAUAUAUAUAUAUAUAUAAUAUAUAUUCCGGCUUGGUGCUUGUAAAAGCACCAAGCACUUGGUGCUUGUAAGUUUUUUACCGUUGAUCUACUCAUCGGAUCAUUUCAACCAUAGAUUAUACUAUUCAACAAACCACCCACUCAACCCCAGGGGGCCCACAUCACUCACCGCAUAUCUUUUAAUCAAUGGCUAAAAUCUACAAGCACCAAUAACUUAAUACUUUUAAAAGCAUAGGAGUUGAAUUAUAUUUAAUAUAUAUAUAUAUAUAUAUAUAUAUAUAUAUAUAUAUAUAUAUAUAUAUAUAUAUCCCAAUAAUUGAUGCAAUAAGAAACACUAACACAGGUGACAAAAAGUACAUUAGUUAGUAUUCAAAAGUUCUAAAUUGUAAAUUUAAUUGCUUUUAUUUUAACUAAAUUUAUUUCUAAAAUAAUAAUAAACAAAAUGAUUAGUAUGCUAGCUACUAAUCUUUUAAAAUAAAAAAAAGAAUUAAUAACUGUGCUUACGUGUACAACAAUAUAAUCAUCGAUAAUUAUGUGGGCAUCAGAAAUAUUCUCACUUUGAGAGAUACAUAAAAUUAGAGAUUAUUUUUGUGAAAAUAAUAAUAUUCAUUGCGUAAGCAAAAUUAUUUUAGAACAUCAUGGCCAAUUUGCAUAAGAAAUUUACAAGUUUUGAAUUUUUAUAAAAUUGGACCGUCUUUUUCGAUUUUAUACAUUCGGUCCGGAUUUUCAGUAAACUGAUCCAAAUAUCUUUAUAUUUUUUUCUCCCUCUUUUUUUUUCUAGUCUUUUUUUUUUUCUCUUCGAAGAAGGCGGCGGAGGCGGAGGCGGAGGCGGAGGCGGAAACGGCCAGCCUCGCCUCUGCCCCUCACUCCCUCACCCUCGCCUCAACACCCCCUCGCCCUCCUUGCCUCCAACCCCGCCAAGGCCUUGCCGCGACCUUUUUUUUUUUUUUUUUUUUUUUUUUUUUUUUUUUUUUCUCUCUCCAACCCUCCUCCAUCAUCUCCGCGGCCCUCUGCGACGAUUGUGAGGAUGGUAUUACGUUCUCUUCCUUCACCUUCGCCCUUCACCUCCACUGCAGUAUAUUUUCUAUCCGCCAAACAAACCCGCCGUCCCCACCACCGCCACCGGCUACGAAGAGGAAGUGUUUAUCGGGGCCGAGAAGUAUGCCGGCGAGGGAGGGGGAGAAAAAUUGUUACACUCCGACGAUAGCGGUGGCUGCGAUAGAGAGUAAGAGAGAAAUCGUGACAAAAAAAAUAUAAACAGAAAAAAAAUAAGAAUAAUAAAAAUUAAAAAUUAAAAGUUAAAAAUAUUUUUUUUCCUACAGGAAAGGCCAAAAAUCAUAGAUAAGGAACAAAAAAAUGAAAUUGUACUGUUAAAAAAAAAGUUACACUAUUGUAAAAAAUUUUUUGCCCUGUUUUAAAUAAAAGUUGUACUUUUUGAGACAAAUUACAGUUUUCGAAAUAAGAGUUAUACUCUUUAGAAAAAAGUUGCAUUCUUUGGGUGAAGGGGCAGAGGUGAGGCGAGUCAUUUCUGCCUCUGCCUCCUCCUCCGCUUCUGCCGCCUUCUUCGGAGAGAAAAAAAAAAAAAAACGUGAGAAAAAAAAGAGAGAGAAAAACUUGUUAAAAAUUUAAAUCGAAUCUGCAAAAUCAAAAAAGAUGGCCCAGUUUUAUAAAAGUUCAAAACUUGUGAAUUUUUUAUACAAAUUUGCCAAACAUCAUUAAUUCAGAAGAGAAGAGAAUUACUUAAUAUAUACCAAUAUUGCUGGAGCAUUAUAUCAACAUAUUUUCAUACUGGAAUGAAAGAUCAAAGAUUAAUUUGUUAAUAAUAAAUAUAUAACAUAUGCUUAUGCAAUUAAUGUGGACUUAUGAGAUCAUUUAAUGGCUCCAACUUGUGUUACAUUAUGACCCAUGCUAUCCAUGUGGUUGUAUUUAUAGGAUUAGGAAAUUCAAUAUUAGAUCCAUAAUUUAUUCACAAGUUGGAAUGGUUAUCUCUGGCCAUUACAGCUGAGCUUCCCUUAUGCAAAAAUCUAUAUUUCAUGCCCUCAAUAAAAAAAAUGAUGUGACGACGGACAACCUAAUUAAAAAAUGAUGGACGAAACUAUCAGCCUGCGUAUUAUAUGGGAUGGAGGAGAAAAUAAUGGAUCACUUAUAAAAAUUCAAACUAAUAGAAAUAUAUGUACAUAACAAAUGUACUUAAAGGUACCGUUUGGUUCGGGUAUAAGCAAGAACUAGCUAUUACAGGGAUAGGUACAAGUAUGGGGAUAAGAAAAAUAGCGUUUGGAUGAAAAUUGGGUUGUUCCCGAGGAUAAGAAAAAUAUUAUGAAGUUUUAUAUAGAAAAUGAAGGUGUUGGUGGGGAUAAUCGAGAACUACUAUUCUCGGGUAAAAAAUUAGCGUUUGGAUAUAAAGGGAGGGAUAAGGGCCUAUUCCUAUUCCUGUUCCCAAACCAAACAGUGCCAAAGAGUACAUACAAUUUAUGAGCUUUAAUUGUGACUUGACUCACUCAGUCUCACCCCACUUCAAAAAGGGCUCGGCAUACUCCGGCCUCACGUCAUUUUAAAUGUAUUUAGCCCCUUUAAGCCAACAGAAUUUACGAUAUGAGAAAUAUAAUAAGCAGAUUUAGAGUUAAAGUACUUUCUAAGAGAAAAAUAUUUAUUGUUCUUGUUGACGAUUAAUUAUAAACAAGAUAUUUUCGUCGAUGAAUAUAAACCAAUGGUUUAUAUAUAUUUUUAAUCUUUAAAACGAGGAGGUUUGCUCACUUAUUUUAUUAACUUUUUUUUUUUUUUUUUACAUGGAGAGAGACAGAACCAUUAAUCUUAUAUUUUCAUGUCGGAUCUUUCGAGAUAACGUUGGUGCUAAAUACAACUUAAAUCCACGUACGUUUUCAUAUUUUUGUGUGGGACACGUUCGUUUUCAUAUUUUUGUGUGGGCCAACUUUUUCCAUAUCAAGGGAGGUUGGUGGGUAGGCAACGCCUCGAAUUCGGGACGAAUUUUUAAGAAUUCAAAUUUGAAUCCGACUAUAAAUCCAAAAUUUGAAUCUGAAUUCGAAUUUAAAUUAGAGAGAUUUUAAAAAUUCAUAUUCAAAUUCAACCCAACCGAAAAUUUAAAAUUCGAACCUAAAAAUUUGAACGCGAAAUAAUUAUUUCUUUUUAUACCGUACUUCAAAACAUAUUACAUUAAAUCUAACAUUUUAAAAUACAACUUCAAAUAUAAUAUUAAAUAUUUAUAUAUAUUAUAUAAUGUAAAAUUAAUUCGAGUUCGUGACAGGUUCAAAUUCGGAUCGGAUACAGACAAAAUUUAUAUUCAAAUCCAAAUCCAUCAAAUUUUUAUUUGUUAUAUUUGUUUCGAAACUACAUUUAUUUAGCAUGAGAUAAGUUCCCUCCUUUUGGGUUCAGAUUCGAAUAUAAUUUUAGGUAUCCGUACCCAUCAACAUCUCUAUUGCGAGAUAAAACUUGUUGAUGUGAAACAAUAAAAACCAAAAGAAAAAACAAGAAGUUGGUAAUUAAUAGCCUAUAAAUAGGGCAAGGGCAAAGAAAAGGGAGAAGCAUCAGCUGUAGAGGGAAAGAGCCAGCAAUAAUGGAUGCAAAUAAGAGAUCAGGAAUUGCUCUUCUUGUACUUCUUGUUGCAGUGUCCUGCCUUGCCGGUCCGUCCUCGGCUCGCACCCUCACCGGUCUUGAUUUUCUCGCUCGAGGUAAUCGUCGCGCAACAACGCUGGAUGUAUGUAUCUACAUAAUAUAACAAAAAGUAUUACUGAUAAGUCAACUUUUUUUGUUUAUUAAAAAAAAAGACACUAUCUUGCAUAUAUACUUAACAACAUAUUAGGAGAAAUAAACUUCAAAUUUAGUUAGUUAUCACACUAGUAAUGAAACUUCAGCUACGGUCCUCUUAUGAGAACAUGUCAAGGACUGAAAAGUCUAUAUAUACUUCGCACAUGCAAUAUUCAUGCCUCUUGUAAGAGAGAGAUGAAUGCUAUAUAUUCUAUCUUGUUCUCACUAAAUUAUCAAUAUUCAAUGACUAAAAAGUCUGUAUAUACUAUGCUUGUAAUUUUUAUGCCUCUCAUAAGAGAAUAGUGGUUGGACUAUUAGUAAUGAUAUUAUUUGAUGUUUGCGGACUAAUCAAUCACGAAUGUGUUGCUGCUCUUUCUGCAUGAAGUGAUCAAGGGAGAGAGAGUUACACUAAUAACCUGCAGCGAAUGCGUGUGUCCACUGCAAACAAGUUCAUCUGACGAAGAGUACAAAUGCUACUGCACGGAUACUUACUUGAUCUGCCCGAUCUUUUGCAAGAACUGCAAGGGCGAGCUCGGAGAGUACAUGUGCCUCGACAUGGUCUCGCCCAACCAAUGCCUAACAUCGGUCUCCUCCUCGGAGGCAAAGCAAAAGAUCAAGUUGCUGCAGGGUCGUGAAUGAGUGAAUAAGUGAGCAAGAGAUCGAAGUGCGUGUGAUGCAUAGUUAUAUAAGUAGCAAGUUAAGGGAUAUCGUAACUUGCUAAUGUAUUUGCAGCUUAAAUAAAUGGAUCUUGUGUGAUCCAUGCAUGCAUCUACGUACCUAUCUAUCUAUAAACUAUGCUUCUUUAUGUUCGUAAUGUGAAGCAGAAGAUGUACUAGAAUGGCUUGUUUCGUAGUAUAAAAUUUGUGAUCGUUAUCCGUAUAAAUUAAUAUGUUCCUCUAAUAAAAAUGUAUCUCUUCUUUAAUUACUAUUAAUUAGUAGCUGGUACAUAUUCAACAUGGAAAAAUAGUAGGAUUAUGUCCAUCAAUAAUUUGGUUACGAAUCUAUUAAUUUUUCUUAACAAUACCACUUUGCAACCUUAUGGGAGCAAACUUGUGUAAGCUGUUUAAAAAUCAUGCAAAUAGGUAUAACAUAAUAUAUAACUUUAAUUAAAUGAUUUAUGCUGCACAAAACUCGGUGUAUAUCAUUAAUUGCAUCCAAAAGUCACUUAUAUAUGCGAUGGAAAUAACUAUAUAGCAAAAAAAAAAAAAGAGGUUUAUUCCACGUGUUGCAAGAAAAUUUCCUCUAUAUAUUGAACUGUCACAUGCUUUGGUUGUAGCAAUUAAUUAAUUAAUGGUCCCAUGCAUAAUAGAGUUAUACUAGAGAGAGAGAGAGAGAGAGAGAGAGAGAGAGAGAGAGAGAGAGAGAGAGAGAGUAGUCUACUACUGUAGCAUUAUGUAUAUGGUUCUUUUGAAUCGAUAAUCGGUUCCGUUAGACUUGAUUUAAAGUAUUUGAAAUACAUAAAAAAUAAACUUUACGAUUUNUUGUUUUUAUUAAUAUUGGUACUUUUGAAUCGAUAAUCGGUUCCGUUAGACUUGAUUUAAAGUAUUUGAAAUACAUAAAAAAUAAACUUUACGAUUUUUCGACAUCAUUUGCCUAGUCAUCAAAGGGACUCAAAAUCAACGACUGAAAAUAAAAAUUCUACAAAAUGUGAUGAUAUGAUAUUAAAAUUUUAGAUCAAGGAUAUUAAUCUUAUUUUAUAUAGCACCAAAUUUUUUUUUAUCAAAACUUUACGUGAUUUGGAUAUUUUUACACCAUUAAACUUACAAACUGUUCACUACGACCAUUAAAUUUUUUGAUUUUGAGCCCCUUCGAUCACUAGAUAGAUAAUAUUCAAAAAUCGCAAAAUUUAUUUUCUAGCUAUUUCAAAUAUUCUAAAUCAAGUCUAACGAAGCCGAUCAUCGAUUUGAAAAUUCUAACAUCGAAAACGAUUUGAAAACACGAAAGACUCCGAGCUUCCAGAAGUAUACCAGUCUCAAUAUAUAUAUAUAUAUAUAUGAGUUGAGCUAGAAUACUCUCAAAAGCACCAACCUAGCUAGAAUACUUUCAAAAGCACCAAGAGGUUGGUGCUUCUGAGUUUUUAAUCCUUGGAUGGAGAGAUGUAGGGUUGGGAUGAUAGUAAUAGGUGGUGGUAGUAGAAAUAGUGUUUAAUCCAAUGUGUAUUAGUAAUCAAGGAGUAUUUCCAAUAGCUAAAAAUCUAGAAGCACCAAGAAAUUAAUGCUUCUAAAAGUAUACUAGCUCAAUUCUCUCUCUCUCACUCUUUAUAUAUAGGAUGGCUUAUGCAAUUAAUGUGGACUUAUGAGAUCUUUUGAUGGCUCCAACUUGUGUUACAUUAUGACUCAUGCUAUCCAUGUGGUUGUAUUUAUAGGAUUAGGAAAUUCAAUAUUAGAUCCAUAAUUUAUUCACAAGUUGGAAUGGCUAUCUCUGGCCAUUACGGCUGAGCUUUCCUUAUGCAAAAAUCUAUAUUUCAUGCCCUCAAUAAAAAAAAUGAUGCGACGACGGACAACCUAAUUAAAAAAGGAUGGACGGAACUAUCAGCCUGCGUAUUAUGUGGGAUGGAGCAGGAAACAGUGGGUCACUUAUGUUGGCUUCAAUGAGCCAGUAUUCUACCCUAUGACGGAAGGCCAUGUUGGGUCAAGUAAUAUUCGGAAUGGCGUGAGGUUGGGUGGGCCAGGUCAUGUUCAAAGUGGCGUGAGGUUGGUUAGGACGAGUCACAAUCAAGACCCGUGGGCGCUGUAUCUGUAUACUUUAAGUAAAUUGAUUGCGUAUUCCUAACAGCUCAAGCUUUUGGGAUUAAUGGUUAGCGCCAACAAUCCGACAAGUGGUAUCAGAGCCAGCGUGAGGCUGGUUGGAUCCAGUCACAAUCGAGACCCGUGGGCGCUGUAUCCGUACGCUUUAAGUAAAUUGGUUGCGUAUUUCUAACAGCUUGAGCUUUUGGGAUUAAUGGUUAGCGCCAACGUUCCAACAACUUAUUCAUGUAAUGCGUUUUUAGUAAAUUUCUAGUAGCGAUAGCCUUGGAGGAGAUCUAGCCUAUGGAUCUGGAGGAUGAUGUAGCGGUCGCUUGGGAUAAUUGGAUGUUAAGAUAUAGAACCCAAUCUACUUGUUCUAAACUGACUGGUUUGACAGCAUGCUGGUGGGUGAUUUGACACUCCAAAAACGAUGCAAUCUUUAGAAAAGCUAAUGUGGACUUAUUUGUAGCAGUCAAUAAGAUUAGAUACUUGAAGAAAUUGUGGGAGGAAUUUACGCGGCAAACCAGCUUUAACGAUGCCACCACUCCUCUUUUGUUUUAUUUUUAUUUAUAUUUUUAGUUUUAUUUUUAUUGUUAUUAUUUUUUUUUUUUAUCUUGAUUGAGGUGUACUAUCUCACUUAUGUAGCCUAGUUCAUACUAUAAUGAAUGAAGAGGAUAGUAUGUUAUAUUUUUCUAAAAAAAAAAGAAAAAUGAUGUGUAUGUAUCAUCGACCGUCUCUGUCGGAUAGUAAAAAGUUUUAUAGCUAGUUAAUAUCCGAAAUUUUAAGCUAGAAACUUAGUUAUUUUAUAUUUUCAAUUAAUUAAAUAUAUAUUUUUUUAAAAAAGAAAAAACUAAUAAUAUGUCAUCUUUUUUGUUGCAGAAAAAUAAUCAAAGGAUGUGAUGCAUAUUUGUGUCUUUGCAAUCUAACUAUAUAUAUCAAAUAACAACUAAGAGUCGGAAUAUUGUCAGGAAUGCCUUCGUGGUGGAGAAAAAUAUAUAUCUCAUAACUUGCCUCCGCCUAAAAAUUUAUCUCCCGUAGAUACCCCAAAUUCACUGUGCCAACCAAAUUCCGAAAAACAAUCAACUAUAAUUUGGUCCCCUAGAGUUUAGAGAGAGAAGGUCUUGUAUGUUAUUACGAGUACGGAGGCCUCCGAUUUCAAAGUCGUUUUCGAUGAUGGAGUUUCUGAAUCGAUGAUCGAUUUCGUUAGACAUGAUCUAGUAUAUUUGAAGUAUCUAAAAAUAAAUUUUACAAUUUUUUAAUAUCAUUUAUCGAGCGAUCGAAAUGGUUCAAAAUUAAUGGCUGAAAAUAAAAAUCUUACAAAAAGUGGUGAUAUAGCACUAAAAUUUUCGAUAAGAUAAAUUGAUCUUGUUGUAAAUAGUAUAAAUAAUUUUCUAUCAAAAUAUCAUCUGAUUUGAAUACUUCUACACCAUUAAACUUACAAAAAGUAUAUAUCAAUCAUAAAAAAUUGUUCAUUUUGAACUCUUCGAUCGCUAGAUAAAUGAUAUCGAAAAAUCACAAAAUUUAUUUUUUAGAUACUUCAAAUAAGUUAGACCAAGUCUAACGGUGCUGAUCAUUGAUUCGAAAGCUUCAUUAUCGAAAAUAGCUUAAGAGUACGGAGGCUUCCGUGCUUCUAAUAGCAUACAAAACCUACUAUAUAUAUAUAUAUAUAUAUAUAUAUAUAUAUAUAGAGAGAGAGAGAGAGAGAGAGAGAGAGAGAGAGAGAGAGAGUUGAACUCCUAUGCUUUUAGCCUUCGAAUCGCCUUAAGAUCCGUACAGCACUAAUAAAGGGGGCUUAAUGGGAUAUACUGUUAAUAGUGCUACAUGAAUCUUGAGGUAAUCCGAGGCUAAAAAGUUAGAAGCACAAAUGCUCCUAUACUUUUAAAAACACAUGAGCUCAACUCUCUCUCUCUCUCUCUCUCUCUCUAGAUCUCUAUAUAUAUAUGUAUAUAUAAUACGACUGGGGUGCUUUUAAUAGCACCAAACACUUAGUGCUACUUAGUUUUUCACCUUAUCCUUUUGACUAUUUUUAUUUCUUAAAUUAUACUAUUCCACCAACCACCCACUAAUCAAAGUGCGCCACUAUCAUCCUAAGUCCACCAUCUCCUACUCUGAAGGCUGAAAACUCAAAAACAUUAACGACUUAGUGCAAAGUAGGAGCAUUACAAUCCAAUUCUAUAUAGUAAUUAAUAUAAAAAUAAAUCUCAGAAUAAAUUUUAAUUAUCUUUAUUAUUUGGUUAAGAUGAAAUAAACUUUAAUUAUUAAAAAAAAAUUGAGAAAGAGGUAGCUCUGCUUCAUUCAUUAAGCCAAAUUAACUAAGCGUACAAUAUGAAAGCAGUUAGGGCCUCCGAGGUGAGCCAAACAGGAAAAACAGAAAAGAAGGGGGAAAAUGAAAUUAAGAAAAAUUAGAAAAGAUUAAAAAAUUAAGAAAGGUAGAGGCGGUGCGGUUAGGGUGGUGAGGGUGGUUCAACCCAGGAUUUCGUCGGAAGAUCCGGGCGCUCGAAAGCUCGGGUGACGUUGGGGGUCUUCGAGCGGAAAAUAAAGUUAUUUUUUUCCGUCCACAUGACCCAUCAAGUAGCCGCCAGGGAGGUUUGAGCUUUCGAUCUUUGCGCUGUGUCAGUGAUAGCAGAUAUUUUGUUCCAAAGGACCCGAACACUGUUCGAAUCCUCAACAGAUACAUCGGCCCUGAAGAGUAAGAAGCGCGUGAAGACGCAGCUGCUGAAGAGAUGGUCGCAACUCUCAGUAGCAAACGCAUAGAAUACAUAGUGAUCAUCGACCUGCAUCCCACGGGUGAGCAGUCUAUCAGCAGUGAGUAGUCUCUUGCGGAGUAACACCCAAAUGAAGACUUUGAUUUUGAUUGGAAUUUUUAAAAUCCAUAUGUGUUGGUACUCUUGUGUCCCUAAGUGAACUACACAUGUUAGAAUAUCACUCUAAUGAGGAGCUUGAAAGUGAACACAUCUAAACACAUACCUUCUUUUGUGAACACACAAACUGGUAGAUAUUUAAAAGCUUUUCAGGACAACAAUAUCAUACUACACUGGACAAUAAUUCAUAAUCUUUUGACAUAAAGUAAAUAACAUUUGUCCCUAUAUAUAUGUACUAUAAAAAUCAAGUUUUGCAAUUUUUAUAUCAUGUCUUUCAAAAUAAGGUUGGUAAAUAAGUCCACAUCUUCCUUGUCCGUCCCUGAUCAUCAACAGUGUACAGAUUUUGAAAAAAUGGUUUGCAAAAACAAAAUUUCCUAAUUUAAAUGGUAAAAACGUCCGAAACAAAAUCAUUUAAUUUUUCAAAAUUUUAAGUUUAUUACUUAAUUUUUUUUAAUUUGUUUGAUUUUAAUCAAUUCACAGUUUUUUAAAUUUAAAUUAUUUAUUCAUUUUUAUAAAUAAUUGUGAAAAUUAUAUAAAGUAACUAAAGCUAUGAAAAUAAAAGCUACUUUUAAAUUUCAAAGUCAAAGUGUUGUUGACUGAUUUGAAUCAAACAAAUUAAAAAACUGGAUAGUAAAAUCAAAAUUUUGAAAGAUUGAAUAGUCAACGAAAAAUAGUCUAUAGCUCAGAAAAAAUUCGAUAUUUUUUUACCAAUUUAAAUUGCGAUCCAUGCAUGUUAUUCAUGUAGUUAUAUUAAUUGAUACCAUUAGGAUCAAUAAUUGUAGCCCUAUAAAUAAGGCAUGAGAAAAGAGAAGGUCGAAGCAUUAGCAAUAGAAGAAAUGGAGGGAGGUAAGAGAGUACGAGGGUUUUGUGCAUAUGAGACGAAAAAGACUAUUGCUGAAUCUUUUAAAAGGAUGUUGAUAUAUAAUGAUAAGCUGGGUUUUGUGCGUAUGAGAACUAAUGAUCGAGUUAACUUUUUGAAUUUCGACACCUAGCUAAGUUGCUUGCAUGGUAUAUAUGGAUAAGUCAUUCACUCAUUCACAAUUAUAACAAUAGCUUUGCAUAACAAUUUCUUAUAUCUUUAUUAUGUAUGUCUUAUUCUUUCUGAAUGAAGUGAUGAACAAAGAGAGUGCUGCAGCAGCGAAGUGAGUGAGUGCGCAACAACACUGGCAAGAGCAAAAGAAGUGUAUGUGAUGUUAGCAAGUUAUGGACCAUCAUAACUUUGCUAAUAUUGUACCGUAAAUAAAUGGAGUUUGUGUCAUCCAUCUAGCUCUCUGCAUAUCCUAUGCUUAGUUGUUGUUCAUGCGCGUGUCAACUUGUACUAAAAUGGCUUGCUGAAUAAAUUUUAUGGCCCGUCUGUUGCUCUGAAUAAAUAUUCUCUUCUCCGGUAGUUUGCAUACCUUCUUCAUUUUUUAUUUUUUUUUCCUAAGAUGCAAGUAGGCUAUAAUAUGUAUAAAUCACACAUACGCUCUUCACUAACUUCGAUCUCACAAGUAGUAAUUAUCGCACGUGAGACUUUUACAUACCUAUUCUAAUCUCAUGGUUCAAAGUGCUUUCUCCGCCUUCUGUCAUUACUUUUCUAUUGUAUUAUUUAAGGAUGUAACAUAACUAAAAAGACUUUUUAACAAAAUUAAAUUUUUUUUAAAAAAAAGACCAGUCGAAUUGGUUCGGACUAGAUCAAUGUUCACGGGUCUAAACAUAGCGGGUCUAAUUGGAGACCAAAUGCUCCACGAGAGAGGCCAAUUCGACCAGAACUGGGUCAAGUUAUAUUGGAUCCAUUUUGGGCCUUGCAAUUUAGGCCCAAAUAUAGUUUUGGUCUUUCGGGAGGCCCAAUUCCCUACAAACUGAAAUCACUUUUUUUUUUUUAUUACUAAGGCUUAGUUUAGUAUUGAGUUAUAUCUAACGCUUUUAGAUAUGGGAUCGCAGAAAAUAUAUCGUAAUCGACUAAUUGCGAUAUGCGGAACGUAAUAUUACGUAAAGAAAUAAACAUGAUAUUUUUUUAUCCUAUUUUCUCAUCGCACGUAAUGCAAUCUUCCUGCAAUCCCUUCUCGCGUUUUGCUAUUCUAUAAUUUUGUUUCUAUUUACGGAGGUAUUUUCUAUUAAAUAAAAUAGCAAAGCCGGUAUAUGUAGAACUUCUCUACAAAAUCAUAAGCACUAAAUUGGGGCAUUUAUUUUUCAUGCUCAUAGCUAGUCCUACUGCUAUUUUUUUUUAGUAAAGCUUUCAUUUUUUUUUUAAUUUAUCAGAUAAUUUACUAUGGAUUGUUAUUUCUGAAAAUAAAAGAAGCAGCAUACAAAAAUAGGUCUCCUUACAUGGCCUAGUUUGAUAAUAUUGUGGUUGAAAGUAGCAUUUUUAUAUUACAAAUAGUCCAAAAUUUUCAAAAGCCCUUAGAACUUUUUUAAUUACAAUAAUUUUACAAUACAAAAGAAGAAAAUUUUGAAAAUAUUUUUAAAAUUUCUGAACUCUCUAUAAUAUCUAAAAAAAAAUUAAAGUUGUCUUAUAAUUCUAAUAAUUUUUUACGGCGGAUUCGAGCACCGUGGCUCUAGUAACUACGCGUUUUAGAAUAUCACUCUGGUAAAGAAAAAAUUCUGAAAUGCAAUAAUUAUAUUACUGAUGUGGUAUUUCCAAUUAGUCAAAAGACUCUCCUAAAUUUUAUCCAUCCCAUCAUAAUCUUUUAAAAAAAUAUUUUAUUAUACUUUUUUCUCAAAAGAAAAAAUAUAAUUAGCUAUGAAUAGAUGAUGUGGUGUAAAUGUUAUACAACAGGCCUCCUCCUAAUAAAGAGCUUGAAAGUGAACACAUAUAUAUAUCUUCUUUUAACCCAAAAAAUCAGGCAAAAUGGCAAAGGGCUUGGUAGUUGGUAUUCGACGUUCCGAGUUAGAAUCCUAAUUGAUUCACAUUUUCAGCUAAGCUUAUUUCUAAAUGAAAUAAAUGAAGCGGGUUGCAUGCUACCUAUUCUCAAAAAAAACACACACACACACACACACACACAUACCUUCUAUUGUGAAUACACAAAAGGCGUGUUUAGUUCGCUUCUUUUUCACCCUGGAAUCGGAAUCGGAAUCGGUAAAACCGUUUGUGGGUGUUUGGUACGUGGAAGUCUCAUUCCGAUUCCAAUUCCCGAGUGGAAUGGGAAUCCCCCGAUCACCUCUUUUUUCAAUCCGGUCUAGGAGGCCGGAUUGAAAAUUGAAUCUGGACGGAAUAGAUAUUUAUUCGGAUUAAAUUUAUUUUUUCAACUUUUUAAAUUAAAAUAUGAGUUAAAAUUUAAAAAUUAAAUAUAUAUUUUUAAAUUUUAAUUUUAACUUAAAUUAAAAAUUAAAAUUUAAUCAAGUAUUUCAAAUCUAACUUAUGAAUUUGAAUUUAAAUUAAAUUUUAAUUAUAUAAAGUUUUAUUCAAAUUUUAUUUCAAACUUAAAUUAAAUUUAUGGAUUCAAAUUAAAAUUUAAAUUGUAAUUUUAAGUUUGAAUUUGAAUAAAUUAAAAUUUAGUUUCAUAUUUUGAAUUAUCCACUCAACUUCAAAGUUUAAUUUUUUUUAAAAAAAAUAGAUUUAAAAUUUUAACAUUAUUUCAAUUUUUUGAUGUAAAUUUUUAAUAUUUAACUUUUAAUUUGAAUUUAAUUUAAUAUAUUAUAAAGAUAAUGUUAGUAUAUUAAUUUGAUUACGUUUUUUAUAUCCACCUAAACCAAACACCGACGACGGGAAUGAUUUAUUCCGAUUCCGAUUCAGGUGAUGAACCAAACAGAAUUAGGUAAUGAGUCAUUCCGAUUCUGAUUCUAGCUUAUUUUGAUUCCGAUUUUGAUUCCGGCUCCGACUUCGAACCAAACACGCCAAAGUGGUAGAUCUCUCAAGAGCAUUUUAGGACAACACUCAACUAUGAUUGUACUGGACAAUAAUUCAUAAUCUUUUGACAUAAAGUAAAUUACAUUUGUCCCUAUACAUAUGUACUAUAAAAAUCACGUUUUGCAAUAUUCAUAUCUAUCAUGUCUUUCAAGAUAAGGUUGCUAACUAAAAUGUGUCAAAUAAUGUCCACGUCUUCCUUGUACCCCUGCCUAAUCAACAUACGGAUUUUGGAAAAAUUAAUGGUUUGCAAAAAAAAAGUUGCUAAUUUAAAUGGUAAAGACAUUCAAAACUUGAUUGACAAGAGAAUAAUAUCGAAAAAAAUAUAUAAUUUAGUUUCUAAAUACUUUAAAUGAUAUAAAUUAUAUUCAACGGUACCGAUCAUCGAUUUGAAAACUCCAUCGGUGAAAAUAAAUAAAAUAAGUGACAACAGAGCUCGUUUGCUACUAAUAGCACUCCAGCUCAACUCAUAUAAAUUCGAUAUAUAUGUGAUUACCAAUUUAAAUUGCAACCCAUGGAUGCUAUUCACGUGGUUAUAUUAAUUUAUAGGAUUUUAGGAUCAAUAAUUGAUGUAGCCCUAUAAAUAAGGCAUGAGAGAAGAGAAGGUCGAAGCAUUAGCAAUAGAAGAAAUGGAGGGAGAGGUAAGAGAGUAGGAGUUGCUCUUCUUGUGCUUCUUGUUGCAGUGGCCUGCUUUGUGGACCAAUCCUCGGCUCGCAGCCACCCCGGUCUCGAUUUUCUUGCUCGAGGUAAUUGUCGAGUAAUGCCGUAUUAAUAUGCAAUAUAUAACCUUUGUAUUUUUUAGAGAAAAAGAUAGUAUGUUAUCUGUUUCAUUCAUUAAGUAAAAUGAACUAAGUUAUAAAAAUGAAACAGUAAAGCUUCAAGGGAAACUGACGGCAGUUAAGCGACAGGUGCUUAAGACCAUUAGACCCACCACAGCUUCCAUGCACGUCCUAAUGUUCCAAUGACCUCCGGAAUGUCUUGUAACACUGAUCAAAUAUGAAACGAAAAAGACUAUUGCUGAAUCUUUUAAAAGGACUGAUAAUGAUGACAAGCUGCUGGUCUUGUGCAUAUGAGAACUAAUGAUCGAUCUAACUUUUUGAAUUUCGACACCUAGGUUAAUUGCUUGUUCAUCGAAUGAAUAAGUCGAUCAUUCGCAAUAAUUAUAACGAUGGCUUUGCAUAACGAUUUCUUAUAUCUUUUUGUAUAUAUGUAUUAUUCUUUUUGCAUGAAGUGAUGAACACAGAGAGUGCUGCAACAGCAAAAUGCGACCUCUGUAUUUGUUUGAUGAUAUGACCGCCGAGGUGCUACUGUAUGGAUCAGUUCGACUGCUGCCCUUCCUGGUGCAAGAACUGCCAGGAGCUGGAUGGAAAGUACGUUUGCCGCGAUGUGAAUCCCGAUCAAUGCAAAAAGGACUCCUCCUUAGACACAAAUCAUAUGAUCAAACUGCCUCACGGUCAGGAGUGAGUGUGCAGCAACACUGGAAAGAGCAACACAAGUUUAUGUGAUGUUAAUUAGUAAGUUAUGGACCAUCAUAACUUCGCUAAUAUUGUAGCUUAAAUAAAUGGAGUUUGUGCCAUCCAUCUAGCUAUCUACAUAUCCUGUGCUUUAGUUGUUGUUCAUGUAUGUGUCAACUUGUACUAAAAUGGCUUGCUCAAUAAAAUUUAUGGCUUUUGUGUUGCUCUAAAAAAAUAUUCUCUUCUCCUUUAGUUUGCAUACCUUUUAUUUAUUUUUUAUUCCCCCCCCCCCCACUAAGAUGCAAGUAGGCUAUGAUGUGUAUAAAUAACCUAGGCGUCAUGGACACUGACACGUGAUACGGAACACGACACGACUCGAACACUGCGACUCGGCAACUUUCAAAAAAUUAGGACGCGGACACGGCAUAAACACCACUAAUAAAAUUUAAUAUUAUUAAUAUGAUAAUAUAUUUUUAUUGUAUAUAAAAUAUUAAUUUGAUAAAAUAUUAUUAUAUUUCUCGUACGAAAGAAAAUUAGUAAAAUUUUUAUUGAUAAUUCAUAUAUUUUAAGAAAAAAAAUUUCACCAUACUUAAUUUAUCUGUAUUAUAAAAAAAAUCAUAUACAUUCAUCAAAAACUAAAAUAUUUAUUUUAUUGUACAUUACACAUGCAUAGAAAAAGUAAAAUAAAAAUAGAUAUAUAUUUUUUUUAGUUAUAUACACUAUGAAUCGACAUUAAACGAGCGUCCGAGGAGUGUCCACAUUAGACACGUGUCACGUGUCCGACACGGAGGCUUAUAGAAGUGUCCGUGAUACGUAGUAAAUAACACAUACGCUCUUCACUAACUCUGAUCUCACAAUUUGGGAAAGAGGUUACGUAUUGAAUAUGCUACAUAGAAGUAGUAGUGAUUAUCGCGCGUGAGACCUUUACAUACCUGCUCUAAUCUCACGGAUCAAAGUGCUUUCUCCGCCUUUUGUCAUUACUUCUCUAUUGUAUUAUUUAAGGAUGUAACAUAACUAAAAAGACUCUUCAACAAAAUUAAAUUGAAAAAAGACCAGUCGAAUUGGUUCGGACUAGAUGGGUGUUUACGGGUCGAAACAUAGCGGGUCUAAUUGGAGACCAAAUGCUCAACAAGACAACAAGAGAGGCCGAUCCGACCAGAACUGGGUCAGGUUUUAUUGGAUCCAUUUUGGGUCCUGAAAUUUAGGCCCAAAUAUAGUUUUGGUUUUCGGGUCACCCAUAUCAGGCCCGAUUCCCACAAACUGAAAAAACUUUCUUUUAUUACUUUGCUAUCUUUUUUCUUUUCUUUUUUUUUUUUGAGAUAAAUGUAGCACGCUACCCGCUUCAUUCAUUUGAAAAAUAAAUUCUGCUACAAAUGUUGAGGCAGCAGGGCCUCGAAUGGAUCAAACAGUUAGAUAAAAAGAAAAAAAGAAAAAAAAAUACAUAAAUAAAUAAAAGUAAAAAAAUAAAAAGUUAUUUUGACAUUCUUUGAGUGUAUUUUUAUUUUACUGUAAGAACCUCUGCUGUCAAAUAGAAAAAUAUAGUUAUAAAGUGAAUAUUAGUGGAACUUACUCUACAAAAUUAGAAGCAAUAAAUUGGAACAUCUAUUUUCCAUGCUCAUAAUUUUAUUUCUAUUUUUUUCACUAUAAAACAGCUAUUUAUUAGCGACUAAUAUUUCUAAAAUUAACAGGCGAGGAAUAACUAGGGAUUACACUUUAUUGAGGAUGACUAGCCAAAAUAAUACGAUCGAGCAAUUAUGGCAAAGAACUUGAUAGUUGGUAUCCGAGAUCUCAAAUUCGAAAUCUAACUGUUUCAUAUUUCUAACUAAGUUCUAAAAAAAAAAAAAAAAAAAAAAAAUUAAAUGCAUACAGGUCCCCAUAAACACAGUAAAUUAUAAAUAUAUCCUAUAAAGUUCAACUUUUAUAUGUGUCCAGAAAAAAAUUCUAAUAUUUUCAAAUAUACUCCUCUGAUUUGUUAUCGUUAGAUAACUAUUUAUAUUUUCAAUUUUGCCAUAACAAAUAUAUCCUUUCAAAAGCCACAACAAUAUAAUAUAAAAGAUAAAAAUAUAAAAAACUAAUCAGGGUUGAGUAUUUAAUCUAUGGUUAAUUAAAUUUUUCUAACGAAUUCUAACGGCAGAGACAUAUUUGAAAACAUUAGGACUUUUACAAAAAUAACAUAUAAAAGUUGAAUUUCGUAGGAAUAUAUUUGCAAUUCACUAUAUUUGCAGUGACCUAUAUGCAAUAAACCCUUUUAAGACAAUAUGUUCGUCGCAAAUGUAGCUAAGGUUUAGAUUAGGAUUAAUAGAUACUUCAUCUGGGUCAUAAGCUUAAUUAUUCCUCUAUGGAAUGCAAAUGUCAUCUAUCUAUAAUAAGAGGCUGUGGAGAUAAGAUUGAUUCAAGAUAGGAAGAUGGAGCCAAAAGCAAAGACAAGUAUGUAUGGAUUGUUUUGUAUACAUGUUUGUGUGGAUUAAGCCAAUGACAUUGAUUUACUCUUUAGUACAUCAAGCCAUGUUGGCUCCAAGAUAAUGAUAUUAAUUUCUGAGAGAGAGACUUAAUUUCUUGUACAGUGAUGGUCAAAUAUGGAUGGCUCUACAUUUUUUACUUUUGGAUAUAUCCAUGUACUAGAAUAUUUUGUUGUAGAAUAGAACAAAAUAUCUUUAGCACCUAAUCUAAAGAGAGUGACAUUAAAUUGAGUGGCCGAUAGGCGAUUACGUAAUUGACUAUCUGAUGUGGAUUGCAUUAUCUGCAGAGGAUCUUUCAAAUAAGUGUAAUAACUUUACAGUCCACAGCGCUUACAACUUUCUCAUUUUUGGGGGAGUCGUAGACCGAACGAUCUCUUAUCUUUAGAAACUAAAGGUUCCCCUCAGGAUGAAGCUUUUUCUUUGGUUGGCCUCAAGGUAUAGGGUUCUAACGGCGGAGAUAUUGUCCAAGCGUGGCUGGCAGAGACCGCCGAUUUGUGUUCUAUGUUGCAAGAGUGAAGAAAAGCUAGAACACAUACUGUUUGAAUGCUCGUUCGCAGUGAGCCUGGGGACCAACCUACUACAGGGCAUACCGAACACUAAGCACACCCUGUUAAAUCAACCCGGAGAUCUUUCGGCCAGAUGGAUUCGAGCCAGGAAUUCACAAUCGGGACAAGCUAAAAUUAUUUUCGAUCUCUGCUUCGCUGCGACUUGUUAGGAAAUUUGAAAAGAAAGAAACUCUUGAAUCUUCGACAAUCGUGUAGGGGGAAGUGGAGGAGUGGGUAACAAAGUUUUUUCCUCUGUAUUACUCUGGAACUCUACUUAAUUUGUGAUGAUAGUGAGCAUCAAGGGUGUGCCCACUCUUUUGUGCUCGACUAUCCGCAUGUGAUAUACUUCCUCAAAUAGGGUCCCCCUGUUUAAUCAUACAUACAUAGCUAUAGUUGGCUGACGGUUUGAUGGUUCGUAUUCGAAAUUCACAUUUAAAAUAUAUUUAUUUUAUAUUUUUAGGUGAAUUUAUUUUUAACUAAAAAAUUAGCGAAAUAAAUAGCAUACUAUCUUCAAAGAAAGAGAUUUUCUUAGUUUCAUAUAUUUUACACGGGUAUAAUCAUAUACAAUGCAAAGCAAAAGGUUACUUUUUUAAAAACAACAAAGGAGAUAUGAACGUGUGUUGAAUUAAUCUUAUUUAUGGACUUAAUUAAUGUACUGGUACCAAACAUUGACUUUUACAACUUACAUUAAAAACCAUUUUUUUUUUUUACAAAAAAGUCUUAUUAUGCAUGCCUUUUAACACAUUAAGUUCACUUCGUGAUUUUCAAAAUCAUUCUAGAACGCCUUAAUUUGAAAGUAGUAAUAUUUUUCGCCCUUUCUAGAGCUCAGUGUGCAAAAAAGUAAAAGCACUUAUUACUAAUCACUGUUGUAAUUAAUUUACUCCUGUUCUAUGAAGAUAUAUAUAGAAAAAAUAGGACUAUUUAUUAGCGCGUUAUAAAUCAGCAUCGAGCUCUUUAUUGCGAAAUCUUUAUAAUACAAUUGCUUGUAUAAUUUCGCUACAUGAAUCAAAUCAGCCUUACACUGACUUUCUUAAGAAAACACUUAACUUGCACAUGUUUCUAGAAUAACCCUUCAUUUUCUCUAGUUCAAUUGGUAGAAUGAAAAAUCGCAAGUCUUAAGACGAAUUAAGCUACAGAUACAGCGAACAAAACGCGCAAAAGUUCCGAAUCGCAGAAGCCGAUCGAUCGACCGUUAAAAUGCCUUAGGAGGCAUUUGUUGAUUUGCUAAGAAGUGUUUGAAAAGCGACAGAGCUUGUCUCGGCUUGAACUGGGGGACUUCGUGGCCAGCUCCGCGGAUCGUAACAAAUGUUAGCCCUUCGAAGAUUACCGUCCACCCUCCGACCUGUGCAAAAAUGCGCGCGAGCAUAAGUAAUUCGUUAUCCUAAGUUUUUCGCGAAAAAAAAGAGAAAAAAAGGGCCUAGAAAUUAAUUUUACUUAAAAAAAUAAAAAAAAAAUCACGGGGCACAUGCAUGUACCUGCUCAUAGUCAUACCACGGCGUCCACUCUAGAAUAGUUUGAAGGCCAAGUUUGCGGAGCGUGUAUCUUGUUGACGUGACUGGGAUUCUUCCAUCAGUGUCGCCGCUGUUAAUUUCAACGAAUAAGAAAAACAAACCAACUGCUCUAAAUAGUGCUGAUUAUAUAAACACGAGAUAGAAACUACCAUCUAUAUUUCGAAGCCAUAAUAUAAAUAUAAUUAUUAAGCAUUACAUCAUUAGAAUUUAAUUGGUAAUGUUAAUUAUUAAGUUAUGUAUGUUAAAUUGGGUUGUAGUUUGUCGACUUAAAAACCUAUACCUGUAAACCCACACCCUGAUUCCGCCGUCGAUGAGCUUCCGAAUGAUCGGUAGCAUAGACGCCGGUGCAUCGUUCCAUUGGUUGAUCGCAUUGCUGCAAAUAAAAAAUAAAAAUUAAGAAAGGAUUAAGUUAAAUUCGAUUCAAAAUUGUGAGAAUUUAGGUUUGAAUACGGAUUUUUAGACUAAGCUAAGAUCAAUAAAUUCCGAUCCAAACACAACUAAAAUGUGUUAGGGUUAAUGGAAUAGCACCUGCAGUGAGUCCAAUUGUAUCCAAUAUUCGUAACAUUCGCGUGAAGUGCUUCUUGAACAUCUUUCCUAUUGAAGUACACCUCUGUAUAGUCCGACACGCAGGGAUCGUAACCCGCAGGCUUCUUAAACCACUCUUUCUGCAAUACGUAAACAAAAGCUAAGUGAGUCGUGCUAUCAGUACGCACUCUACGAUACUAUCCUUGUGGCCUGCUGAUAUGCUGAUAUGCUGAUAUACUUACAAACUUCGAGAAGAGCUUAGGGGACGCGCCCUCAAUCCAAAAGUGCUUAUUCGUUGCAGAGGCGGUGGACGUGUUCUCGACGCAGACGGGGGAGUACAAGCUAUACAUGUCGAUGAUAUUGUAAACGGCGAAGUACUCGUUCAGCGCAUUGUUGCAGGCAUUUGUAACAUUCACUUCGCUGAAGUUGCAGUUCGUUUUUACGUCGUGGUACACUCGAUCGGAUAUGACGGCAUGAUCCCAGGCGUAGUCGAUCAUUCCGUUCUGAUCAGUGUCGUCGUCCAUUAACGCGUUACCUAUCUGCUUAUAAAUGAAUCAAGUAAAAAAAUUGUGGUUAAUUAUUAGGAUAAUCGCUUUUUGAGAGAUUAAUUUAACCAUUUUCCUAAUUUUGUACAUUCAUUAUUUGUAAUUUGCAAAGAUAAAUACUCAUAAGCCAUAAUCAUCUUCAAUUAGGAUAGUGUAAAAUUACCAUGAAACCCUUGAAAUUGAUAUAAUUCUCCUUAGGGCCACUUUUGUUUUCGUCGAAUAUCAUCUCAGAGAGUUCUGGAACAUAAUGUCCUAAAAGGAGAAAAAAAAAAAAGAAAAAAAGAAGAUGAUUUAAGUAAAAAAAUUAACCACAAAAAUUAAAAAAAGGGGUUAACUUAAUUAAUUAGCUAAAUAGAGAGUAAUCUCUUUAAUUAAUUACCUCCAUAGCUUUCUCCAGCAAUGUAGAAUUCAUGGGACCUGAACUGUGGAAACCUCUUAAACCAAUUUACAAGGAAUGCGUACGAGUCCUCGGCUUUAAACGACGGAAAAUAUAAAGCGUUAACGCGCGAAAAUAUUAUCAAAAUUUACUGCAUAAAUUUGCUAAGAUAAAUGGAAACAUGGUUAUUAAUUAAUUGUUGUGUAGGAAUUACCUGUAAUUUUGUCGCCGAGAUGAAGCAAAUCGGAGCUUGUGUUUGUGUAUGAAAAUCCAACACCAACAGGAGACUCCAAAAAAAUCAAAUUGGCCUCUAAAAUUAUAGAGACAAAAAUUAUUAGGAUCAUGUAAUCCAAUACUUCAUUGUUACUUAAUUAGUUGUUAAUCAGGGUGUUUUUUUUUAGGAAAUAUUAAGCUAAGUACUUAAGCAAGGUAUUUUUGCAUUGAAUGUAUGAAAUAGGUGAUUAUGAGUUCGACAUGAUUCGACUAUGCUAUCUGAAAACUAGCUCUGAUAUCAUAUCAUUCAAAAGAUUCAUAGUGUAAUGGACGAUUCAAAAAUAGUUAUUUUUUUUAAAAAAAAAAAGUUAAUGCGUGGAAAAGUUAUAGCCUUUUCUUUUAGUAGGUUCUCCAAAGGAUAGAUAUUUUCUCAGCAUUUUUCUUUUCUUUUUUUUUUUUUGAAAGGGAAAACCACUUGGCCUCUCAACACCUUUUUUUUUUUUUUUUUUGACUCAAAGGGAUACAAAAUAUUCAAUCAUUUUGAAUNUAUUAACCCCACUUUAUUCGCAUGGGCCAUGUUAAUAAGUCAUUAAACAAAUGGUCUUUUAUUAGGGAGUAUAAUAUUUUCACAAUUUUCCUUUGACUCAAAGGGAUACAAAAUAUUCAAUCAUUUUGAAUAUGUGGUUAGUUGAUUAGAAAUUGUAUAAGAUCUCAUACUCCCUAACAUAGUCAAAGGAAAAUUGUGAAAAUAUUAUACUCCCUAAUAAAAGACCAUUUGUUUAAUGACUUAUUAACAUGGCCCAUGCGAAUAAAGUGGGGUUAAUAAGCUCUCUAUUUGAGACAUUGCAUUCCAAUAAAAUAGCUUUUAUGUUUAAUUCAAAAAAAAAUUGGUGCACAUUUGGCACAGCUAGAGCUUUUACAAAAUUAGUGUUUUAGUCGAAGUUCUGAAAACACACUUCUAAAUUUUUUUUUUCUUUUUUGAUCUAAAUUCCCCAAACAACUUCUUGUUUUAGAAGUAUAAGAACUUUAAAAUUAAGAUUUUCCUUUCAAUUUUUGUUGCCAAACAUUUCAAUUCUAGAAGCCAAUUAAUUAUCAAAGCAUGCAUAUAUGUUAUGGACAUAUGUAAUGAAUAUGAUAGAGCAUGUCUAGAAUAAAGUUUCUACUUAACACACAUACAUAUAUAUACAUUUCUUUUUCUUUUAUCUAUUUAUUUUUCAAUAAAUUAUAUGUAAGUUAAAUGUACAUAGUUUGUAUAUAUAUGUGUCUGUGUAAUUAAUAUGUUUAAUAUGAUCAUAAUAAUAUUAAGUAACCUUGCCUUUGUUCCACGAGUACUUGUUUAAUCUUAGUUGGGGCACCCCUUUUUGCAUCAAAAGAGGCCCAAGCUCCUCUGCUUCUCCAUACCCAAUAGAAGAACAACCAGGUCCUGUAAUAAAUAAAAAAUAAAAAAUAAAAAAAAGAUAAAAUAUCCAUUUAUAUAAAUUCAAAAAGAAAUAAAAAGAAAUAAUGAAUUAUCUGAUUACCAAAUCACAUCAAUUAAUGAAUUAGAAAAGUACAUUAAACUAGCGAGAUAUCGACCUCUGAAAAACUUGGUCAAUUUGUGUUCUUCUAAAAGGUAUAAAACACACCACAAUGCACCUAACGUGCACCUCCUUAUCAACACAACUAGUUAAAUCAAUGAGCCGCCUACAACGCACAUGUCCGAUCACGGCCUAAGAUCUAAAUGCUUCUAUCUCCUCUUUCGCUCUCUAAAUAUUACAACUAUUUCAACACAAGGUCGUCGUUUUCAUUAACUCUAUCUCAACGGUAACAAAUAAAGAACGCAUUGAAAUUGAUAGUGACAUUGAACAAUAGAAGAUGAGAUCAAUGGACUCUAUUUUCGUAUCCUAGCUACUUGAUAUUCUUUCUAACUUGUUUGGUUCAUAUUUUCGCAUUUUAAUUUUGAAAAAAAAAAAUUUGUGAACUGUAAUAACUAAUAAUUAAUGAGAACAUAGGGACCAUUUUACAUAUUCCGGGUCCUACUUUGCUAAACGAGUACAAAUAUUUUUCAAAACACUUUGGACCCAAAAUAUCAUCCUUUUCUCAAAAAAAAGAUUACGCAUAUUUUGGUGCUAAACAAACUUUGCAGCUUGUAAAGGUAUUACAUAACAUAAAAUUUAUGUACACGAAAAUUAAGAAAUUAACAACAACAAUAACCAAAUGAGGCUUUUAUCGUCACAUCAAAUGAUUAUUACUCCAUAGUACUAUUCUAUUUUCCAUAUAAAGAUGUGCGUUUCGUGGCCAUUAAAACUAGUCACGUACCCACAUGUGGCUCAUUAAAGCAUGAUAUAAUUUCAACAAAAUUAAUAAUAGCAACCAUAUAUAGUGAAAUAAACACUAUUACUGGGAAAGGUUCUAAAAUUUUAUCCAAAAAGAUAUUCUCAUCACAAAGCAAACAACAUAAAGGUCAAGCAAUAGAAUGAAUACAAAGUUACAAACUAGGAAAACAAACAACGCACGCAAUAUACAAAUAUACGGGUCCAUUUGCCCCCUCUUAUUCUUUCUACCUAUGUAGGGUACAGUAUUAUUUAAUAAAGCACGAUUUAAACACUAUAAUUAUAGAAAUAUUACGUCAAACGUUUUCGACUGUUUCUUAUUCUCUUUGCAGUAGAAUGAGAAACUCUAAAUUGAAACAAAAUCAUGUGUAUAUUUAAUGAAUAUCAUAAACUACCUACUAAAGCUGAAGCAUAAUCACAUAUGUAUUCAUAAUUUUACCUUUUGCUACAAAAGAAAUUUAAAAUUAAAACUUUUGUAUUUGGUAAAUAUUUAUAACUGUAGUUAAAAGUAGGAACGUGAGAGGACCAUGGAUCUCCACGCGACCCUACGUUGUCGGUGUGAGAGACAUAUGUCUUCUUAUGUACAGCCUCGCGCACUAAAAAUUAUUGUGUGCACCGAAUGCAUUAGCAAAUUAUAUAUACCAUUCAACUAAAAUUUCAUAAUAGAGACUUCGAAAUCAGAACUUAAGGAUAUAUAUGUUCAAUGAUAAUUAAAAGUCCAGCAUAUCAAAAAUGGAAAUUUUUAAAUUCAUAUUUUUACUAACCCUUUCUCUAGAGAUGCAUAGGUAAUAAAUUUUUAAAAUAUUUGCCUUUUUAUUCUCUAUAUAUAUAUAAAUAGACUCUUCAGAUGAUAUUAGUUAAUAGUAUAAUAAUGAAUUAGAAUUGCACCAUGCUUGGAUGCCCCAAUAUGUUAUCAAGUGAUAUUUUAUUCUGUUGUGAUUGAAAGUUAAGAGUGUGAUAAUCAAAUGUAUAUAAUGAAAUAGCAUAUUCAGCUUCAAGUAAUUAAUUGUUUUCAGAAUAAUAUAAAUUAUUAUCUCCUAGGUAUCAUAUGCUAAUUAAUCUAAGAAACCAUGAAUGCAAAUGUCUUUUAAGAAGUUUUAAAAAAAAAAACUCCUAUCUUUAGUAACACAAGCAAAUUUCAUGCCAAAUAAUUAAGUUAAUUAUCAUCAGAUAACUUAUUCUGGUAUGGAAACAAAAAACUCAACUUCAAAAAUAUAUAUCAUCAAAUAUUAAGUGCGGUGCACAGAGUGAGCUAGGUGCAGGCAAUAAUUUCUCCUUCUCUAAUUAGUGGCCUCUAUUUGGUUUCUCUCAUUUGGAAAAGAAUAUAAUUAAUGGGUUAACUAAAUUCGCAAUUUACUUUAUUAUUUUUAAAAAAUAUUAUAAAAAAGUUUAACAAAUUAAGUGAUUUGAUUAAAACAUAAACUAAAGUUUAAUGACUUAAUUGACCUUGAAUAAAACUUUACUAAAAGUUCAGCGACCAAUGGUGUAAUUAUUUGCUUAUUAGUUUAUCUAUAUAUUUGAAGAAAAAUAGGGUGACCUAAUUUUAUCACUGGACAUUCCAGCUAUGAUAUUUGAUGAUGGUCCCCAACCAUCCUUGUUUUGAUAUGUAGACACUGGUGCAUGAAAGCGCCACAUCAACCAUUUAUUAUUUUACAUCUAUAGGCCCUCUCUCUAUACAAAGAGUACUAUGGUCCACACCUGUGAAUUAAUAAUAUGCAUAUAUAUAUUGAUUAAACCUUCUUUUAAUUGAUCUUGUAGUGUGAUAUGAUGAUUAUUUGAUCCUAAAAAAGAUCACACAACAAAGUGACAAAGGGACUUAAAGAGCAUAAGUGCUAAAUACAUGCAUGGUACUAGUAAUGAGAGAGAGAGAGAGAGAGAGAGAGAGAGAGAGAGAGAGAGAGUCAAACAUGAAGCUUUGCGUAAAAUGUUACCAAAAUUUUGUAGAUCCCGGAAAAAAGUUGUAUAUAUCUAAGACCUCCACUCAUUCUCUGAAAACAGUUGUACUUGUGAUGCAAAAUGACUAAAGAUUAAACAAAGUAUAUAAGGUGGUCAAUGUUGAACAAUAAGUUUGUUUUCACAAUAUUAUUCAACAUGGCAUCGAAGCAAGAGAAUCUGAUUAGUGUGUUGUUUUGUUUAAUUUGCACCCAUUUUAAUUCAAGUCCACGCCACAUCUCUCUAUCAAAAAAUCUCGACCGCGGGCAUGAGAGAAAAUGUUGAAUAUAAAUAUUAAAAAUAUUGUUCUCUCGUACGUAUGUAGUUUAAGUUUUUGAAAAACAACGGUUGUAUUUCUCAUAUGUAUUUUGUAUGUUACUAUCAUCGUGCAAUAGUGGAGGAGCCCUAGGGAGUGCUAAGUCAGUAACCUGAUAAAUGGACUACACAUUUUCGAGUUUGAAUGUACACAACCCAUUAGUAGAACAACUAGAGCUUAAAACAUAGCCAUCAAAUUAAAGGCACCAUAUGUACACUUCUCUCUAGCUUUCUCUCUCUUACAUUGACAAUUACCUUGCAUCUAUCUUGCACCAACUUGAUUAAAUUCACUUUUUUUUUCCUUUUUUGAAUGGAAAAUUAACUUUAUUAAUGAAACACCAUCUAUAUAUAAAUAUAUAUCUACCCCUUUUUUGAAUGGCUUAUGAUUCAUGUAACUAACAUCUUUAUAUCUAUCCUAACUAGUUGUAAUUCUAACAAACCCAUUAAUUCUCUUUGUACUCUUUCUCAACAACAAGUUAUAGUAUCAUGAAUAAAGGAAAACAAAAACAAACACAAAUACAAAAGGAAAGAUGGAAAAAAAACUAAAGAAUGGUGUAUGGUAUAUAAUUGUUAUGAAUUAUGUGAACAAAACAAGUGUAUAUAUAUAUAUAUACCUCCAUUGAGCCAUAGAACAAGAGGCUUCUUCUCCACAUCAUGAGAGACCUCAAAGAACCAGUAGAAGAGCGCGCGGCCGUGGCUCUCGUUGACAGUCACGUACCCCGCGUACUGCUCGAAGUUCACGAUCGGCUGGCCCGGGAGUCGGAUCACGCGAUCAGCAUCUUGUUGCUUUUGGACCUCAGGGUCCAAUUUGUAUGACUCAACAAGAGCCAAGUAAGAGGAAAAGAGAAGGAUACUAAGGAGGAAACAAGAAGGGAUAGAGAUCAAGGCACUCAUUUGGAGAAUUAUUGCUGGUCCCAAGGGUUCUUCAAAUGACAAGGGGAGUGGCUUUAGCUAUUGUAUAUUUAUAGCAUAAGGGGGGUGGACCCUUGUAUGUUAAUAUAUAUCCCUCUUAAGCUUAUUCGAUUGCACCAAAGUUGCUUCUUCUCAUCCUUCUUUUCCUCACAUUUAUAUAGGACAUAGAAAAAAGAUUCCUUCUCUUUUCUUCUUUUAUUUUGUUUUUGCUCUAGUGUUCAAUUUGUUUCACUAAGUACAAAAAGAAAGCCUCCCUAAGAUGAUGUGCAAAUCAGGUUAUUGUUUACACUUGGUGUAUUGGUGCGCUCGAAAUUUAUGCACCGUUAUUCUAUCUGCUAUUCUUUUCAUCUCAUAUUUUCAGUUCGAUCAUCUAAUUUCUAAAUAAAGAAAAGAUGAUAAAAUUGGUACAUGAUUAAGAUUAAAAUAUGAGAUCGACGGAGAGUUAAAUGACUGAUGUGUGUUACCCAGAAAAUAACUCUAAUAAAAAAUAAUUUUAAAAAUUAAAUGAAUCAUGUCAUGUGCAUUGACAGAAAAGAUAACUUAAGAUAAGAUUAAAAAAAAAAAAAAUUAAAAUAUAUACUACAAAAUAGCGAAUGUAAAAAUAGGGAUCUUAAGAUGAGUUAUGAUACGAUGUUAUCAAAAAAACUCAAUGUAUAAUAGAAAAUGAUUCAAAAAUAGUGUUAACGGUGCGCACAGAUGUACAGAUAUAAUAAUUGCUAUUUAUUUAGGAGAGUGGCGGGUCAGAAGAAGGAAGAGAAUGAGAAAAAUGAGCCAACUGAAAAAGCUGCACCAGAAGCUACCAAAAAAACAAUUUAAAAUCCCAAACCACUCUGUUUUUGGACUUGACUUCAUAUAGAUGGAUGGUAUUCUUUUGACUCUUUUGUUAGGUUUGGGUAGUUGUAUGCGUUUCCUUGCAUUGGUGGGGCACCUCUUUAUAGCCUCAUGUUUUGGAGGGCUUCUUUGUUAUUGAGAAGCAAUUAAUUAAUUAUAAGGGUUUUACAAAUAAGAUGUCUAAAGCUAGUUUGAUUAUUUUUCAAUGUUUUAUAAAUAAAAAUAUUAUGUGAUUAGAUGAGUUUUGUCACCAUUAAUUACCUUGCAAUGCAAUCUGAUCAGAUAUCAAAAAAUUAUUUCUUUCUUAGAAGAAAUUACCUACCAAACAAACUUGUAAAUGCAUAGACUAAUUAUUUGCUCAUUAAUUCUCUACAAUUAAGCCCUAAGUAAAACGACCCUUUCACUAGCAAUAAAAACUCAUUGUGCUCAAACCAUCAGCUCAAAAUGUUUAAACCUAAUUAUUAUUACUAGUUUUCAUGAUCUCUUAUAAACCCAAUAACAAUCUCAUUUUCAUUCGAUAUAGGACUAUUGGGGUGUCACAGACUUCCCCUGCUCUAGUCCUAACGUCGUCGUCAGUCCAAUAACACACAGUCCAAAAUCACCAAACGUUGUAAGAUUUAUCUCGCUAGCCUUGUCAUUCCGGCCCUAAUUUAAUCUUUCCCUUGUUAUUUCGACCCUGACUUAACCUAUCACUCCGACCUUGACUCAGUUAAGACUCAUUUUACGCUUCUAGCUAAUGAUUGGCUCUGAUAUCAAGCUUACAAAACGGAUCUCGAGACAUGACUCUAAUUUAUUUUGAAAUCCUAAAGUUAGAAGCGCCUAUUGCGCCAUGGAUAUAAAAACAAUGUUGUAAACAGAGCUAGUUUUGAUAUCUACAGAUAUAUUCAUUUUUUAAAUUUGCUUACCGUUCUCAAUUAAAUUUAGUCAUAUUUUUAGAUUCAUUAAAUCUGAAAUAGUCAGUACCACAGAUUUGUUGAUACCACUUUUCCGAAAAGAUAUUAGGAAUUUCCAGUCAAAAGAUUAUGUAAUAAACCUGUUUGUGAAUUCCACUAAAGACAACAAUAAUCAACACUGAUUAGAAGCUUCGAUAGUCCUAAAUGGUCCCCAGUGAGGCUGGCUUUUGUUUGUUAACUCUAACUAAAUAAAUAAAUAAAUAUUUUAACUUUAAAAAUACAAUUUUUACAUUUUUAUAUAUAUAAGCCAAUACAUCAAUAAUUUAUAAAAAUAUAUUAGAAUUACGAUAAAAAAAAAAUCCCCAAUUUGUUUUCGUACGGAUUUUCAUGUUGCGUAUUGCCUAUACUGUAGUAAAAGUCGAUAUAUUUUCUGCAAUCUAAUCACUAGAAAAAUAAAAAAAAUAUAUAUUUUAUAUGUUUUUGUUUUAACUCUAUUUUGUCAAGUAUUACCAAACUAAAUAGGCCAUAAAUAACAAGGAAUUUUGGAACGAAACAAAGAAGCUAAUGUCACGUUUAGCUGGAAUUAAUUACUGGCUUUGACCAGUAGAACGAAUUUUGAUGCACAGUUCGCAGUGAUAUCGCGUAAUAUGCGGAUACAGGCAUACAGCAAAGAUACAAAUCCUUAAUAUUUCCCUCACUAAUAAAUAAAUAUAAGGGUAUAAAUAUAAGGACCGACGGUCCCUAACGUAAGUGGUAAAAAGGCUUAAUAAUUGGUAUCCGAGAUUCAAAUUCGAAUCCUAGUUGAUUCACAUUUUCAGCUAAAUUUAUUUCUAAACAAAACGGAUAGCAUAUUAUCUUUCUCUGUCAAAAAAAAAAAAAAACAAAAAGGGUAUAAAUACUUUUUUUUGUGACACGCACCUCUCAGAAACUGCCAUGUGGAAAAUCCUCAUAAAAUUGGCUUAUUAGCGCCUACUUUGUUUUACCAAUGUUUGCACAGCUGAACAUAAUUUUUUUUAAAGAGCAAUUACUUAUAUACUCUUGAAAAGUUUCUGACUUUUCAAUUUACCAUUCUUAGAAGGCUAAUAUUAAAAAUAUCAUUUCUAGAUUUCAACCUAUUUCUAAUAUAUCCGUAAAGUUAAAAUUUGUUAAUUAACUCUGUUAUUUCUGUAAGAUUACUAUUUUGCCCUUUCAAAUAUACCCUUCCAUCAUCAUUAACUUUCUUAUUUGCCCUUAAAGUCAUGAGCAUAAAAAGUAUUUUGACUUUUAGUCUUUUCCAAUAUACCUCUCUAUCGUCAUCAACAUUUCUUAUUUGCCCUUAAGUUAAGGACAAAAUUGGUAUUUUAAUUUUUUUUUAACUGUGAUAGAUAUUCAACUCACGUUUAACCCAAGUAAACUUAAUAGAAGAUAACUGCGGAGGUAUUUUGCAAUAAUGGUGGUGAGGGGCAUUUUAGAAAAAAAAAUUAAGUAGAGAUAAAUUAGAUAUUUUCAAACGUAUAAGAAGUAAAUAGGCAAUUAUCCCUUUUUUUAAAAAUUAUCUUAUACUAUACAUAAAAGUACGUACUUCAAAUUUUAAUAUGUCGACAAACUUAUUUUAAAUUUUAUUUUCAUACGCAAAAUAAAUAAAGUAAAAAAAUAAACUUUUGGUUCCUCUUCUUUUUCAAACUAUUGAUAUUUUAUUUUUUAUUAAAUAUUUUUAUUAUUAAUAUCUUUUUUAAGAUAAAUAUUUAUAUAUUAUGUCUAUUCUAUCUACUGAUAUUUUAUUUUUAUUUUAACUUUUUAAUUUUGAUACUUUUAUCUUCUAAUAGUAUAUAAUAAAUAAAUUUACUUUUUUAAAAUUUAAAUUUUAUAUAGUAAAUGUUUGAAUAAAUAUUAAUUUGAAAUAGUUAUAAAAAUAUUUAUAAAGUGCAUUUGCAUGUAUACUCAACCAAUAUAUUAUUUAACAAACAAAAAUAAAUAACAUAAAAGUUAAAUUUUUUUAUUGUUAAUAUUCUUUUAUUUUUUUCAUAAUUGACUUUUAUCCGGAAAGCACCAAAGUUAAUUAAGUUAUUUUAAGUAGUUCGAACUUCGACCAAAGAUAAUAUUACGGUAAAUCAAAUAAUAAAAGUAGAUAUUUACGGUCAAAAAUAGCUUCACUUUGGUCUACUUGAAUCAGAAUAAUAAUAAUGGAGAGUAAUUUAUAACUUUUAAUACACACUAACUAAUCUCUGUUCUCGUAAAUUACAACAAUUAAUAAAUUAAAAUAAAAUAAAUAUUUCCAGGCUAGUUACCAAAGAACACAAAAUGUAAAUAUGGGAGUAACGAGAACGUUAUGAAAACGAUCACAUAUGAAUCCAUUAAUAUAUGACAUAUAUUAACUCAUUGACACAAAAAUUAAAAUUAAAAAGAAAAACAAAGGAGCUAGCUCGUGCAAUAUUGACUUGGAAAUUUGUGGUUCAUGUUCGUGAAUAAUAUGUUUUACGUGGAUAAAUGGGUACCCGUUCAUGUAAAAAUGGUCAAUGUUUAGCCACGAUCAUAAUUAAAAAUAAAAGAUAACACAUCAUAAUUAAACCAAAACAUAUAAAAAAAAUCAAAGAUCUUCAAUUUAUUAAUGCAGCAAAUAUCAAUAUUACUUAAUAUAAUGUAACCAGAAUUAUAAUUACAAAUAUUUUUCUUUGAGAAUUAUCAAUAUUUUCUUCAUUAUUUAAUUUUUGUUUCAGAAAACGUGACCCACCAACUAAUUUGGUAUAUAAUACCUAAAUAUCUCAUUAAUUAUAAUUACAAAUAUUUUUCUUUUUGAGUUAACCUCCUAUUUUAUUUUAGUAUUAUUCUUACUAAUCAUGCUUCUAAAAUUCCAGCACAAAUCACGAGGCCACACGUGCUCUUGAGCGGUACACGUUAACCACUCCCUCUUGAGUUGUAGGAUGCUCACAAAAAAUUUAAAAAUAAUGUUUUGUUGAUUACAUUGUCGAGCAUACAACUCAUAACUUAAUAUGAUAUCAGAAUAGAAUAUUCUAAAUUCGACUAAAAUUCAACCAGAAGAUUCUAAGUUCGAAUCUCUAUCAAACUUCUAAUCUCAUUUGAUUUUUCUCCCAUCAGAUUCAAGUUCACUUCUUGAGCAUAUCAAAAUAUUUCGAUCCUAGAUAUAAAGAAGAGUACCGAAUAUAUACAAUAUUAAAACACUAUUAUCCGAGUACUACACAUAAUUUAAUAUGAUGAUGAAUACACAAUAUUAAAACACGGUUCUCUAAAAUUUGCACAUAAUUUAACAUAACACAUGAUGCAAAAUCCUUGUAACAAGAGAGUAAAUACUAAAUAAAACAUCCUUGCUAUUGACAAUGCCUGUGGGAAUAUGUCAUUAUGCUGCAAAAAAACUGGUAAAAAUCGAGGAAAAAUAAAGUAGAACAUACUAUGCAACUAACAUUCCCUAUGAGCUGUUUGAUGCAACUAUGCACCUGCAAUAAUAAUGCGAGAUCAAACCAUAAAUCUUGAUUGUCACAUUGUAGUUGUAUCUAGAUACAAUAAUUGGACUUGCAGACGAAACCUCAAUCUCUGUAUCGCAGGCAAAAGCUCAAAUGCAGACGAAAGAUCAAUCGCUGUAUCACAUUUAAUGUCUAAAUAAAUAAAUAAAUUAGCAAUAUGUCUAAACACAGCAGCUGGAGAGAUGAGAAACCACACAGGAUUUCAUGGAUGUAGCAGUUCCAGCACUAUAAAUUUCGGAGUUUCAGGAUCCUGUGCAAUAUAGCAUGUAUCUGCCUAAAAGUUGAUAACAAUGUCUAGGUAGGAAAUCGGUUUGGAUUCGACAAAUGCCUACUGAUCCAUUGCCAACAUAGCUUGAGGUUUCAAGUUCAUAUGCAGGAAAGGACGAGUUUCUUAUGGCAGGCAAAGCGGUGGCGGGAUCCCCACAAAAUUAAUAUAGUGGGACGGAAAUCGAACUUCUGUAGGUGUUUUUAUUUUCAGGGCAAGAUCCUAUCCGCCGACAAAUUGUAGAUGUAUGGCUUGUUAACAGUUCAGUGUAAGCGCGAACAGAUUUUCCCCUUCAAUGGUUCCAUAGAAUCUUUCAGGAGAAAAAAAGAAGUUUCAGACAAUCAUGCGCAACAAAAGUUCCGUCUCACGCAUUUUUAUUCAGGCUAACAAGAGAAAUGCAGUCGGUCCUGUUGUCAUGAUUUGAUCAAUAUCAUACAUAUUAAGUUUGAAAGCUGCUGCUUACUUAUUUCUCACCUUAAACAGUAAGAAAUAUAUUGCCGCAGCAAUCUCAUAAUUGAAAACUCUUUCACACAAAACAAUCAGCAAAGGCAAGGCCGAAAAAGAAAUACCAGGUUCAGGUUUUUCCAGGCAUCUCUGUGUGACAUACCUUGAUUAGCAGCAGCAGCAGCAGCAGCAGCAGCAGCAGCAGGAGAUAGUACAACAGUGAGGUUAAUUUAAUACCAUUAAUCUUAGCCCCAUCUCCUUCUAUCUUCUUCUUCAUCAACCGGGGUGUACCACUCCGGCCGUCUCUUCGAGUUGCUCAACCUGUAAUUCAAGAACACUUCUUCGUCGCAAAGAGCCCUUGUCGCAACCAGCACGAGCGUCUUUAUAACAGGGCCAUCACCUUCUUGAUCACGAGAACCCCAGGACUUAAACCAGAAGGUGCCGAAUCUCUUCAUCGCCACGCUCUCUUCACCUCCAAACACAAGGUUAGGAAUAUAAACCCUCAUGUCCUUCUCACUCAGCGGGAAAUCAUAAGGGCAGACCAUAGCGUUAGGGGUGGUGCCCUUCGGAGGGUGGUUCGCGAAAUGGCCAAAGGCAAGCGGGUUACGCCACUCAACAACGUCCCCACCAUCCCCCCUACGAGCGUCCUCCAAAGGCUUACUUAGCAUUCUCCACAUACGAUCAGACCGCCCCUCAAUAUAUUCAGAAGGAUUUGGCUCGUACUCGGGCUGGCUAUAACCAUCCCAAACUUCUCGGGUUUCACCGCCAACUCCCCAAGGUUGCGCAUUUAUAACAAUCCCGUCAUACCUUGUGAUCAAAUAAGAAUUCGAGGCAUCGAUUCUGGGAUAGCCGGGGAUAUAUCGGUAGUAAGCCGGCGAAUAAAUUACUCCGGGAUAGAAGGCAAGAACAGAUCCGACUUCAGCCUCCCCAGAUAAGAAUAAACCGCGACCAGCAGCCUUGUGAGGAAUUUGAGAUUGUUUGAUUUCUAGGGUGUAGCCAAUACUAUCCCUCAAACUCUGCGAUAACUCACGGUGAGAUAAUGGCCGCGUCGCAGGCACAACUGUGCUGCAAAGAAACAGUAGAGGUCAGGGCAGGAGAAUCCAGUAGGUCUCACUAGUUUCCUCUGCAUGUGCUAUUAGUUCAAUAAGUUAACAACAACAAAUCAAACGAAAAACACAUCUUCGGACUAAAUAGCAACAUUCACUACAAGAAAAUCAACAUGUAAGAACGUUUUUUUUAUAUUUAACAAUGCUUAAAAGCAUUUCAAUAUAGUCCAGCAUCACAUUUGAAAGCGUCGACAAAUGAAAAGUCGCCACGUAUAUACCGACGUUUAUGCCAAGCGUCGGUAAAAUAUAUUCUGACACUUUAAAGCGUCAAGAAUUUUUAGGAUUUUUUGAAACCCUAAUGCUUUAAAGUGUCAAAAAUUUUUAAAAAAAAUAGUAAAAUUUAUCAUUUAAUAAAUUGGUUUGAUACAAUAGAGUGGUCAUAUGAGGCACUUUUUGAAGCGUCGUAUUUGCUAUAUUAUAGGGACGCUUGAGGAUGCUUCCUUCAAGCGUCAUCUAAAAAGCGUUCUUAUAUUAAGAUUUUUUUGUAGUGAUUCUACAUAUGAUUAUUUAGAUUUCAUGAUAGGAAUGCCAUUACCAGGUUUGUUAGCAGACGCGCUACUACCGAUAGCAAAACUCAAUCCACUACGUCGAGAACCAUUCUGGGAAUCUGGAACUGAAUUCGGUGUAUUGCGGUCCGUAUCAGGACGAAGUAUGCUAUCCAUCGUCUGGGAUAUGUUCUUAAUUUGGAAAUGAACAUUUUCCUGGACUUGUCUCUGCUGAUCAGAAACAGAUGCUUUGCUUCCCAUCUCAAUAAUCUCAUCUGCGUCCUUCUCAUCCGCAUUCUUUCCCAAACGAUUAUAGCUGGAAUUUAACAUUAGAAGAGAUUCAAAGUAAAUCGCAUAUGCGAUUCCGAAGAAUUAACAGCGUAUUCCGUUCCAGGUAACAUUUAAGGAAACUAAUUUCAAAAUGAUCGCCGUAGGAAAUGCACUAACCUGGUGUAAAGAAACAAACGAUUAACAUCAGCUUCAAACUGAAGAUGCCGUGGAUCGCGAGCGAAUGCUCGACUCUUUGCGAGAGAUUUAACGGCCUGGGAAGAACAAAACUGGGAUGAUUCCAUAAAAACAAAAAUUUUAAAAAAAAUUAAAAAAAUUUCUUUUCGAUGCAGGAUCGAACUUGAAAUCUGUAAAAUGUCCUGUUACGGAAACUCUUACGGAUCCAAACAAAAUUUUAAAAAAAAAUUUAAAAAAAAAAAACAUGGAAAAGUGGAAAUUUAGGAAAAGAGUAAGGGGGAGUUACCUCUUGGAACUUGUGAAAGAGGAAGGCCAUGGCGUAUACACUGGAGCUCUUCCAGAAGCUUCUCUCGCCGGCGCGGUGACGAAGCCGAGACCCCUCGAAACCCCAACAACACUACACCUGCUCAGAUCGAGGGAGGGUUUUACGCUGAGCCUGGAAUGGGCCGGGUGGGCUUAUUUUGAACCCGGCCCGGUUUGAAAUUUUCGCAUCUGAUUUUUUUUUUUUUUUUUGGGAAAAUGCUACGUGGCAGUGCACAAACUAUUAAAAGGUGUAAAAAAUAAAAUUUUUAGUAUAAAAAAUUUGAUUUGAGAGGAUAGAGCAUAUGAUAAUAAUGAUAUACAAUUAUUUAUAUAUUAUUGGUGUACAUGUUAAAGAUACGUCUUCUAUUUUAUUGACUUAGUCCAUGCGCUCAGCCUAUGAAAUAAUAGAGAGGAUAUCAUGCGGAUUCUCAUUGUGGAUUCUAAAUUCAAGUUGUAUGUGAAUUAGACCCGGGCCAGUUUUCUAUGCAUUACUCCUAAUUCAAGUUUGACUAAAGCUAAUUAAUUAGAUGCCCCAAGUGCAUGUCCGUACGGCAUGAGAAGGUGUCGCGGCCUCGCAUACGAUGUCUAGAUCGGAGUCGGCAGCGAAGCAGAGAUUCUCGACCAAUUGAUUGAGCGAUUUUGAUUUUUUGAAGCAACGGCAUAAAAAUUUGUUGUCAGAGCUUUCUAUACUUUUCUAAUUUGGUCUUCUCUGUUAUGAUUUUAUUUUUUUUUUGAGAAAAAGGUAGCACGCUAUACUUUUCUAAUUUGGUCUUCUCUGUUAUGAUUUUAUAAAAAGCUUUUUUCAGUGAUUUCUUUGAGUUUUCGUUGGAAUAAAAGAAAUGUGGAGCUCACCAUAAGACUCUUAAUUUUUAAUGAGGAGAAAAUAUGAGGUGUAAACUUAUGCUUCUAUUUCGUACAAUGAAAUACUCUAUUUCGCUCUCCUCGUGGAUGUAGACAAUUUCCAAUUCUUUUACCGUUCAUUCGACUUUUCUUAUUUUUGUGCAUCUUUAUUGACAGCGUAUAACAGACGAUCCACUCGGUGCAGUGAGUUGGUACCCCAGAUAGUCCACGAUGAUUAAAAAGUGGGUUUUGGAGUGGGACAUGUGGACUCGCUGGAAAAAAAAAAAAAAAAAAAAAAAUUUUUUUUUUUUUUUUUUUUUUUUCAUUUUUAUACGUUACAUUAAAAAGCGAAACUUGAAAGCUUCAUUAAAUCAAAACGUCGGUUCUUGAGUUAGUUUUAAUAAAACUUAAAUUCUUGAGAGUUUAGUUUUAGUUUCGUAAUCAUCGUUUUUUACCCUGAGAAAAAACCAGAGAGUUCAUUCUUAACUUUUCUAGAUUCUUUAUUAUUAAGAGCCGGGGCAGUACUAAAGAACCGGUAAUUAAAACCUCCGAGACUCUUUCGUGUUAUUUACCCUAAUCCAGGUAAACGUAUUUUUCUUCCCCUUAAAAACCCCCUUAAAAUUCCGUUUAAAAAGUAUGGUUUUAUGGUCAGAGGCUUUUAAUUAAGAUGUUUUUUAAAUUUUUUUUUAACGAUUAUAAUAGAGAAAAGUACAUAGAUCUGAUCUGAUCUAUCUCGACUCAAUCAUAGUGUAGAAUGUAAUCACGUGAUCGUCUACUUUUUAUUUUUUAUUUUUUUCUUCUUCUUCGAUUGUUUCUAAACUUUAAUUUAUCUGUAUUCUACUUUUAAGACUAUUUGAAAGUCUAGGAUGGAGAAACACCAGCUUAUUUUGUUUUCUUAACAAACCGCUUUUAACGUUUUUAUCAUAGAUGGAUGAGAAAAUUUAUAUAUAUAUAUAUAUAUAUAUAUAUAUAUAAAUUUUCUCAUCCAUCUAUGAUAAAAACGUUAAAAGCGGUUUGUUAAGAAAACAAAAUAAGCUGGUGUUUCUCCAUCCUAGACUUUCAAAUAGUCUUAAAAGUAGAAUACAGAUAAAUUAAAGUUUAGAAACAAUCGAAGAAGAAGAAAAAAAUAAAAAAUAAAAAGUAGACGAUCACGUGAUUACAUUCUACACUAUGAUUGAGUCGAGAUAGAUCAGAUCAGAUCUAUGUACUUUUCUCUAUUAUAAUCGUUAAAAAAAAAUUUAAAAAACAUCUUAAUUAAAAGCCUCUGACCAUAAAACCAUACUUUUUAAACGGAAUUUUAAGGGGGUUUUUAAGGGGAAGAAAAAUACGUUUACCUGGAUUAGGGUAAAUAACACGAAAGAGUCUCGGAGGUUUUAAUUACCGGUUCUUUAGUACUGCCCCGGCUCUUAAUAAUAAAGAAUCUAGAAAAGUUAAGAAUGAACUCUCUGGUUUUUUCUCAGGGUAAAAAACGAUGAUUACGAAACUAAAACUAAACUCUCAAGAAUUUAAGUUUUAUUAAAACUAACUCAAGAACCGACGUUUUGAUUUAAUGAAGCUUUCAAGUUUCGCUUUUUAAUGUAACGUAUAAAAAUGANNNNNNNNNNNNNNAUAUAUAGUUUAGAGAGUUGAAUUGGAAUACUAUUAAUAGUAUUUGAACUUUUUUGAUAUUGAUUUUUUAGCAGUUAGAUCUACACUUUGAUCAAUUUUAUCAUUUAGAUCAUACUAUCUAUCUAAUUACUCACUCAAUCUCAGAGGGAUCAUUACUAAAGCCAAGGGGACCACUAUCAUUCUAACACUAUAAUUUCUUAUUCAGGAGUUAAAAAAACUCGAUAACAAAAAAAGCCAAAUACUAUUAAUAUUAUUUCAACACAAUUAUAUAUAUAUAUAUAUAAGCAAAAUAAAGUGCAAAUUUUAAAGGUUGUCGUUUCGAAAUACUCUUUGAAAGAGUAUUUUGCCUAACUUCUGAAUGAGUUUGUUCAUUUACAUGAAAAAUUCUAGAUUCUCUCAUAUUAUUGAGCUAGAAGAAGACAGUACUGGAUUUUUCCAUAAGUUGGCAUUACAGCUGCAAAUGUUGCUAGCUACUUACAAGGCAAAACAGCAUGCACCUAAAUCUUUUUCAUGCGCGAGAUAAUUUUAAUGUGUACGAAAAAAAAUAGAUCCCGCCAUCGAAUGAAUGAAUGAAUGAAGCGGGAGGCCUAGACUGAGACCAGCUGAUGAGAACAUGUAUACAUACAUAUAUGGACAAAUAAAGUGAGGGACCCAACUCCAUGAGAAUCCCAAUCCCAAUGAUCUUAAUUAUUAUUGGUCCUUAAUAAAUAAAUGUUCAAGAAGCGUCCACAUCGACCAUAUGCCCCGCUACAUCUGCGCGUACGAGCACUGCCAUCUCUAAUCUUAAAAUGGUACCUCUUCAGAUUCCGAAAUAGCAUGGUUACAGGAGAUACGUACACACAGUAAUUAAAACAAAAAAUUUAAAAAAAAAUAAAUAUAUAUAUAUAUAUAAGGUAAUGAGAAAACUUUAAAUACUCUCCUGUAGUUUCACACUUUUUCACUUUAGUAUUUUGUGGCUUAAAAUAUAUUAAGUUAGUACUUAGUACCCUGUGGUUUCGCACUUUCUCACUUUAAUAUCCUGUGGUUUAAAGUGUAUCAAGUUAGUACCAUGUGCUUUCGCACUUUCUCACUUUAGUAUCCUGUGAUUUAAUAUAUAUUUCGUUAAAUUAUAUGCAAAAAACUUCAGAUAUCCUAUCUACCUUUAUCGUAUAUUCAAUUUAGUGUCAUUUAGUUUUAACUUUGUUACUGAUUUAACAAAAAAAAAAAAUCCCGAAAUGGAUAAUAAAAAGAGAUAAAUAAAACUAUAUGGUACUAACUUGAUACAAAAAUGAAAUCAUAUAAUACUGACUUGACAUACUUUAAACCAUAGAGUACUAAAGUGAAAAAAUGCGAAACCACAGGGUACUAACUCGAUAUAUUUUAAAUCACAGGAUACUAAAGUGGAAAAAAGCGCAAUCAGAGGGAGGUUUUUGAAGUUUU